UCGGAUCACUCUCAAACAAAAUUCAUAACAACUCAUUAUUGGCCAGGAGAAAAUGAGCUAUCUCCACUCACAGCUGGAAACAGAAUCCACUCUCUUUCUCUCUCUCAAAAAACAACUCUGAAAAGAAAGAAAAAAAAAGAAUAGAUAUAUCUCAACGAGUACACAAAAGGACAAAAAAAUCUCAUUCUGAAAAAAGACGUUACAUCCAUUUAAAUUUCUCUCUCUCACCACUCAUAAAAGAGCUACCCACUCACCUAACUUUCAGAAUCUCUCUCACGGGUUCCUCACAUUACAAAAAGAUAAAAGGAAAAAGGAAAUUAAAAAAGGACUGACAAAAAACUCUCUCACCUGAUACCAUUCCUUCUCUCUCGUAAUAACCCUCUCUCUCUGACUUCAAAAAGGCAACGAAAAAAAGAAAAAAAAUAAAUUGAGAGGACUCUUCCUCUUAUUCGGAAUCUUAUCACUCUUCACCAUCGGACCGCCUUCAACAACCUCUGUCGUCGAAAACCUCACUGCCAUAAUCGUGCCACCCUUCACCCUCCUUCAAACUCUCCGUCGGCGAAAAACAGAAACACCGCGAGCCCCUUUUUCAACAUCGUCCAAACCCUUCGUCUUCGUUACAACCAUACACCGCCGUCUCCACCAUCCAAAUCCCAUCUCCGUCUUCACUCAACUCACAACCGCAACCAACAAACAACACCAUGAAACCGUUUUUGCGAAACGAAACUCAACGAAUCUCCUUCCUCACGAAAUCACCGUCGCCACCACCGACAUCUCACGGCUAUUCACAAUAAACCCUCACGACCGCCUCCGCUCCUCUCCCACACUUCCUUCGUGGCCACCGCGAAAGCCACCACGCGUCUUCUCCUUCACAUUCACGGAUGUCUUCUCCUUCCGAUGCCAGAUUCAAACGCAACACAAACAAACAACCAGCCGCUCUACAGCAAUAAGAGGAGCAUAGCACCAAAGGAAAUAACGCAGAAGGAUGGGUCUAGCCGCACUCCGUUUCCGUUAUAAUUUCAAGUUCAUUUCCGACGAACUCACAGUACUUCCAAUCACCCCAAGGUCGUCGAACCCGUAGGUAUAUCACUAUAAAUCUCAUGUUGAUUGGUUUAUUAUUUUUUUUGUUUUUUCCAAUUGGAGUAAGGUAGAGAUUAAAUCGAGGAUGCAAGGGUUUGUUUCAUCGGUCUUAAAGAUGAAAAAUAAUGUUCUGCAUUUUUAAAGAGCGAAAGAAAGCAUAGUGGAAAUUUCAAACUUAUUAUGAGCCUUGAUUUUCCUAAUGGUAAUGUAAAAGUUAAACUGGAUUUUUACGUUUUGUUACUUGUUUGUUUGACUGAACUUUUUUUUUAUAAUUAUUAUUACAUGACAAUAGAAUUAGUAUUUUGGUUGUAGAAAGAGUUGUCUGCAUAUAAUUCAUUAUGGUCUUGGUUUUCUUUUUAUCCAGGAAAGUUUUAGAUUCGAUCGAUAAUGCUUAAUAGUAUACAUUGAAUUCUUUCUUAAAUCACGUUUGGAAGGGUCCUGCAACUCUUUUUAUUUUUUUCAAACUUGGACAUCAUUGGUUUUAAAUGCUACUUUGUUUUAAUUAAUUGUAUUAGUAUCCCUUGUUCUAACUGAUUUAUUAGUUCACAACGUUACAACCAUUUUUCUCAAAUAUAUGGUUGGUUCUACUAUUAAAAUUUAAAUUAGAUUACUAAUUGCCUAAUGGAUUUUAUAUUGUAUAUAUAUAAAUCUGAUCCAAUCAUAUGGUGUUGUUGUUAACAUUCAGUUAAUAUGUUGUGUAUAACCUUGGCUGGUUUCUAUGUGGUUUCAAUUCCAUUAUGAUGAAGUUGGAAUUUCGACUUGCAAGUACGAGAUUUUUGAUGUUUUGAGCACAUUGUAUCCACCUUGUUUUAGUCACUUUUAAAUCAAAUUUGUUUUAAUUGAAUUGAUUGAUUAAUACAAAUUUUGUUUAAAUUACUUGGUUGUGAUGAUCGAUUACCUUGGAAAUUUUAGUUAAUCAAAUGAUUUUGAUUUUGAAUUUUGAUUGGGUCAAUUAGGUAGUUUGUUUAAAUUCCAAUCAAAUAACUUUAUUAAUUAAAUAUUGACCAAAUUAUUUUAUCACGAUGUCAACCUCUUCCAAACUCGAAUUGAUUUCAAUCUUAUCAAUUCGAAAUCAUUCACCCAUUCAAUAAAAACAUAAUUCUCGAUUCAAAGUCGAGCCCAUUUUUAAAUACCCUUGUAAGUCGAUAGCUUUUCGCAUCGCCAUCAACCUCACAUAGCUUUCUCUUGGGCUUUCUUAUUAUGAGACCUAGUCGAUUGUUAAUUGAUCGAUUAGAUGAUUGAUUCACUAAAUAAAAUCCACUUUAUUCACAAAACACAAACUUAAAACCUCGAUCCACCAUCAAGUAUUUCUAUUCAAAUUAUUAAGAUGCCCAAUCACAAUCAAAUACCAUUUCAUUUGGAAAUGAAAAGGGGGAUGGCUUUGAGUUUUCAAUUCCUUUCCUCGAUUAUUUGAAUAUGAGUUCUCUUAUUCGGUGAGUCAAAUAGUCGUCACUUCCAUCCACCUAAGCACAAACGAAUCGAAUCAUUUUUAUAAUAAGAAACAAAAAGGGAGAUGACUUUGAGUUUUCAAUUUUUUUCUCCUCGAUUAUUUGAAUACAAGUUCUCUUACUUGGUUAGUCAAAUAAUUAUCGUUCCUCUGCAAGCUUCCAAACCCCGAUUAAAUCAAAUUAUUUUCAUAAUAAGUUAAAUGAAAAGGGAGUUGACUUUAAGUUUUCAACUUCUCCUCAAUUGUUUGAAUACGAGUUCUCUUACUUGGUCAAUCGAACAAUUUUCAUUUUUCCACCAACAUAUAAGUUAAUCAAAUCAUUUCAUAAUAAACUAUACAAAAAUGGAGAUGGUCUUGAGUCUUUAAUUCCUCUUCUCAAAUGCUUGGAUAUGAGUUGUCUUACUCACCCAUUCAAGUACUUUGUCGUCUAUUCCAAAAUACAUCAACCAUACGCAAACCUAUUUUCAUAAUCACUCAGAUGAAAAAGAAAAUGGUCUAGAUUCUUCUAUUCCCUUUCUCGACUAUUAGGAUGCGAGUUGUCUUACUCGACUAUCCGAGUAUUCGUCAUCCAAUCAAAAACACCUUAAUCAUCAUUAAAAUCCUUUCACAAUUAAGGAUGAAAAAGAAAGCGGUCUAGAGUCUUCUAUUCCCUUUCCCGAUUAUUAGGAUACGAGUUGUCUUACUCGGCCAUCCGAGUAAUCAUCAUCCAACCAAAAAUAUCUUAACACAUCAAACUUAUCUUUCUCACCCUCGUGCGAUCGAAACCAGUCAAACAAAACAUUAAACACAUCAAUUCAACUCGUCACCCCCCGCGUGACCAAAACCCUUCUUUCAAAAAGAACACUGUCAAUCCUUUCUAAUGCGCACAACAAAUUAGUGCUAGAGCCUCCACCGAGAGUAGACAAGUCAAUGUUUAGCCUUUAGAACGCCGACCUACACAUUCGUUCAUAAAACAAAACACAUCAAUUAUUUGUAGUUCCCCGAACUACAAAUGCUCUGAUUUCCUUAUUACACCAUAAGGAUACGUAGGCGGGAGAUUGCUAUAUCUUCGCGAGCACACUAAUAAAAAACCUCCCUUUUCUCCCUUUUGAGGUCUUCAUCCAUAUAUAUUAUCAACUCUAAUUACUCGAAGAAAACAAACAACGCAAGUUAACACUCAAAUCUCAAAAUUGAACUAAAAGGUUCCCGUUGAGAACAAUGGACGUGAGGGGUGCUGAUACCUUCCCCUUGCGUAAUCCACUCCCGAACCCGAAUAUGGUUGCGACGACCAUUAUUCUAUUUUUCAAAGGUUUUAUCAAUAUUUUCCUAUUCCUUCAUUGGGAUAAAUAAAGUUCGGUGGUGACUCUGUUCGAACUAACAUUUUUCCACGUCCAUCGCGAGGGAUCACAUUUUUUCCGAGGUGCGAAAGCUGGCGACUCUGCUGGGGACAUGCUCCAAGCAAGAGAGAGUGAAGCCUAACUUUGUUUAAUUUUUGUAUUGGGUGUUAACCUUGUUUGUUUGAUUUUUUAUUCUGUUAUUAUUUUGUUGUAAUUAUUAUGUUGUGGUUUAUUUCCUAUGAUACUAUUGGGGUUCUCUGAUUGUUGGUACUUUGUGAGAUAGGCUUUCUACCCGAGUCUGAGAAAAACCAUAAGAUUAAGUUGGUGGUUGCGUAGUGGACGCCCACAAGGAGUCUUCCUUGUUGGGAAGAUACGAAGACCCCGCCUAGAGGAGAUUCUCUUGAGAUAUUAUUGUCCGACAAGCCUUCGUCACGGCGAUGGUGUUUCAAGUUGGAUCAAUGACUCUAGGGACCUUUUAACCCUAUAUCCGGAGGUUAUGUAGUAUUAACCUACGAAGUUUCAUACUUGUUAGGUUAAUACGAAAACCCCAAUCAGAUGAGAUCCCUUGGACGUAUUAUUACCUUACAGUAAUAUUUCCAACCUCGAUCUAUGACUCUAAGAACCUUGUUAGAACCUUGAACUCGAGAGUUGCGUAGUAUAAUCCCUAUGGAGCCUUCCUUGUUGGGACAAUACGAAGACCUCUCCUAAGAUGAGAUUAUCUUAGGGGUAUUACUGUCCGACGAGUCUUCGUCACGGCAGUGACGCUUUCAAUGAGAAUCGAUGACUCUGGGAACCAAUUAACUUUGGAGCCUACCCUUGGGAAUUUCAGUAAUCAGAGAAACCUCUACUUCUUCCUUUUAACUUGACGUACACGACGUGUGAAUGAUCUUGAGUAUUUCUAUUCCUUUGCGAAAACAUGGCAAAAUUUCAUGCAUUUGCAUAUCAUAAACAUGCAUUGCAUACCAUCUUCCAGAAACAAAAACUUACACCAUAUUCUACCCUUUGUCCAGUAACACUGACUACUCAACACCGGUACGAGACACGCCGCAACUACAGGAUGACACUCGAACAACUUGAAGCAAACCAGGUUUUAAUGAGGACAAACAUCGACUCCAUGCAAGCGAAGAUGGACCAUUUGCUUGAAACAAUGUUGCUCUUAGCCCAGAAGGAGAAGGAUGCUGAGACUAGCGCCGAUGCCAGAAAAGUUGCUACUCAGUUUGGAUCACCAUCACUUAGCAUCCAUGGAGUGAUUGACCAUGAUGGUAACCUUAAUCAUCUUAAAGGAGGACCGACCCCUAUUCCAUUCCCGAUGGUCAAUGUAAACCCCCAUGAGCAUUCUGCUACAUCUGCUCGACAUGGAUCCAUGAUGGGUGAUGAAGAUCCGUAUGACGCUUUCUUCAUGCCACAACCCGCCAAACCUGUUAUUGGAGGUCUCUUAGACCCAACUGUUGAGAGACUCCAUGCUUUAGAAGAGAAGUUCAAGUCCUUUGAGGUUCACACUACUCUCGGUUUGGACGUCGUUGAUAUGUGCCUAGUGCCAUGACUCGUGAUUCCACAAAAAUUCAAAGUCCCAUACUUUGACAUGUACAAAGGGAUCAGCUGCCCUAGAACUCACCUCAGAGCUUAUUGCCGCAAGAUGGCUGCCCACAUCGGUAAUGAUCAACUCUUGAUUCAUUACUUCCAAGAUAGCCUCAAUGGGGCAUCCUUGGAGUGGUAUAUGCAAUUAGAAAGAGGACAAGUCCAGUCAUGGAGAGACCUUGUUGAAGCCUUCCUUAGGCAUUAUCAAUACAAUAUUGAUCUAGCACCCAAUCGCACCCAGCUGCAAGACAUGACUCAACGCAACAAUGAGUCAUUCAAGGAAUACGCACAACGGUGGAGAGAGCUAGCAGCCCGUGUCCAACCUCCUCUCCUUGAUAAGGAGCUAAUUGAUAUGUUUAUGGGAACUCUUCAUACUCAAUACAUGGAGAAAAUGGUAGGAUCCAGCUUCCCAACUUUUGCUGAGGUUGUCUCCGUGGGAGAACUAAUCGAGAGCCAGAUCAAGAAGGGAAAGCUACCUUGCGCUGCCAAUGCUUCAAGUGGGAUGAAGAAACCUUAUCCUAAUCUCCCAAAGAAGCUAGAAGGCCAGACCAACGCCAUAAUGAGAGGAGGAGGAUAUAUGACGCCUCCGUAUGUUCCUAUGCCUUAUCAUCAGGUUGUCGUUGUCAUCCCGACACCGUAUCAGCCACCAUAUCAGCAACCAUAUCAGCAACAACAUCAGUUGCCGUACCAACAUCCGGCUUACCAACAGCCACACCAGAAUCAACAGCAACGUGCUCCACCGUAGCGUCAACCUAGUCAACAGAGGGCAAGGAGGCCAAAAAGACAUUUCGAUCCUUUGCCAUUGCCUUACAGCAAGAUCCUUCCCUACCUGCUAAAAGAUGGAUCAGUUGUUUUGAAGGAGCUAACACCUGCAACUCCGCCCUACCCACCAGGCUAUGACACCAAUGCUCACUACGAGUAUCAUAUGGGUGCCCCAGGGUACACCGUAGAAAAUUGCAAGGCCUUCAAACACAAGGUCCAAGAUCUGAUUGACAGUCAGGCAGUUACUUUCACGCCAGUUAGGCCAAAUGUUGCAACAAAUCCCAUGCCAGCGCAUGCAGAGCAUAGUGAAGCUCGAAGAUAGAGCUCCCCACCGGCCUGAACAAGCGGAGCACUUCCUAAACGAAGAAUCAAGAGAUGAAGGCCCGUUUCUUUGAAUGAAGGCAAUCAUUAUGCCAUUUUUACCGUUUCGCAUUCUUGUAAUUUGUUCUUGUUUGUCUAAGUAUUGUAUGGCUUUAAACAUUGUUAUUUGUAUUUGGUUCUAUUAAUGGGAUGAUUAUGCAUGUUUUGAAUCAAUCUUUCAUAUUCACUCAUACCAUUUAUUUGCAAAGCACAAAGCACAAACACAUACUUUUCCACUUCACCUUCUUUAUCACACUAUUGUUAGCAAAUGUUGGAAGGAGGAUGACGAAAACAAAAUACUCAUAAUUGGUGAUUGUAUGCUUUUGGAUAAAAUCCUGCUAAUGAUGUACAAGCAUUGUUUCAAAUCUCCAAACACUGGAGAGAUAAGGAGUUAAUCCCUAGUUAACCAUUUCGGGCCUAGAAGUAGGAGUUUCUUUCAGAUCUACAAACCCUUACGCUUAACCUGGGGCAGGGUAGUGUUCAGUUGAUCUGACUACACAUUCGAAUUACAAGAUGAAAUUUCCCAUACAAGGAUCAAUCACAUGAUAUUCUUCGCACACAUCCUGAAGUGUCGAAGGAACCAUACAAAAUCCAAAAUUUAUGUCCGUUAUUCUUUAAUGACUAAUGACUUGGCAGUCACAAUUUUCCAAAAAAAAUCAAAGAAAGAGCUCGCUAAGUCAAACAUCCAAAAAGGAGACUUAGGCAAAAACUAGGGCAAUCCCGAUGGAUUAAAGCUUCAAAAAGCGGUCCAUGCAAAAUUAGGGAUCAAAACAAAGAUCGAGAGAGACAAUGAGAGUCCUCAACAAAACAAAACAAGAUUCAGUGACCACCAUACCCAAAUCAAAGGGUCGCCAACAUCCAUGAAUAGCAAGAUAGGAUGACUGUCAUUUCAAGAAAUCUUACACUGCUGAACCCUCGCAAAAGUAAGUGUGUGUCGAAUUAACUGAACGUAAGAUCGGAGAUCAUCAUGAAGAAGGGGUGGGUUAAAGUAAACUUUGAGCUUUAUAUCCUUUUGUUUCAAUAACCAUGUGCCAAGCCACGUUACAACCUACGAAAGACCUAAUUGAAGUAAGGUUUAUUCUGAAAGCAUACUACAUCAAGGUUGAGUGAGCUGACUCCUAGAGAUUUGCUAAUAUUCUAUUUUCACUAUAUCACUCACACACUAGCUAAAUCGACACCGCGUCUGGACUCAUGGUCCACUCGCCAUACACUGCUACGAUACUCCUAAUGAACGAUUGUUUUUCAAAACUUGCAUGACUAUUGCAUUAAAAUCACCAUUUCUUGGAUAACAAUUCUUAAUUGUCAGUCAGUACUUGACAUCGAGAAAAUUCCAACAAGGGGAAAUUCAAGAGGUACUUGAUAAUUGGUGCUGACACGAAUCAAGACCAUCUCAUAAAUCAGGGGCAUGGCAUCUUUUGAUUAUGUUGACUUAGGAAGCAGUCAGUAUAAGGCAAAUCUCCAGAGCAUUGGUUGACCAGGGAGGAAAAACACUUCAACACUCAGUCCAUCUGGGGCAGGUCCCUCACAGGCUAAUCAGGGAGCGAACCGUUACAAAGAUUUAGGAGCUGAAAAAAACAAACUCAGACCAUGUCAUGGGAUAAUCACUCCUAAAGUUUCCUUUCAAGGAGAAUGCCAUUUGAUACCCUACAGACUGGGGCAAGACAAGUUGCAAGGGGCAAGUUCCCUUCAUAUCUUCAAGUCAGUCAAGAAGAUUGCGUCAGACACUAGUAACUGCUUGAAUUCUCAAUAAAGACGUCGGAAGUCCAUGCUAGUACGACAUCAUAUCUUGACAAGAAUCCUCAUGGCACGUCAAAGGCAUAAUCAUCAUGCGUUGAUCAUGUCGCUAUGCUCAGUAACAUGCCAUCCAUACAUCUCAGCAGAAAAAGUAGAGAUCGCCUCGGGAGCAAAGACACAACGUAUCACAAGAGAUCAAACUUGGGGAACCAAGAGUAUUCGCAUCUACUACGUGUUCAUCACAUCAUCAACUACCGAGUGUCGGGAAGUCAGAUCCUUUCCCCAACCAACAACCCAACCCACAUUGACAGUUACCAGAAAAAACCAAAGUCCACCUUACUAGCAUCCCUCAUAAAAAACAAACACAACCAGCAUUGGUUUCCAGAAAAUACAUCGCCUUUGAAUAAGGGGGGAGGGGGGGGGGGGGGGGGGCAAUCCCAAACAAACCAAUCAUUCUUUGCAUUCAAACAUGCAUCAUAUGCAUCAUCUCAUACAUCUUUGAAUGCAUAUCAUUUAUGCACAAAAACACGAAUCAAAAUCCAAGGUUAAGUCGUAGGCAUCCAGGCCACCAUUUGCACUUAGUUUUCAUCAUCCAUCCAGCAUGAAUCUUCAAGAAUCGGUAACACUUUGUUUUUUCUUUUAGUUGAUUUCUUAAGUUUAUCGCAUUUUAUGAAUUUCUGCUUGUUUUAUGUUGUAUUAGUAGUUCAUCUCUUUUUGUCGCAUUUUAUGCGUUUCUGUGGUAGUGUUGUUUGGUUUCCAGGUCUAACAAUAAGCCUGAAAUAUGCGUACCGGAAGAAUUAAAGUCAAGGACAUCGUGCAAAGCGAGAAAAGGCAAAAACAGGGGGCUGACACGGGUGCCCGUGUCAGCUGACACGACCUGUGUCAGUAUGUGCAGAAUACAGAUUGUGGAAUCCAGAAACCAAGGGGUUGACACGGGUGCCCGUGUCAGCAAGGGCUGAAGAGUUUGAGUUGACAGAGAGCCAACAUGGGCGCCCGUGUCACCUGACACGGUCCGUGUUGGCCAAUUCGCCAUGUUUGCUGAUUUUUAUUGUUUUGAUCCAUGUGUACGUCCGGAGGGCAGUAUGGGUAUUUCACGAUGUUUUUAGUUGAUUGGAAACUAUUUAGUCUGCAUUUUGGUGAAGAGAGAGGACACUUUUGAUCGUACAAGAAAAAGACAGAAAGGAGAAGCGAACUUUCAAGGUGUUUAGAGAAGAAGAGAUCUUCAAGAUCGGAAGAGAUUGAAGAUCAACCUUCAUCAACAACAAAUUGUACUGUCUCUAUUUUGUAAUUUACUAUCUUUGAAUAUUAUGAGAAGUUAAACCCCCCAAUGCUAGGGGGUGUCCCUGAAUUGCUACUGUAUGAACACUUUUUCUAUGUUUUUAUGAUCAUCGAUGUUUUCUUAAUUCAAAUUAUUAUACAACGUUCUUAAAGCUUUAUUUUAUCGGACAAAUGGAAUUUUGAUCUCUGGUUAAGGUUUAGGUCGGACAAACCACCUUAUCGCUUGUUGUGUAAUAAUAUUUCGGUUUAAUCACUUAGGAAUAAGGAUCAAACCGUAGUAACCGUUAAUUCUUGCUCAAUUGCAUAUUUCGUAACGUCAUUUUGAAUAACUAAGGAAUUAGGAUUGAAAUUGACUGUUAAUGGUUUUCGGCUAAGGGAUUAGAUAAAACAAUUCUUGAGAAUCAGUUUUGAAUAAUUACAACGUAGAUGUUAUAUAAUAUGGAAGGAGUGUAGUACAAAGCAAUUCACACAUAUUGCCUUAGCAUGCUUUCUCAUAUCGCUUAACAACUUUUUAUAUGCUUUAUAUAAUUUAUUCUUGUUCUUAUCAUUUUGAAAACAAUCAUUAAACCCCCUAUGAUCUUUUGUUCAAUGGAAUUAUUGUAAAGAUUUGUACUUAUUACGCAGUCCUCAAGAUGAUACUUGGGAUAACUCCCAUUUCAUUACUACAGUGGUGCAAAUAGUACACUUGCUAUUUUACCGAUCAAGUUUUUGGCACCGUUGUCGGGGAUUGCCAAAGUAUAAGUUGAAUAAUAAUUCAAUUGAAAUUUUUUCGCUCAACGACCAAAAUUUUAUUUCUCUGUACUAUUGGUUAUUUUUAUAAAUUCUAAUAAUUGUCUAAUCUGUGCAUGCAAGACGACGAAAAGCUAGACUGGAACAUUUAGAAGCAACCCCCAUUGUUUCUGAGUCUGAAAAAGAAGAAGCUAUUUCAGUUCAUUCGGAACCAAUGGCUGAAGCUCCACCUUCCGUGGAAAUACUUUUGGGUGACUAUGGAGGUGCAAAUGCUCCUACUGGAAGGUUAACAAUUGUGAACCAACCGGUAAAUGUUGAUCAUUUUCAGCUACACCCUUCAACGAUUCGUCAUCUCGAAAGGAGACCGUUCUCCGGAAAAAUCAAUGAAGAUGCCAACAAGCAUUUACAAAGAUUUCUGACCAUGAUGACAUCGUUGAAAAUUGAGGGACACUCAGAGGAAGCUAAAAAGUUGGUGAUGUUUCCGUUUACACUAUCGGAAGAUGCUGAAGAGUGGUGUUACUCUUUACCCGUGGGAAGCAUUACAGCUUGGCAACAAAUGGAGACAACAUUUUUGAAUGAGUACUUCCCUGGUUCUGUGUAUAUCUGUAAGAGAUAUGAUAUUGUUAAUUUCAAAUAGAAGGAAAGAGAGUCACUCAGAGACGCUUACAAGAGGUUCAAGCGAUUGUUGGUUGCAUGUCCUACUCAUAACAUGGAUGCAACUGAAUAGAUGCAAAAUUUUAUGAAUGGCCUUAGAAUGAAGACUAAGUAACUCAUAGACACAGCUGCCGGUGGCUUAACAAAUUUUACAACAACCACUGGAAUAAAGAAAAUCAUUCAAGCCAUUGCAGCAAAUCAGCAUCUGGAGCUCUAUGACCGCAGUGUAAGUCAACCUGAAGGUAUCAUUGAUCUCAAGCUAACAAAUCAAGUUGUGAAGAUGGAAGAUUAAAUAACAGCUGAAGUAGAGAGAAGAAUCAAUAAAAUGGCUCUUGACACUCAAACGGUGGCACAAGUUCAACCGGUUCAACCUAUUUAAACAGUUAGUUGUGAAAUUUGUGGGGGACCGCACUUCGCCAUGCAUUGUGUGGAAACUACACAACAGGUAGAAGAGAUUAAUUUUCUGAAGCAAAAUAACCCUUACUUCAAUACUUAUAAUCCUGGAUGGAAAAAUCAUCCAAAUUUUUCCUGGAAGGACCAACAAGGAAAUGCUCACAAGCAAGUGCCCAGUCAAUAUCAAAGCCAACCGCAACAACAGUAUCGACCACAACAAUAACAACCUUACCAGCAGCAGUUUCACCAAUCCCAACAACAAUUUCAAUAACAGGUUCCAAGAAAAGCAGAUAGGGAAAUUGCCAUUGAAAAAAUGGCGGCUCAAAGUUCACAAUUUCAAGAGGAGACUAGAAGUAAUCUGAGAAACACUGGUGCAUCAAUAAAAAAUCUGGAAGUGCAAAUGAGUCAGAUUGCUCAACAACUCGCGGGUUCUCAAACACUGGGUGCAUUACCGAGUGCUACAAUUAUAAAUCCACGAGAGCAUAAUAAUGUGAGUGUUGUAACCAUAAGAAGUGGUAAAUCAAAAGAAGUCCCUGAGAAAGAUGAUGACCAAGAAGACUAAUUGAUUGAAGUUGAGUUGGAAAUAAAAGAAAAUGAGGUUGUGAGUGAAGAGGUGGUAGUGCCUAAACUGAUGGUUAAAGGAAAAGUUAGUGAACCAAAGUCGGCUGUCAAACUCCCUUUCCCCAUAAGAAAUAAGAAGAAAGAGCAACAUGAGAAGAACUUCGAGAAAUUCUUGGAGAUGUUCAAAAAGCUUGAGAUUAACAUUCCGUUCUUGGAGGCACUUGAACAAAUGCCCUCUUAUGCCAAAUUUAUGAAGGAAAUUAUUUCAAAGAAGAGGAGCGCCGACACUGACCCUAUUGUACUAACCGAAACUUGUAGUGCAAUUUUGCAGGGUAUGAAGAUUCUAGUGAAGAAGAAAGAUCGAGGCUCGGUAACUAUCCCUUGCACUAUCGGGGAUAGGUAUUUAAAAAAGGCCCUUAUAGACUUGGGGGCAAGUGUGAUUCUCAUGUCGUUAUCCAUUUACAAGAGGUUAGGGAUUGGAAAAGUGCAAGAUAGCAAAAUGACACUUCAAUUUGCUGACCACUCUGUGAAGAGACCUUAUGGAGUGGUGGAAGACAUUCUUGUGAAGAUUGAUAAGUUUGUAUUUCCGAUGGACUUUGUCAUCUUAGAAAUGCCGGAAGAUGAAGAGAUACCACUCAUCCUUAGUAGACCAUUUUUGGAGACCGGAAGAUGUUUGAUAGAUAUAGAAGAGGGCACCAUGACUCUAAAAGUUUACGAUGAAGAGUUGAAAAUUGAUUUGCGUAACACCAUGAGAUACAAAGAUGAUGUGGCCACCAGUCAACACAUAGAGGUGAUUGAUCAAAUGGUUCUGCAAGAAAAUCCUUUAGGUGAACCACAAUUGCCCUUGGAGAGAGUUCUAAGUCUAUCAAUUUCUGAAGACAGAUGUGGCCACCAGUCAACACAUAGAGGUGAUUGAUCAAAUGGUUCUGCAAGAAAAUCCUUUAGGUGAACCACAAUUGCCCUUGGAGAGAGUUCUAAGUCUAUCAAUUUCUGAAGACACUCAAGAAGUUGACUAAAAGGAGAGGGAAGUGUUAACUAUGAUGGCAACACAACCACCCUUUAAGGGAUCCCGAUCACUCCGAUGGGAAAACUUGAGGGAACCCCAGUUUGAGGAAAAGAAAGAUGAGACCAAGAAAGUGGAUGAGCUGAAACAAUUGCCGAAAAAUCUCAAGUAUAUUUUUCUAGAUUCUGAAAGGAGAUGCCCGACUAUUAUAAGCUCUAAUCUAAAAGUUUCCCAAGAAGACAAGCUCGUCAAGGUUCUGAAGAAGCAAAAAAGUGAAAUGGGAUGGGCGAUAGAAGACUUGAAGGGGAUUAGCCCUACGGUAUGUAUGCAUAAAAGUCUCAUGGAGGAUGGUCACAAACCAGUGGUGCAACCCCAAAGAAGACUAAAUCCCGCAAUGAAGGAAGUGGUUAGGAAAGAGGUUGUUAAACUAUUAGAUGUUGGGUUAAUUUAUCCCAUAUCGAUAGCUCUUGGUGAGUCAUGUUCAUUGUGGGUUCCGAAGAAAGGAGGGACUACCGUUAUAAAGAAUGAGAAAAAUGAGUUACUCCCUACAAGGACGGUCACGAGGUGGCGUGUUUGCAUCGAUUACAGAAGGUUGAAUUUGGCGACAAGAAAGGAUCACUUUCCUUUACCAUUCAUCGAUCAGAUGUUGGAAAGGUUGGCUGGUCAUGAGUACUAUUGUUCCUUGAUGGAUACUCUGGAUAUAAUCAGAUAGCGGUUGCACCAGAAGAUCAAGAGAAGACAGCUUUUACUUGCCCUAUGGUAUUUUUGCUUACAGAAUAAUUCCAUUCAGGUUUACGUAAUGCACCCGGCCACAUUUCAAAGAUGCAUGACUUCCAUUUUUUGGACAUGCUCGAAAAGCAUAUGGAGGUUCUUCAAUGGAUGACUUCUCGGUAUUUGGUUUCUCUUUUGAUAAUUGUUUAACUAACCUUUCCCUUGUGUUAGAAAGAUGCCAACAGACCAACUUGAUUCUCAACUGGGAGAAGUUCCACUUCAUGGUGUGAGAAGGCAUAGUCUUGGGUCAUGAAAUUUCUCACAAAGGAAUAGAAGUGGACCAAGCCAAGAUCGAGGUAAUAGAAAAGCUACCCCCUCCAAUGAACGAAAAAGGUAUAAGAAGUUUCUUAGGGCAUGCGGGUUUCUACCGUAGGUUCAUAAGAGACUUUUCUAAGAUAGCUAAACCUUUAACUACCCUGUUGGUUAAGGACAAGGCUUUCAUCUUUGAUAAAGAGUGUGUCAUUGCUUUUGAAACUAUAAAAAAUAAAUUGGUGACGGCACCUAUUGUCAUUGCCCCAGAUUGGUCUCUACCUUUUGAGAUCAUGUGUGAUGCGAGUGACAUUGCAGUGGGAGAAGUUCUUGGGCAACAUAGAGAUAAACUGUUGCAUGUCAUAUAUUAUGCUAGUCAUGAUACCUUUUGAGAUCAUGUGUGAUGCGAGUGACAUUGCAGUGGGAGAAGUUCUUGGGCAACAUAGAGAUAAACUGUUGCAUGUCAUAUAUUAUGCUAGUCAUGUUUUGAACCCUGCACAGAUGAACUAUGCGACUACCGAGAAGGAGUUGCUAGCGGUGGUCUAUGCCUUUGAUAAAUUCAGGCAAUAUCUGUUGGGUUCUAGAGUCAUUUUUUAUACUGACCAUGCUGCUUUGAAGUAUUUAUUUUCUAAGCAUGACUCUAAGCCAAGACUGUUGAGAUGGAUCUUACUCCUCCAAGAGUUUGAUUUGGAAAUUCGUGACAAAAGAGGGUGUGAAAAUACUGUGGCAGAUCACCUCUCUCGGAUGUCCCCUAUAGAGGAGAAUGAGGAAAAGCGUCUGAUAAAGGAUGAGUUUGCUGACGAACACAUCCUUGCUGUUAUUGGAAUGCCAUGGUUCACAGACUACGCGAACUAUCUAGUAGGUGGGGUGAUCCCUAGCGAAUUUGACUCUAACAAAAAGAAAAAGUUUGUGCAUGAUUGCAGGUUUUACUUGUGGGAUGACCCAUUCUUGUACAAGAAGCGAAUUUGACUCUAACAAAAAGAAAAAGUUUGUGCAUGAUUGCAGGUUUUACUUGUGGGAUGACCCAUUCUUGUACAAGAAAGGAGUAGAUGGGUUGGUCAGAAGAUGUGUUCCCGAAGAAGAACAAAGAGAUGUCCUGAAAGUAUGCCAUGACUCUGACUAUGGUGGACACUUUAGUGGUGAUAGAACCGCAGCCAAAGUCCUCCAGUCAGGCUUCUACUGGCCUACACUUUUCAAAGAUGCUCAACAAUUAAUCAAAGAGUGCGAUAAGUAUCAAAGGAUGGGAAACAUCUCGAAAAGAAAUCAGAUACCGCAGAACCCCAUGUUGGAAGUUGAACUCUUCGAUGUUUGGGGUAUCGACUUUAUGGGACCAUUUCCACCUUCAUUUGGAAAGAAUUACAUUUUGGGGGCGGUGGAUUAUGUAUCCAAGUGGGUAGAAGCAGUCGCUCUACCAACGAAUGAUGCAAAAGUGGUAGUCAAGUUUCUAAAGGAAAAUAUAUUUGUCAGGUCUGGAGUGCCAAGAGCUCUAAUAAGUGAUAAAGGAACUCAUUUCUUAAAUCACCUAAUGGAGAAGCUACUCUUGAAGUAUAAUGUAAAACAUCGUAUAGCCACUCCGUACCAUCCGCAAACAAGUGGUCAAGUUGAAGUGUCGAAUAGACAGCUGAAACAAAUUCUGGAGAAGACGGUCAACUCAUCUCGCAAAGAUUGGGCAAGUAAGCUUGAUGAUGCGCUUUGGGCAUACCGAACUGCUUUCAAAACACUGAUUGGUAUGUCCCCUUAUCAAUUGGUAUAUGGUAAGGCAUGUCACUUACCCUUAGAACUUGAACACAAAGCUUUGUGGGAUUCAAAAUUCCUUAAUUUCGAUCUUUCGAAAGUGGGAUAAUCUCGAAUACUUCAACUCCAUGAGUUAGAAGAAUUUAGGAACCGAGCAUAUGAAAAUGCCAAGAUCUACAAAGAUCAAACAAAGAAGUGGCAUGAUAGAAGGAUCCAAAGGAAGGAAUUUUGGAAAGGACAAAUGGUACUAUUGUUUAAUUCGAGGAUGAAGUUGUUCUCGGGAAAACUGAGAUCGAAAUGGUCGGGUCCGUUUAUGGUACACAAGGUAUAUCCUCAUGGAGCAAUCGAACUAAAAAAUCCUUCCAAUGGGGACAUUUUUAAAGUGAAUGGCCAAAGAUUGAAGCCUUACAAUGUGGAGCACGAAGUUGGUCAAAUUGAUGUUGUUCAUCUUGUCUGAUAAGAUGAACAACCGUCGAGCCAUGCGACGUUAAACGAAGCGCUACGUGGGAGGCAACCCACGCUUUUGUGUCUAAUUACUUUCUUUGUUUUGUUGUGUGUUAUUGAAUUGCAGGUUAGAACAAUGUUUGCUAGAGGAGCCAAAAGUUCGUGUGCCAAAAGUCUCUGGAAAAAUUGGAAGCAGAAGCCUGACACAAUCACGAGAAAACAGUGAAGGAAAAAGAAAAAUCGGGGGCCUGACACGGGUGCCCGUGUCAGCAUGUGAUUAGAGAAAGGUGGUUUCCAGGGGCUUGACACGGGUGGCCGUGUCAGCCCCUGAGUGAACAAGUUGGAAAGAGGAAGGACACGACCGGUGUCAUGGAGGUCCUUAGCGCGGACACGGCCUCCCGUGUCAGCAAGCGUGUUGGGAAAAUUUUCAAAAAUUUUGACCGUUGGCAAUUGGGCCCACCACCGAAUUUCCCCCGCUAAAUCCAUUUUAUCACCCAUUCACUCCUCAUUAACCUCUUCUCUUACCUAUUCUCUCACCUUCAUCUCUCUUUCUCUCAAAAAUACCUAAAAACCUCCAUUUUUCUUCACAUAAAGCUCCAUCCUUUCACCUCAUAACUCCAUCAAAUCUCCAUCCGUCAAAAAAUACCUAAAAACCUCCAUUUUUCUUCACAUAAAGCUCCAUCCUUUCACCUCAUAACUCCAUCAAAUCUCCAUCCGUCUUCACAAAAGUUCUUCCAUUUUCCAUCCUCUACCUUCCUACGGUAACAUUUUUGCCUAAUCUCUCUUUUCAAUUUCAAGUUUCUUUUUGUUGUGUGCAGGUAAGAACAUCUCUCGGCGAGUAGACAUAAGCAAAAAUGUGGCGGAAUCAUCCUGGCCACGUCAAAGGGCGAGAAGGACUCUGAAUGAGCACGACAUUAUGUUUGAAAACUUGGAGCACCAAAAGAGGUAUACGGUUCAUCUUAAAAGAAAAUUAACCCCCACCAGAUACAUGUGUAAUGGCACUUUGCAGGAACUGGGAUUGCAAGCGGAAGUUCACCAAAUGUUCCACACCUUAGGUAUGUUGGAAUUCAUGCAGUUAGAAGCGCCAACUUUUGUGCGCAUUACUCUUGAAUUCUUGAGUACCAUUGAAUUUAAGCUGAAAAAUCGGUGGAAUGGAACGGAGAAAGAGUACUACGGUACUCUGCAUUUUCGUUUAUUUAAUACUUAUAUGGAAUUGUAUGUGGAUGAGUUAGGGAGUAUCCUAAAACUCCCAAUCAUAGGCCCUUGAAUGGUGCCCGAUACUUUUGUUCUGGCGGAAUUCUGGACCGCUAUAACAGGUAACACUAAGUAUGUCUCCAAAGAGGCAAAAGCAUCGGGUAUCCAUAACCCUUGUUUCAGGUACGCGCAGAAGGCUUUGGCAUACACCAUGUUUGUUCGCGGUGAUAGCAUCGGUGUCACCACCCAAAGGGAGUUGUUCUUUCUAUACAGUAUGGCAGCACAAACUCCUAUCAACGUAGCAGCAUUUGCAACUGACUACCUAGGUAGCGUUGGUCGCGCUACUUCAGGCGACAUUUCGGUUGGCGGAAUGAUCACACAGAUUGCCGACCAUUUUGGAUUUGGUGUUGCGCUUGCUGACUCUCCACAGGUGCUGGGUAAAAAUAAACUGGACAUGGCCGCGUUGAUUCAACAAGGCAUGAUUGAGGUGACACAAGAUUACUAUUCUCUUAUCUGCCAAAAAUUCCAUGUUCUUGCUUUACCCGCUUAUGAUUUCAUCAGUAUUACUAACAAAGCCAACUGGCUUUAUGAGUGUCCUGACCUGGAUGAGGGGGACGGAGAUUUUCUUGAUUCUUUGCCUGCAUAUGAACAUAUGGAGGGUGCACCGAGCACGGAGGAGUCGUUUACCAACAACCACUGGAAUCGACUCAAGCUUCAAGGUCCUACUCCAUGCCACAAGACCAAUGGGGUUGGAUUCAAGAUGAGAUCGGUCACCUUCGCACGGAGCAAUCUAGGCAAGGUGAGGAGCUCACCAGGUUCGGAGUCGAACAACUCCGCCAAGGGACGGUUUUGGAUGAGAUGAAUGCGAUGAUGCAAUGCAUGAUGUUGCAUUAUCCGUACUCGCCCCCACCUCCUCAUUAAAAAUUGUGAGUACCCCUCUUAUCUUAAUAAUAAACAUUGCGGACAAUGUUUGGUUCAAGUGUGUGUGUGGGGGAGGGGUAUUGUUUUGUAUUUUAUUUUAGUUGUGUUUGUUUGCUUUGUUACUUUGUUUUGUCUUUGUGUGUCUGUUUUAUUUCCUUAAGUUAUAGAUAAAAGUGGAUUCUACUAGAUAAAUGAUGGACUAGUGACCAGUGAGGGAAAGAUGCAACCCCGGAUUUGCUCCCGAGGCAACUUGGAAGUUGAUACAACUGAGAAAGAAAAUGUUGGACGUAACUUGGAAACUCUAGACCGAAAGAGGGGAGGGUAAACCCAAGCUGAAAAGGAAGUUGUUUGUCAUAAAGAGUGGUUUGGAGCCUGCAAGCUUAUCCAACAUGGUGAGAUUUCAACAUAACCAAACACAAAAGAGCGCAUUCAGGUAUGACUUUAUCUCUCUAAUUUUGCGUAAGUUCAGCCUGCAAGCUUAUCCAACAUGGUGAGAUUUCAACAUAACCAAACACAAAAGAGCGCAUUCAGGUAUGACUUUAUCUCUCUAAUUUUGCGUAAGUUCUACUGAUACAGCACAAUACAAAGACGCACAAUGAGGCGCGUUGUUUAUUUUCACCCUUUAGCCUUUCUAGCAAUCCAUAUUGUUAUAUUUAUCCUUUGUUAAACCUGUUGAGCAUGUACCCCGUUGUUUGUGAAAACCGUCAUGUUAACCUAAGCCAAACACUUCCUACCUUCACUCGGCAUGACUGUUGUAGUGUAAAAUUCGUGCAAAAAGAUAAGUUUGGGGUGGUGAUCCUUAGAAAAAGUUGAAAAAGGGAAAGUGCAACAAAAAGAAGAAAAAAAGUGUGUAGAAACAUCCGCUUCUACCGAAAAAAAAAGAGAAAAGAAAUGAAAAAUAGAAGUGAAGUAUAAGCACUUGCCUAAUUCAAAGACUCAUGAAUUAAUGUGAUACUCAAAAGAAAAAUUGAGUGGAAAAGAGUCAAGUUGGACAAAACCCCAUAAACUAAUUUGUGCACAAAGAAAAGAAACAACAUGAAUGCCGAGUUCUAAACCUUUGUCAUCCAUUUUCUUGUCUACCCCCACCGUACCUAAGCCCCGUUACAACCCGAAAGACCUCUCAAAGUGUGUGAAUUUGGUUUGUGUAGUUAACGUAGAAUCUAUUCAAAAAAUAAGAGUUGAUAUUGCAUACCUUGAUAUCAUGAGUGCUAAACACUUUAACCCCGAGAUAUUUGGUGAGUGGUGUGAAGAAGUUUGCAGGUGAAGGAACACUCUGAUACGAUAAUACAGUGGAUAGUUCGAAUGGGUGAACCAGAAGCUUAAUCGGGAAGGAGGAAGAUAAGUUGUGAAUACCAUCAGCCGUAUUAUGGAAAGAAGAAAAUCCAUGGUUGACCUCUGUGUUGUCUCUUACAUCACUUGAGGACAAGCAAUGAGAUAAGUUUGGGGUUGUGAUCGGUCACCAUUUGCACUUAGUUUUCAUCAUCCAUACAACAUUAAUCUUCAAGAAUCAGUAACAAUUUGUUCUUUCUUUUAGUUGAUUUCUUAAGUUUAUCGCAUUUUAUAAAUUUCUGCUUGUUUUAUGUAUUAGUAGUUCAUCUUUUUUUAUCGCAUUUUAUGCAUUUCCGUGAUAGUGUUGUUUGGUUUACAGGUCUAACAAUAAGCCCGAAAGAUGCGUAGCGGAAGAAUGGAAGUCAAGGACAUCGUGCAAAGCGAGAAAAGGCAAAAAUAGGGGGCUGACACGGGUGUCCGUGUCAGCUGACACGACCCGUGUCAGCAUGUGCAAAAUACAGAUUAUGGAAUCCAGAAACCAGGGGGCUGACACGGGUGCCCGUGUCAGCUGACACGGGUGCCCGUGUCAGCUGACACGGCCCAUGUCAGCAAGGGCAGAAGAAUUUGAGUUGACAGAGAGCCAACACGGGCGCCCGAUGUCAGCUGACACGGGUGCCCGUGUCAGCUGACACGGCCCAUGUCAGCAAGGGCAGAAGAAUUUGAGUUGACAGAGAGCCAACACGGGCGCCCGUGUCACCUGACACGACCCGUGUUGGCCAAUUUGCCCCGUUUGCUGAUUUUUAUUGUUUUGAUCCCCGUGUACGUCCGGAGGGCAGUCUGGGUAUUUCACGAUGUUUUUAGUUGAUUGGAAACUAUUUAGUCUGCAUUUUGGUGAAGAGAGAGGACACUUUUGAUCGUACAAGAAAAAGACAGAAAGGAGAAGCGAGCUUUCAAGGUGUUUAGAGAAGAAGAUAUCUUCAAGAUCGGAAGAGAUUGAAGAUCAACCUUCAUCAAUAACAAAUUGUAAUGUCUCUAUUUUGUAAUUUACUGUCUUUGAAUAUUAUGAGAAGCUAAACCCCCAAAUGCUAGGGGGUGUCCCUGAAUUGCUAUUGUAUGAACACUUUUUCUAUGUUUUUAUGAUCAUCGAUGUUUUCUUAAUUCAAAUUAUUAUACAACGUUCAUAAUGCUUUAUUUUAUCGGACAAAUGGAAUUUUGAUCUCUGGUUAAGGUUUAGGUCGAACAAACCACCUUAUCGCUUGUUGUGUAAUAAUACUUCGGUUUAAUCACUUAGGAAUAAGGAUCAAACCGUAGUAGCCAUUAAUUCUUGCUUAAUUGCAUAUUUCGUAACGUCAUUUUGAAUAACUAAGGAAUUAGGAUUGAAAUUGACUGUUAAUGGUUUUUGGCUAAGGGAUUAGUGAAAACAAUUCUUGAGAAUCGGGUUUGAAUAAUUACAAUGUAGAUGUUAUAUAAUAUGGAAGGAGUGUAGUACAAAGCAAUUCACACAUCUUGCCUUAGCAUGCUUUCUCAUAUCGUUUAACAGCUUUUUAUACGCUUUAUAUAAUUUAUUCUCGUUCUUCUCGUUUUGAAAACAAUCAUCAAACCCCCUAUGAUCUUUUGUUCAAUGUAAUUAUUGUAAAGAUUUGUACUUAUUACGCAGUCCUCGAGAUCGAUACUCGGGAUAACUCUCAUUUCAUUACUACAUUGGUGCAAAUAGUACACUUGCUAUUUUACCGAUCACCAACCCUCAGUUGAGUCAUUGUUUUCCUCUGAGAGAGUCCCUACCCUAUUAUCGGGCGUUUCCCAUUAAGUUACAUCUUUCAACCUUUUGUUGAUAAGACGUUAUCCUUAGCUAAGCCAAACAUUGUUUCUUUAAACACUUACCUUGUUUCGCGUUGAGUAUCCCUCAAUGAGUCGUUUCCUGUAACCUUUUGUUGAUGGAAGCCUCAUCUUCCAAUAGAAUAUUAGUUCUGCAACCUUUUGUUGGUUAUACCCCGAGCAAGUCUUACCCAGUAAUGUUCCAAUACUACCCAACAAGUCGGGUUUAUUGAAUGUUGACAAUAGCCUUAUUUUUCCAAAUAUUUUUCCCACUAUCAUCCUUUUGAUGAAAGUCCAUUGAGGAAUAAUACUAAUCAUCACCCUGUUUACGAUAACCGUUAUCCUUUUGGUAAUGGUAAAUCCUUGACAUUCGUGAUCUUACCGUCAUCCUUUUGGUGUCGGCGAUCCUUGAAGUUUUGUCCCAACCUUCAUCCUUUUGGUGAAUGGCGACCUCUGCAACUAUUAUAGCCCACCGUCAUCCUUUUAGUGUCGGUAAUCCUUGUCAUUUUGGUUCAACCAUCAUCUUUUUGGUGAUGACGUCCAGUUCAAUCUAAAUAUUAUCCUUUUUGUGAUAGAGAUUAUGGAGUCUGGUUUAGGCUAUCGUCCUUUUGGUGAUUGUGACCUAGGGAAAGUCCAAUCCCACUGUCAUCCUUUUGGUGUCAGCAAUAUUUGAAGUUAUUAUAACUUACUAUCAUCCUUUUGGUGGUAACAAGUUCCGAAGUUAUGACCUCACCUUCAUCCUUUUGGUGAUGGUGAUUGUUGAUUCAUUAUCAUCCUUUUGGUGAUAACGAGUCCUGUUGUUUGUAGUACCUUCAUCCUUUUGGUGAUGGUGACCAUCGACUUAUUAUCAUCCUUUUGGUGAUAACAAGUUUUGUUGUUCAAUCCUACCUUCAUCCUUUUGGUAACGGUGAUCAGUAAAAGUUAUUGACUUAUUAUCAUCCUUUGAUGGUAAAGAGUUUUGUUGUUUAAUCUUACCUUCAUCCUUUUGGUGAUGGUGAUUGUUUUGACUUAUUAUCAUCCUUUUGGCGAUAACAAGUUUUGAAGUUUUGUUCUUACCUUUAUCCUUUUGGUGAUGGUUAUCAUUUAAGUUGUCGUGACUUAUUAUCAUCCUUUUGGUGGUAACAAGUUUUGUUGUUUGAUAAUACCUUCAUCCUUUGGUGAUGGUGAUUGUCAUGACUUAUUAUCAUCCUUUUGGUGGUAACUAGUUCUGUUACUAAUCUUACUGUCAUCCUUUUGGUGUCAGUGAUAUUCGAAGUUAUAUUGAUUUAUUAUCAUCCUUUUGGUGGUAACAAGUUUUGUCUUGAUUUUACUUUCAUCCUUUUGGUGAUGGUAAUCAUUUAAAUUGUUGUAAUUUAUUAUCAUCCUUUUGGUGAUAACGAGUUUUGUUGUUUGUAGUACCUUCAUCCUUUUGGUGAUGGUGACUGUCGACUUAUUAUCAUCCUUUUGGUGAUAACAAGUUUUGAAAUUUUGUUCUUACCUUCAUCCUUUUGGUGACGGUGGUCAUUUAAGUUAUUAUGACUUAUUAUCAUCCUUUUGGUGAUAACGAGUUUUGUUAUUGGUUCCACCUUCAUCCUUUUGGUGAUGGUGAUUGUUGACUUAUUAUCAUCCUUUUGAAGAUAACAAGUUUUGUUUGGGUCUUACCCUCAUCCUUUUGGUGAUGGUGAUCAUUGAAGUUAUUUGACUUAUUAUCAUCCUUUUGGUGAUAACAAGUUUUGUUGUGGGAUCUUACCUUCAUCCUUUUGGUGACGGUGAUCUUUGAAGUUGAUGAGUACCUUUUGGUGAUGGUGAUCAUUGAAGUUAUUUGACUUAUUAUCAUCCUUUUGGUGAUAACAAGUUUUGUUGUGGGAUCUUACCUUCAUCCUUUUGGUGACGGUGAUCUUUGAAGUUGAUGAGUUAACCAUCAUCCUUUUGGUGGUAGCCUUGAUAUUAUACUUUUGGGAAUGGAAAGCUUUAUCAGAAUGUCAUCAUCCUUUUGAUGAUGGACGUCAUCCUUUUGGUGAUAAAAAUCUUUGAAUUUUAUUAUGUCAGACUUUCAUCCUUUUUGGUGACAGCAAGUUUGGUUAUUAAUCUUACCAUCAUCCUUCUGAUGAUGACUACCUCUAAAGCUUGGUUUAUCCAUCACCCUUUUAGUGAUGACAAUUAAUUCUACUGUCAUCCUUUUGGUGCCAGAAAACUCGUUCAGUUUUCGCUCUCACAUCAGAAACGACCUUUGCAAGAUUUAAAUGUCGACUCGAGGGUUGGCAUUGAUUUGACGUUCUACCCCAAUACCUUGGUGCUAUUAGAACUCGUUGCAUUUUCUCUCUGCAUUUCUCCAUUGCAUCUCAAAGGACAAAAUUCGGGUCUUUUCGUAUUUAAUUACCUUCCACCACGAACGUAUGAAGACUGUCGUCAUUCUUACCUUCUAGUUCAAGUUAAUUAAAUAGGGGCAACUGUCAUACCCCAAUUUUAUCCGGGCAUUUUUAAAUAUCAGUCAGAAUAGAAUAUUGAAAAUACAGACAAAUUGGUUAAAUCGUUUCUCAAGUACGUGCAAAAUCAGCGGGUAAAAAGUUUCAAAAUUAAAAUUACAGACGCCAGUAUCAUUAACCUAUGGUUCACGUAGUUUAACCUGGUGUGCUCGUUGUAUUUUUCAGGGACUGUUUCGGCUGCGUUUUGACCCGCCUAAGCCUUUUAACCGGUGAAAAUUUAUUUUAGAAUUUGAAGAAACGCUGUAUUUUUUCAAUAAGUGUAUUCUGUGCUGAUCAUUUUGGUGCACCCGAUUUAAUUUUUCGAGCAAAUUUUCGCCCGACUUUUUUGCAUAAUCAAUCAUUUUAUUUUUAUCCUUUCGCCAAAACAUUCAGAAAAUUGAAAUUUCCAUGUCUUCAUUUUAUUUUUACCAUAUUCAUUUUAGAAGUUGUGGAUUUUUAUUUGAUUUCAUUGAUCUAAAUUGUUUUAAGUCAAUUGAACCAUCUAGAAGGGGCACCUUUGAUAUUCUUAGAAUUAGUUAGCAUUUGUGUUUCUUUGGUUUAAUCUCGAUCGUUAAAUCGAGACUAAUCAAAGGUCUAUAAUAGUUAUCCAUGUGUGUUUCUAUUUACCAAUAAUAAAAUCAAAUAAUAUUAAUAUUAAUAAUAAAGAGAAAAAAUCCAUUUAUGGUUGUGUAAAUAAGGAUAGGUGGCUCUUUUUUCUCAAAUUUAGAAAAAAGAGAAAUGCUGAAAAUACUACCCUUUAGGAUUUUUUUCGGUGGCCUCUCGGAUCACUCUCAAACAAAAUUCAUAACAACUCAUUAUUGGCCAGGAGAAAAUGAGUUGUCUCCACUCAUAGCUGGAAAAGGAAUCCACUCUCUUUCUCUCUCUCAAAAGAGAACUCUGAAAAGAAAGAAAAAAAGAAUAGAUAUAUCUCAACGAGUACACAAAAGGAAAAAAAAAUCUCAUUCUGAAAAAAGACGUUACAUCCAUUUAAAUUUCUCUCUCUCACCACUCAUAAAAGAACUACCCAUUCACCUAACUUUCGGACUCUCUCUCACGGGUUCCUCACGUUACAAAAAGAUAAAAGGAAAAAAGAAAUUCAAAAAGGACUGACAAAAAACUCUCUCACCUGAUACCAUUCCUUCUCUCUCAUAAUAACCCUCUCUCUCUCUGACUUCCAAAAGGCAACCAAAAAAGAAAAAAGAAAUUGAGAGGAAUCUUCCUCUUCUUCGGAAUCUCAUCACUCUUCACCACCGGACCGCCUUCAACAACCUCCGUCGUCGAAAACCUCACAGCCAUAACUGCGCCCCCCUUCACCCUCCUUCAAACUCUCCGCUGGCGAAAAACAGAAACACCGCGAUCCUCUUUUUCAACACCGUCCAAACCCUUCGUCUUCGUCACAACCACACACCGCCAUCUCCACCGUCCAAAUCCCAUCUCCGUCUUCACUCAACUCACAACCGCAACCAACCAACAACACCGUGAAACCGUUUUUACGAAACGAAACUCAAUGAAUCUCCUUCCUCACGAAAUCACCGCCGCCACCUUCGACAUCUUACUGCCAUCCACAAUAAACCCUCACAACCGCCUCCGUUCCCCUCCCACACUUCCUUCGUGGCCACCGCAAAAGCCACCACGCGUCUUCUCCUUCACAUUCACGGACGUCUUCUCCUUCCGAUGUCGGAUUCAAACGCAACCAACCAGCCGCUCUACAACAAUAAGAGGAGCAUAGCACCAAAGGAAAUAAUGUAGAAGGAUGGGUCUAGCCGCACUCCGUUUCCAUUAUAAUUUCAAGUUCAUUUCUGACGAACUCACAGUCCUUCCAAUCACCACAAGGUCGUCGAACCCAUACGUAUAUCACUGUAAAUCUCAUGUUGAUUGGUUUAUUAUUGCUUUUGUUUUUUCCAAUUGGAGUAAGGUAGAGAUUAAAUCGAGGAUGCAAGGGUUUGUUUCAUCGGUCUUAAAGAUGAAAAAUAAUGUUCUGCAUUUUUAAAGAACGAAAGAAAGCAUAGUGGAAAUUUCUAACUUAUUAUGAGCCUUGAUUUUCCUAAUGGUAAUGUAAAAGUUAAACUGGAUUUUUACGUUUUGUUACUUGUUUGUUUGACUGAACUUUUUUUUAAUUAUUAUUACAUGACAAUAGAAUUAGUAUUUUGGUUGUAGAAAGAGUUGUCUGCAUAUAAUUCAUUAUGGGCUUGGUUUUCUUUUUAUCCAGGAAAAUUUUAGAUUGGAUCGAUAAUGCUUAAUAGUGUACAUUGAAUUCUUUCUUAAAUCACGUUUGGAAGGGUCCUGCAACUCUUUUUGUUUAUUUCAAACUUGGACAUCAUUGGUUUUAAAUGGUACUUUGUUUUAAUUAAUUGUAUUAGUAUCCCUUGUUCUAACUAAUUUAUUAGUUCACAACGUUACAACCAUUUUUCUCAAAUACAUGGUUGGUUCUACUAUUAAAAUUUAAAUUAGAUUAUUAAUUGCCUAAUGGAUUUUAUAGUGUAUAUGUAUAAAUCUGCUCCAAUCAUAUGGCGUUGUUGUUAACAUUCAGUUAAUAUGUUGUGUAUAACCUUGGGUGGUUUCUAUGUGAUUUCAAUUCCAUUAUGAUGAAGUUUGAAAUUCUAGUUAUCAGACUUUAGAUGUCACACGGGUUGUUAUGACAUCCAAUUCUGCACAGACAAGAAUUAUGCAGAACUUAAAAGUAAGUGCAGUAAAUAACACAAGUAAUUGUUUACCCAGUUGAGUCCAACAUGACCUACAUCUNCAUUCCACCAAAGACUAUAUCAUCCACAUAGAUUUGAGCUAUCAUGAUUUUGCCUUCUUCAUCCUUCACAAACAAGGUUUUAUCUAUUCCACCUUUUCUGUAUCCAUUUGAGGUCAGAAAUUCGGUCGACCUUUCAUACCAUGCUCUAGGUGCUUGUUUCAACCCAUACAAGGCUUUUCUCAACUUGUACACAUGCUUGGGUUGGUUGGGAUCACUGAACCCUUUGGGUUGUUCCGCAUAGACUUCUUCAUUCAAGUAGCCAUUCAAGAAUGCGCUCUUCACAUCCAUUUAGAGCAGUUUAAACUUCAGAAUGCAUGCUACACCUAACAGCAAUCUGAUGGACUCAAGUCUAGCCACAGGAGCAAACGUUUCAUCAAAAUCAACCCCUUCCACUUGAGUGUAACCUUGAGCUACUAAUCUUGCUUUAUUCCUAGUAAUUACUCCUUUCUCAUCAGACUUGUUCUUGUAGAUCCACUUGGUACCAAUGAUGUUGGUCCCUUCAGGUCUAGGAACUAGCUCCCAAACUUCAUUCCGUUUGAACUGUAUCAUAUGCUGAGUCUGUUUUUCCAGAAAACAGACUGUACAAUUUUGCUGACCUGUAUAUGACCAAAAUGACCAUACUACAGUAACAGCUUACAUUAAUAAAUGUCAAAGUAUCCAAUUUGACAUUUAUACAUUUGGCCUUAAGUUAGUUCUGUUAUCCUCUUGAAGAACAGACUAAGAAACAUACUGAAGUGUAGCAGAACACUACUCUGUCUAUUGUUCAGUAUAUGCUGUCAAUGAUGAAUGUCAUAACAUCCCGUUUGACAUUCAGUCAGUAGGCCUUAUGCCAGGUCUGGUAUUACCUUGAUAACCAGACUGGAAAUAAAUACUAAGUUCCAACAGAACACCAGCUAUUCUAUUCCUUAGUAUUUGCUGACAGGUAUGAAUGUCACAGCAUCUAGUUUGACAUUCAAUAAAUCCUGUAUUAGCUAAUCCUGCAGUAACUACUCAAGUGUGUCAUGACAUCAGUCAAGACAUCAGAGUACAGUUAGUUAUUCCAACCUACAAUGCAGUCACACAUACACACCAUGUCAUGACAUUAGUCAAGACAUUAGUAACCAGCUAGUGUUUUACCAUAUAAUGCAGCCAAUUAAACACCUACAAACUCCCCCUUUGGCAAAUUUUUGGCUAAAACACUUUGAUCCCCAUAACAGAGUUAAUAGCAGCGGAAUCACACAUCUAGUAGGAAAUAGACCUAGCUAAUACACUCAGAGUGGCAGCAUACUCACACACAUGGAAGUUAAAUAAAAACUUCUACUUGCAGCACACAUACAGAAGUUAAACCCAAACUUCAACACACAACAGCUGUAGGGGAGGGAAUCUUCGAAUCUGUCAAGAGAGUCUGUUGUAGAGACCCACUCUGUUUGUCAGGGGUGGUGGUGGUUAUUACUCCCCCUUUUUGUCAAAAAUGUUGCCAAAGCCAACAACAUAACCAGAGAACAAUGACAGAGUUACAGACUUGGUUUUACUUCACAGUUUCAACCAAGUUAGCAUCCACUUAAUCUUGCUUCACAGCUUUGAUCAAGUAAUCACCCACUUUUGCUUUACAGUAGGUACCACCAUAUCAGAUGCCAUGACUUUGUUUCUGACAUCCAGAACCACUCCUGCAUGAACAGCAUCCUUGAACUCCUGCAGGUACAGUGGCCUUCUCUCUGUAGGGUGUCUCCUUACCCUCUUGUAUCCACCCUUGUUGCAAGCAGCAUAGCUAUGAUCUGUUGACCAAUCAUAGCCUAGUACAAAUUGUUUAAUAGGCAGAGAUAUUAAACAAUUUAUCCCAAACAUCAGUGGUUGCUAUAAGGUCUCAGAGAGACAUAUUCCCAGUUUGCUCCUUAAGUUUUCAAACUGAGUAGCAUCCAGAGCCUUUGUAAAUAUGUCAGCCAGUUGAAGAUCCGUGGCUACAUGUUCCAAAGUGAUCACCUUGUCUUCCACCAGAUCUCUGAUGAAGUGGUGCCUAAUGUCAAUAUGUUUGGUCCUGCUGUGUUGGAUGGGAUUCUUGGAGAUGUUGAUGGCACUGAGAUUAUCACAGAACAAUGUCAUGACAUUUUGAGUGACAUUGUACUCAGUGAGCAUUUGUUUCAUCCAAACCAGUUGGGAGCAACUGCUUCCAGCAGCUAUGUAUUCAGCCUCUGCAGUGGACAGAGAGACACAGUUCUGCUUCUUGCUGAACCACGAUAUGAGGUUUUCUCCUAAGAAGAAACAUCCACCUGAUGUGCUUUUUCUGUCAUCAGCACUUCCAGCCCAAUCAGCAUCACAGUACCCAGAUAGGACAGGCUCAGACCCAUGUGAAUACAGCAUCCCAUAGUCACACGUCCCAUUGAUGUACUUGAGAAUCCUUUUGACUUGAUUCAAGUGGCUCACCUUGGGCUCUGCUUGGUAUCUGGCACACACUCCAACUGCAUAGGAAAUGUCAGGUCUACUUGCAGUUAGAUACAGCAGACUACCUAUCAUGCUUCUGUACAGGCAUUGAUCAACACUAGGCCCUCCAUCAUCUUUGGUUAACUUCAGAUGAGUAGGAGCAGGAGUCCUCUUGUGCCUGGCAUGAUCCAUACCAAACUUCUUAACUAUGUUCUUGGCAUACUUGCUUUGGGAGAGAAACAUAGAGUCCUCCAUUUGGUUUACUUGCAUUCCAAGGAAAUAGGUCAGUUCUCCCACUAGACUCAUUUCAAACUCAGACUGCAUCUGGUGAACAAAUUUUUUAACCAUUUGUUCUGACAUUCCACCAAAGACUAUAUCAUCAACAUAGAUUUGAGCUAUCAUGAUUUUGCCUUCUUCAUCCUUCACAAACAAGGUUUUAUCUAUGCCACCCUUUCUGUAUCCAUUUGAGGUCAGAAAUUCGGUUAACCUUUCAUACCAAGCUCUGGGUGCUUGCUUCAACCCAUACAAGGCUUUCUUCAACUUGUAUACAUGCUCAGGUUGGUUAGGAUCACAAAACCCUUUGGGUUGUUCCACAUAGACUUCUUCAUUCAGGUAGCCAUUCAAGAAUGCACUCUUCACAUCCAUUUGGAAUAGCUUAAACUUCAGGAUGCAUGCUACCCCCAACAGCAAUCUGAUGGACUCAAGUCUAGCCACAGGAGCAAAUGUCUCAUCAAAGUCUACUCCUUCAACUUGAGUGUAUCCUUGAGCUACUAGUCUUGCUUUAUUUCUAGUAAUUACUCCUUUCUCAUCAGAUUUGUUUUUGUAGAUCCACUUGGUACCAAUGAUGUUGGACCCUUCAGGUCUUGGAACCAGCUCCCAUACUUCAUGCCUUGUGAACUGCUCGAGUUCCUCUUGCAUGGCAAUGAUCCAGUAUUCAUCAGUCAGGGCUUCUUUCACAUUCUUUGGUUCAACCUUGGAAACAAAGCAGGAAUUUGAGUUUAUUCCUCUUGACCUGGUAGUUACACCACUAGUGGGAUCCCCUAUGAUAAGAUCCUUAGGGUGGUCUUUCUGAAUUCUGAUAGAUGGCACUUUGGUGGGUGCCUCUACUUCACAUUCAGGAGGAGGUUCCUGUACUUCUUCAGACUUGACUGGACUGUCAGUUGGACUGUCAAGGAAUGUUUCAACAUCCUCCAUGACAUCGGUUCCUUCCUCUUUAUCAUCCACAAUGACAUUUAUGGAUUCCAUCAGGACAUUGGUCCUGUAGUUGAACACUCUAUAGGCUCUGCUGUUAGUGGAGUAUCCCAGAAAUACGCCUUCAUCACUUUUGGGAUCUAGCUUCCUUCUCUGUUCACGAUCUGUGAGAAUGUAGCAUUUACUUCCAAAGAUAUGAAAGUACUUCACAGUGGGUUUUCUGCCUUUCCAUAUUUCAUACAGAGUGGAGGAGGUUCCUUUUCUCAAGGUGACUCUGUUGUGAACAUAGCACGCGGUAUUCAUAGCUUCAGCCCAAAAGUGCAUAGGGAGCUUCUUUGCAUGAAUCAUAGCUCUGGCAGAUUCUUGAAUAGUUCUAUUUUUCCUUUCAACUAUCCCAUUCUGCUGAGGAGUUAUAGGGGAGGAGAACUCAUGACUUAUUCCUUCAGACGAGCAAAACUCAUCAAACUUGGAAUUCUUGAACUCAGUACCAUGAUCACUUCUAAUCCGGACCACACAACUGUCCUUUUCCCUUUGAAGUCUUAUGCACAGAUCUUUGAAGACAUCAAAUGUAUCUGACUUCUCUCUGAUGAAGCUUAUCCACGUGUAUCUGGAAUGGUCAUCAACCACCACGUAUGCAUAUCUCUUUCCACCCAGACUUUCAACCUGCAUAGGUCCCAUUAAGUCCAUGUGCAACAGUUCCAGAACUCUGGAAGUUGUAGGAUGUCCCAGCUUCGGAUGUGACAUCUUGGUUUGCUUGCCCACCUGGCAUUCUCCACAGACUCUUCCUUCAUCAAUAAGCAGCUUUGGAAUUCCUCUGACUGCUUCCUUGGAUAUGAUCUUCUUCAUUCCCCGUAAGUGGAGAUGUCCAAGGCGUCUAUGCCACAGCUUCACCUCCUGUUCUUCCUUGACUGAAGAGCAUAUUGUGGAGAAGUUUGAGACUUUAGGUUCCCACAGAUAGCAGUUAUCUUUGGACCUAGAUCCUCUCAUAACUUCCUGAUUGUCACCAUUCGUCACAAUACAUAGCUCCUUAGUAAACUGAACAUAGAACCCUUGAUCACACAGCUGGCUUAUGCUGAUGAGGUUUGCAGUUAGUCCUCUUACUAACAACACAUUAUUCAGUUUUGGAACUCCAGAGCAGUCCAGCUUACCCACACCUUUUAUUUUUCCUUUAGCCCCAUCACCAAAGGUCACAUAGCUGGUAUUGUGAGGUUGGAUGUCUGCCAAUAUAUUCUCCAUACCAGUCAUAUGUCUUGAGCAUCCACUGUCAAAGUACCAGUCUUCUUUUGUAGAAGCUCUUAGGGCUGUGUGGGCUAGCCUAGCAUACCAUUGUCGCUUCUUACUGGUGACAUUUUGCCUAAAUGUCUUAUGCUUAGGUCUGCCAUGAGGGACUUGGUUUGGGAAACCAUGUAGCCUGUAGCAGAAGGCUUUUAUAUGCCCCAGCCUACCACAGUGGUGACAUUUCCAUUUCUGGAACUUCCUCUUCUGAUGAUUAGUCAUCCUGGUUCCUCGAUGUUGAUACAUUGGAAGUGACUUCCCUUUGGAUUUCUGAACUUUAGCCUUUGGGCAUUUGCGUUCAGUUGAGGAUCUUUUCCCAAAGCCUAAACCAGAUGUGGUUCAAGACUUCUGUCCUAUCUUCAGGAUCUCUUCCAAGGUGUCAGUUCCUUUAUUCAUCAUUCUGAUGGAUUUAGUCAUCUGAUUCAGCUUGGAGGUUAGCAUGGUUAUCUCACCAUUUAGAUCCUCUAUGGCCGUCAGAUGCUGCAGUCUCUCAUCUUCAGCUCCUUGAUGAGUUUCUUCUGCUUUUCUCCUUGUACACGUACUUCUGCACUGGUGACACAUAGCUUCUUGUAAGCUGCAGCAAGUUCAUCAAAGGUCAGUUCAUCUGCACUUGAAUCAUCAUCAGUAGCACAAACACUGGUUAGUGCAGUGACAUGUUUAGCAGAUUCUCCUUCAGAUUCACUUUCAGAAUCUCCUUCAGACCAUGUGAUAGCUAGCCCCUUAUUUUGCAAUUUGAGGUAAGUAGGGCAUUCAGCUCUGACGUGUCCAUACCCUUCACAACCAUGACACUGGAUUCCCUUGCCGUGGUUGAACUUCUCAUCAGAAGUUGAUCUUUUCUUAAUGUCAGACGGGAUGUUCUUGACAUUAGGUCUACCUCUUUGAUCAAUCUUCUUCACGAACUUGUUGAACUGUCUCCCAAGCAUGGCUAAGGCUUCUGAUAUACUUUCAUCACCUCCAGUAUAUCCUGCUUCUGACUCCUCUUCAGCAUUAGAUACAAAAGCUAUGCUUUUGUUCUUCUUCUCAGCAUACUCACCCAAGCCCAUUUCAAAGGUUUGGAGGGAACCAAUGAGCUCAUCCACCUUCAUGUUGCAGAUGUCCUGCGCCUCCUCUAUGGCUGUGACCUUCAUAGCAAAUCUCUUAGGCAAGGACCUGAGAAUCUUUCUUACAAGUUUCUCUUCAGCCAUUUUCUCACCUAGUCCACCAGAGGUGUUUGCAAUUUCAAGAAUAUUCAUGUGAAAGUCAUGAAUAGUCUCAUCCUCUUUCAUCCUCAGAUUUUCAAACUUGGUGGUCAGCAUCUGAAGUUUGGACAUCUUCACCUUGGAAGUACCUUCAUGAGUUACCUUGAGGGUAUCCCAAACUUCCUUAGCUAGUUCACAGUGGUGUACCAGCCUGAAGAUGUUCUUGCUGAUUCCAUUGAACAAUGCAUUCAAGGCCUUGGAAUUUCCAAGAGCUAAUGCCUCUUGCUCCUUGUCCCACUCUUCUUCAGGAAUCUGCACACUGACUCCAUCUUCACCUGUCUUCAUUGGAUGUUCCCAUCCUUUGUUGACAGCUCUCCAGACUUUGCUGUCUAGAGACCUUAAGAAGGCUAUCAUACGAGGCUUCCAGUCAUCAUAGUUAGAGCCAUCCAACAUGGGUGGUCUAUUUGAGUGUCCUAUAUCCUUGUCCAUGGUACUAGAAAGUAACUUCCCUAGAUCUCACCCAGAAAUUCACAGGCAGGGUGCCUGCUCUGAUGCCAAUUGAAAUUCUAGUUAUCAGACUUUGGAUGUCACACGGGUUGUUAUGACAUCCAAUUCUGCACAGACAGGAAUUAUGCAGAACUUAAAAGUAAGUGCAGUAAAUAACACAAGUAAUUGUUUACCCAGUUCAGUCCAACAUGACCUACAUCUGGGGGCUACCAAGCCAGGGAGGAAAUCCACUAUUAGUAGUAUCAAUUCAAAGCUAAACUCACCCGUUUACAACUUAUCACUUAAUCCCUACCCAAUGCAAUUUCAAUCUUAACCUAAGAUCAGAGUUCCUACUCACUCCCCCUCAAUCACCUCAGUGAUUACUAUCUUUAAACAAUAUUAAAGACAAGUUGAAGUCACACUUCAAACAACUCUUGAUUGUGCUUCACAGCUUUAAUCAAGAUACACAGCACUCACGCUUAAAAGCUUUGAGUGACACAACACUUACAACUCAAUGAACACCCUAUGCCAAAGCUAUCAUCUACUUGAUAAUGGCUUGGCUUACAAGAUACGUCUAAUACAAGACUCACAAAAAUACAGCAGUGAAGUAUGAUGGACACACAAAAUCUUCACGCCUCAAAAUCCCUGAAACUGAAUGAAGGAACGCCUUCCUUUUAUAUUGCAGUAUCCUGGGCUUUUGCACCUGUAUUCUCCUGAAUUUAAGGUCACGCGAGUUCCCAUAAAUUCAACAUUUAGGUUACUAACAAAUAGGCUAUUUGUUAGGUUCAUUGAAUGUAGCUUGGUUGUUGAUUUCCUGGAUUUUCUCUCAGUUGUUGAAUCCCUGAAGAAUAGCCUGAGAAAAAGCUGAAACAGAAAACUGAACAACCUACAAUAUAGCAUAUGCUGUCAGGCAUGAAUGUCACGACAUUCAGCUUGACAUCAAGGAUCAUAUGCUGAGUCUGUUUUUCCAGAAAACAGACUGUACAAUUUUGCUGACCUGUAUAUGACCAAAAUGACCAUACUAUAGUAACAGCUUACAUUAAUAAAUGUCAAAGUAUCCAAUUUGAUAUUUAUACAUUUGGCCUUAAGUUAGUUCUGUUAUCCUCUUGAAGAACAGACUAAGAAACAUACUGAAGUGUAGCAGAACACCACUCUGUCUAUUGUUCAGUAUAUGCUGUCAAUGAUGAAUGUCAUAACAUCCCGUUUGACAUUCAGUCAGUAGGCCUUAUGCCAGAUCUGGUAUUACCUUGAUAACCAGACUGGAAAUAAAUACUAAGUUCCAACAGAACACCAGCUGUUCUAUUCCUUAGUAUUUGCUGACAGGUAUGAAUGUCACAGCAUCCAGUUUGACAUUCAAUAAAUCCUGUAUUAGCUAAUCCUGCAGUAACUACUCAAGUGUGUCAUGACAUCAGUCAAGACAUCAGAGUACAGUUAGUUAUUCCAACCUACAAUGCAGCCACACAUACACACCAUGUCAUGACAUCAGUCAAGACAUUAGUAACCAGCUAGUGUUCUACCAUAUAAUGCAGCCAAUUAAACACCUACAAAGUUGGAAUUUCAACUUGCAAGUACGAUAUUUUUGAUGUUUUGAGCACAUUGUAUCCACCUUGUUUUAGUCACUUUUAAAUCAAAUUUUUUUUAAUUGAAUUGAUUGAUUAAUUCAAAUUUUGUUUAAAUUACUUGGUUGUGAUGAUCGAUUACCUUGGAAAUUUUAGUUAAUCAAAUGAUUUUGAAUUUGAAUUUUGAUUGGGUCACUUAAGUAGUUUGUUUAAAUUCCAAUCAAAUAACUUUAUUAAUUAAAUAUUGACCAAAUUAUUUUAUCACGAUGUAAACCUCUUCCAAACUCGAAUUCAUUUCAAUCUUAUCAAUUCGAAAUUAUUCACCCAUUCAAUAAAAACAUGAUUCUCGAUUCAAAGUCGAACCCAUUUUUAAAUACCCUUGUAAGUCGAUAGCUUUUGGCAUCGUCAUCAACCUCACAUAGCUUUCUCUUGGGCUUUCUUACAAUGAGACCUAGUCGAUUGUUAAUUGAUCGAUUAGAUGAUUGAUUCACUAAAUAAAACCCACUUUAUUCAUAAAACACAAACUUAAAAUCUCGAUUCCACCAUCGAGUAUUUCUCUUCAAAUUAUAUUAAGAUGCCCAAUCACAAUCAAAUACCAUUUCAUUUGGAAAUGAAAAGGGGGAUGACUUUGAGUUUUCAAUUCCUUUCCUCGAUUAUUUGAAUACGAGUUCUCUUACACGGUUAGUCAAAUAGUCGUCACUUCCAUCCACCUAAGCACAAACAAAUCGAAUCAUUUUUAUAAUAAGAAACGAAAAGGGAGAUGACUUUGAGUUUUCAAUUUUUUUUCUCCUCGAUUAUUUGAAUACAAGUUCUCUUACUUGGUUAGUCAAAUAAUUGUCGUUCCUCUGCAAGCUUCCAAACCCCGAUUAAAUCAAAUUAUUUUCAUAAUAAGUUAAAUGAAACGGGAGAUGACUUUAAGUUUUCAACUUCUCUCCUCAAUUGUUUGAAUAUGAGUUCUCUUACUUGAUCAGUCGAACAAUUGUCAUUUUUCCACCAACAUAUAAGGUAAUCAAAUUAUUUCAUAAUAAACUAUACGAAAAGGGAGAUGGUCUUGAGUCUUUAGUUCCUCUUCUCAAAUGCUUGGAUAUGAGUUGUCUUACUCAGCCAUUCAAGUACUUUGUCGUCUAUUCCAAAAUACAUCAACCAUACGCAAACCUAUUUUCAUAAUCACUCAGAUGAAAAAGAAAGCGGUCUAGAGUCUUCUAUUCCCUUUCCCGACUAUUAGGAUGCGAGUUAUCUUACUCGACUAUCUGAGUGUUCGUCAUCCAAUCAAAAACACCUUAAUCAUCAUUAAAAUCCUUUCAUAAUUAAGGAUGAAAAAGAAAGCGGCUAGAGUCUUCUAUUCCCUUUCCCGAUUAUUAGGAUACGAGUUGUCUUACUCGGCCAUCCGAGUAAUCAUCAUCCAACCAAAAAUAUCUUAACACAUCAAACCUAUCUUUCUCGCCCUCGUGCGAUCGAAACCAGUCAAACAAAACAUCAAACACAUCAAUUCAACUCGUCACCCCCCGCGUGACCAAAACCCUUGUUUCAAAAAGAAUACUGUCAAUCCUUUCUAAUGCACACAACAAACUAGUGCUAGAGCCUCCACCGAGAGUAGACAAGCCAAUGUUUAGCCUUUAGAACGCCGACCUACACAGUCCUUCAUAAAACAAAACACGCCAAUUAUUCGUAGUUCCUCGAACUACGAAUGCUCUGAUUUCCUUAUUGCACCAUAAGGAUACGUAGGCAGGAGAUUGCUGUAUCUUUGCGAGCACACUAAUAAAAUCCUCUCUUUUCUCCCUUCUGAGGUCGUCAUCCAUAUCUAUUAUCAACUCUAAUUACUCGAAGAAAACAAACAACGUAAGUUAACACUCAAAUUGCAAAAUUGAACUAAAAGGUUCCCGUUGAGUACAACGGGCGUGAGGGGUGUUGAUACCUUCCCCUUGUGUAAUCCACUCCCGAAUCUGAAUAUGGUUGCGACCACCAUUAUUCUAUUUUUCAAAGGUUUUAUCGAUAUUUUCCUAUUCCUUCAUUGGGCUAAAUAAAGUUCGGUGGCGACUUUGUUCGAACUAACAUUUUUCCGCGUCCAUUGCGAAGGAUCGCGUUUUUUCUGAGGUGCGACACUGGUUGUGCAAAUUUAUGUUGAUGGUAUUAUUUUUGGUUCUGCUAAUGCUUCGUUGUGUAAUGAUUUUGCUAAGUCAAUGCAUGAAAAAUAUGAAAUGAGUCUGAUGGAAGAACUCAAGUUUUUUCUGGGAAUCCAUAUUGAUCAAAGAUCAUAAGAAACGUACAUUUAUCAGAGCAAGUAUAGAAGGGAAAUUCUGAAAAAGUUUAAGUUGUCAGAAUGCAAACCAAUGAAGACUUGGAUGCAUCAUACAAGCAUUCUAGAGAAAGAAGAGGUAAGCAGUAAGGUAAAUCAGAAUCUAUCCAAAGGUAUGAUAGGAUUUCUCAUUUAUCUAAUUGCUUCUAGACCUGAUAAUUUAUUCAGUGUAUGCUUAUGUGCCCGCUUCCAAUCAUAUCCUAGGGAGACUCAUUUAACUGUGGUUAAGGGAAUCUUUAGGCAUCUGAAAGGUACUACUAACCUUGGUUUAUUAUUUAGAAAAUAAAGAGAAUACAAAUUAGUAGGAUACUAUGAUACUGACUAUGAUGGAGAUAGAAUAUAAAGGAAAAGUACUUCUGAAAGUUGUCAAUUUUUGGGAGAGAAUCUAAUCUCGUGGUCCAGCAAGAGAUAUUCAACAAUUGUGCUUUCAACAGUCGAAGUUGAGUAUAUCGCAACUUCUAGAUGAAAGACUUAGAUACUCUGGAUGAAGAGUCAGCUAGAAGAUUAUUAGAUAUUUGAGAGUAACAUUCAUAUUCUCUGUGAUAAUACUUAUGUUAUUUGUUUGUCUAAGAAUCCUAUCUUGCAUUCUAGGGCUAAGCAUAUUGAAAUUAAACAUCACUUUUUACAUGACUAUGUUCAGAAGGGUGUUUUCACUUAAAAUUUGUUGAUACAUACCAUCAAUGGGCUGAUAUCUUUACAAAACCCCUUACUAAAGAUAGAUUCAUUUUCAUUCUAAAAAACGUAUUUAUGGACUCUUGUCCAGAAUGAAAAGAUGAAUUUUAGAAUGUUAAGCUUCAGGAACUCUUGAUUAGGUUCUGAGAAUUUUUUUUGUUGAUUCUAAGACAUGAGCUUUAUGAAGUGAGGAAGUUUCAUGAAUAAAAAAGGUUCUAAUCAAAAGCAACCUUAUUGAUUUGCCUUCUUGAUUUGAGUAGUUGUUGCAUUAAGUGAUUGUCAUUUCAUUUGGUAUCAUGCGGUUCUUAGUGGUGACAACUAUCCCACUUUUUGAGCAUGCGUGAUGUUAGCAUGACAAUUAGGUUUCAUAUUUCUUGGAAUUAGGUUAAAUUCUCUUACAUUUCCCCCUAUGAUGGCGUAUUACUUUUGUUGUCAUAAUUAAAAAAAUUGUAUAUAGACCCACUUCACUCACAUUUUCAAAUUACGCUCACAAUUUCUUCCACACUUUCAAUAUUUCAAACCUUCAAACACCCUCUCUACAAAUGUUCAUCUUCAUCCUCAACGUUCUUCAAUGGAUGAUAAAAAAUAACAACAACAACAACAACAAUAAGCUCAACCUCAAUCUUCUCCUUAGUCAAUCGCCGAUAAGAACACUCCUCCCUCCAAGGAAGAAAUUUGCGAUAGUAGUAUCCCAUCGAAAAAUACCAAAUCUUCACCAAUAUCGAUCCUCCAAAAGUCUUAGCGUACUACAUGGCAAGUUUUCUCUUGGAUAAUAUUGAUUUGUUGGUGGAUCCCUUCAAUCUACCUGAUGACUACCUAGUUGUUCCACCGCCUCAUCCGCCACAAAACCCUUAGUUUUCAAAAUAGUCUUGCACUUUUGUGUGUUUAUUUUAUUUAAGUAUUUUUAUACUUCUGUCUUUGUAACAUGAUUGUACUAUUUCUGCCUUCUUACACAUUUCAAUGAAAUCAUGUUUGUCUCUUUCCAUUGUUUUUGUCUAUGUCUUUUUGAUUGAUGACAAAUAAGGAGAAACGUAUUUAAGGGGAGAAACGUAAUUGUUUUGAUAUACUUAUAUUUGUGAAUCAGAACCCAAACAUUUUUGAUGUUUCAGCUAACAACUACUUUGAAGAAUAGUUUGUUAAUUGUAUUGUAGGGAAAACUCAAGAACAUCAAAAGCUCUUGAAGUUUUUCAGAUCAGAACUUAAGUUACCAAUUUAUGAAGAAAUGAUCUACUCUCUGAGUCUGAAGCUUCAACUUUACUGUUUGAGAAAUAUUUCAACCAGGAAUCAUAACCAGGCAUCAAGUUGAGGAAUUGUGAAUUCCAUGUUAAUCAUACUUGAUUCGACCAGGUUCUAAGGUUUAUGACAAGGCUCUGAAGCUAUUUAAGAAGAAUCCGUAACUAGGCUCUGAAAUCUUUUUCAAAUAUUCAAAGAGAAUUUCAAAGAGAACCGGGCUCUAAAGCUUCUUCAAAAGAGUUUAACCAAGCUUCUGAAGUGAAGUUCAUCAUAAUGUUGAUUUUAACAACCAGUGCUCUGGAUAAGAUCAAGAAACUCCUGAAGACAAGCCAAAUUCUGAUGGAAGAUGAUUUUGGUACUUCAAAAAGGUUAAUCAGGAAAGUGCUUUUUUAUUCUGAUUUUAUCUAUUUAGGAAUAGACAUCUUAGGGGUAGCUUUGUGCUUUUGUAAUAUGUAUCCUUUUAUGAUUACCUUGUAAAAAAUUGUUCAUAAAAAUACAUGUUUUUAUCGUCAUCAAAAGGGGGAGAUCAUUAGCACAAGAUUUGGUUUUGCAUCUAUAUCUUGAGUUUUGAUGAUAACAAUGUUGUAUUUGUGUGAGAACAAUUUUGGUACCCUAAUGGUUUGUUAUUAUGUAGCUUUAACAACCAAUUGUGAUUCUGUGUAUAUGAUGUGCAACAUCUUCAGUUUCUGAAUAUUGUGUUCCAAAUUAUGCUUCUGCACUAAUCAUGAAAAGUUAUGAAAUAUAUCAAGUUGCUACUGCAAUGUUCUUUCUGCUUCUAUGCUGAUUCACUCCUAAGAAGUUUUUGGAAAGAUGUUAUGUUGCUGCUGCAAUGCUUUCUCUAUUUCUGCUUUUGGAUGUGACUCUGAUCAUCAACUAUUCAUCAGAAGCCAAUGAAUUUGAAGAUAAGAUCAAAAUGGAUACAUGAUCAAAUAGUACAUGGUACAAAUGAAAUAUUCCUUCCACUACCUGAUAUCAUGGGCAAAUGACAAUACUAUUCUUCUCACCUGUCACUAAUCCGUUAGUGGACAUCUACAUUUUGAUUAUUCCGGAUUUGCCCUCCAACUGUUCCUUUUUCAUGCUAUAUAAAGAGGACUUGGAGACUUGAAGAAAAUACUAUUGCAACAAUUUCAUAAGAUUGUUUUCUACGUGAAAAAGACCUAAACUUUGUUCGUACUUUUCUUCAAGUGUUUGUUUUUCAUUUGUAUAAAAUUUGCUUAUGUAGAAGCAACUUGUAAACAAAAACCUUUAUUCAAACGUGUUAUUUGUGAUUCCUUAAGGAGACUAGGGUAUAGUUUGAUCCUUGAGAAGACAAAGAAGGUUAUUCUUGGUGAUUAUUGUGAUCAGUUAAUUUUAGUGGAUUAAGUCCUUGUAUAUAAGGCGAAAUCACCUUGGCAGAUGGACUGGAGUAGCUUUGAGUUUCAAGCGAACCAGGAUAAAAAUACUUGUGUUUAUCUCUUUGUUCUUAGUAUUUAUAUGAUGUUCUUGAGUUGGUAAAAAAUAUUUUGUUUUUAAAACCCAAUUCAUCCCCCCCCCCCAUUUCUUGUAUUUUUCACAUGUUUACGUAGGUUUAAGGCUCAUGGAGAACUCCAUGGACUCAUGGUGAACACCAUGAGUGUCAAUAUGGAGAACACCCCCCCCCCAUUUCUUGUAUUUUUCACAUGUUUACGUAGGUUUAAGGCUCAUGGAGAACUCCAUGGACUCAUGGUGAACACCAUGAGUGUCAAUAUGGAGAACAUGGCCUUUUCAGGUCCAUGGAGAACGUCAUGGCCUCACAGUGAACGCCACGAGUGUAAAAUGCUGGCCUUUUGACUUUCUUGACUUUUUGGUGCACAGGAAGUUGUCAUGUCAUUGCAAGUGCCAUGGAAAACAUCAUGGUGAAGGUCAUGAGUACAAAUCUUGGUCUUUUCUCCGUUUUUUCAUUGUUUUCAUUUUGAUUUCUCACAUGGAUACUCCUACCUGGAAAGCACGUAAAACAAACACAAUAAACCAACAUAACACAAUAAAAAGGAGACAAAACAAGGUAAAAUGUCACGUGAGUCGAGUCGGAAAUGCAAUACGUUUUGUGGUUAUCAAACUCCCCCGUACUUGAACCCUUUCUUGAAUUCAAGCAAGUUGCUAGCGUAUAUGGAAAUUGUGUAAAUGCAACAAUUUUAGUAUAAAGACUUAGAGAAUACAUAACACUCAAAUACUCAUACGUGGCUACUAAAUCUAUUUCGACCAAAAUUGACUUGAUAGGUACUAACAGUACACCAAGGAUAUCGUGAAAACACAAUUUUGCAUUUCGCGGUUAAAAGUCUCCCUCCUAUGCAAACCAAUCCAAAUCAUGCCAUUAUGCCUAAACAUAACUCACUCAUCCCCCUUUCCAUCCUUUUUCAUUCUAGUGCAAUCACAUUAAGCUCGUUAUCAUUUCACAAACAUAGUAGGAAAAUCUGUUAGUCACUAUAAUCUGGUUUUAUCAAUUUGUGCACUUUGGCUUAACUCAUUAAUAAAUAGGAGGAUAACAUACCGUUUGGAUAAAUGGCUGGGUGAAGGUCACCUAAAUUAGAAGGAACCUUCCCUUUUUAUUCAUUUUUCUUUUAAGCUCAUGAUCAUUCACUUAUUUGCAUUAACUUCCCUAUGUAGUGUGUGUUUAGGAGUGUGUUGACUGCUUAUAUAAACUACUAAAGGAUUUUUAGAGAAAAAGAACUCUAGGUUAUGGACAUAAUAGGUAUUCAAAUUGAUCUCCAUAUUUAUGAGGCUUGAGGUGUUGGUAUGAUGCCAUUUUUGCAAUAAUAUUAUCAAGUCUCCUAAAUCUAGCCUUUAUUUCAUUUGCAGCAUAUAUACUUUCUAAUCAUCCUACCGAUUUCAAGUCUUAUCAAGCAAAUUUUUUUCCAGAAGGGCUCAAGAAAUUGGGAGAUUCAAUAAACAACAAGAAACCCUGAAUAAAGACUUGACAACACAUCCAAAGACUCAAAGCAUACAUUACCCUAUAAAAACAACCAAUGACAUAAAACUAACAUGAUAGUAAAAUACAGAAAAAUGGAAAGUGAAUAAAAGCGGUAAACACCCCUACACUUAAAUCCUACAUUGUCCUCAAUGUAUGAAUGUAAGUGUAAGAAAGGUAGGAAGAACCUGGUGAGUAAAUCAAGUCAAGUGAUCAAUCUCUUUAUUUCCUGCAAAUUCAAACACACAAACAUAACAACUUAAAAGAAUGGAGAGACUUAAAUAUUAAAGACCCAAUUUUUGGAGCUAAGAUACCACAUGAUGCUUAUAAUAUGAUAUGAAUGCAAAUAAGAAUCUCUGUGCGGAAUAUAGAGAACAAGAGAUAAAGAACUGUUAGAGAUGAGAGGGGACUGAAAUUUCGCAGGGGAAAGACAAAUUCCAAAGGGGUACCCAACUGGGGACAAACAAAGUUCCGCAAGGGAAAAGGAAGAGCUAAAAAAUAACUGAUGCAAGGUUAGAAAACGAACUAAAGAUCCAACCGGGAAGACUUGUCGAAGCAAGACUUCGUCGGGGAAAAGCAAGCAACAGAAGGGAAAAACCCUGACUCCAACAGGAGAGGAAUAUUACCUAACUAUCAACUGAGUGAUAGCUUAACAAAGGUAACCAAUCAUAGGUGAAAGGAAUUAUUACCUACUAUCAGCCGAGUGAUAGCUUAACAAAACUAAUAAGCUCAAACAGAAUGAUUACCAACUACCAGCCAAGUGAUAGAUUAAUAAAGGUAACCAAUCAAAAGGGGGACCAAAGUUCAGACCAGAAAUAAACUAGAGAGAAGCAGUCAAAGAAGACUCAAUCCAAUGAGGUCAUGAGCUCAAUGGGGGAUUGAUCCCAUCCAAAUAAUGAACUGGAGGGGAAAACUGAAGCAAAAUUUUCCAUGAGGAUCAGACUUAGUGGGGAAUUAGAAAGGAUAAACUUUUUAUGCUUAAGGUCGACACUCUAUAGGAGAGAGGACGCACACACUUUGCGGGGAGAAACGUUCUAGAGAGUGGUGUGGAAUUAUUGUAAAAUGAAAAAUUCAUAAAUAAACAUCAUUAUGUUAUGCGCAUGCGUAUGAUUAUGCUGACAAAACAAACGCAAAGGAACGAGACUGAUAAUAUAAUACAACCAGAUACUCGGCUAAUCUCAGCAGGAUGGAGAUGCUGGCAGAGAUUCGUUAGGGAUUUCACCACUCUUGCAAACUAAUGUUGGGGAGACUGUUAUGAAAGAAGUUCCAACUUGGGGAAGUCAUUGAAUUCCAUUAUUCAGGAUCUUACCAUCCUUGGGAUUACCAUUAACAUUCCUCUUUUGCAUUCCUAUUUUGUUUAAAUAUAUUUUUGUUUCAAAAAUGAUCAUUAAGAAUAAAUGAAAUUUCAUGAACUGAAACAAAAUAAGAGUAACAAACAAAUGGGAAAAAGGCUCAAAUUUUAUUGAUAGAAUGGUGGUCCAUAAAUGGCGUGACUCCAUGGAUCAUUACAAAGUUGGAAAAUGGUAAAUACGUGGAAAGGGCUACAUUAAAAUACAAUGACCAUUAUUCUCCCUAACAACUUUAAAUUCCACUAUGCUCUGGACUUCGGUUAAGGAUAACUGAAUAGGAACCUGUGACAGGAACGGUUGCUUCAAACGAUAAAGUCUGGCCUGAUGCAGUUACUUGCCAUAAUCCUAACUUUUUCCUGGAUUGCAUUUUCAAGGUCAAUCUACCGAGAUGAUUAUUUUCUAUUCUAUGUUUCUAACUUUUGCAUGGACCGUCCUUUUGGGUUUUCAACCCACCGAGACACUCAUUUUUUUCCUAAGUCGCCCUUUCGAGUUUUCAACGUAGCGAGUUGUUAUUUUAUUUUUCUAGGCGAAGUAUGUCUUGACUGUAUCAACAUUCACAGGACGAGGGAGCUCCUUACCAUUCAUAGAUGUAAGAAUCAAUGCCUCUCCAGAUAAAGCUUUCUUAACAACAUAUGGGCUUUCGUAAUUAGGAGUCCACUUGCCUCUAGAAUCAGUGUUGAAAGACAAGAUCUUCUUGAGCACAAGGCCACCUUCUAUGAGUACACGAGGUUGAACCUUCUUGUCAAAUGCUUUCUUCAUUCUCUUUUGAUAUAACUGACCAUGACACAAGGCAGUUAUUCUUUUCUCUUCAAUCAAAUUCAACUGGUCAUAUAUGCUCUGAUACCAUUCAGCUUUAGAUAAACUAGCUUCCAUCAAGACUCACAUUGAUGGGAUCUCAACCUCCACAGGGAGCACUUCUUCCAUGCCAUACACAAGAGAAAAAUGGGUUGCCUCUGUUGAAGUGCGGACGAAUGUACGAUAUCCAUGCAAAGCAAAUGGGAGCAUCUCAUUCCAAUCUUUAUACAUCACAACCAUCUUCUGGAUGAUCUUCUUAAUGUUCUUAUUUGCAGCUUCAACAACCCCAUUCAUCUUAGGUCUGUAAGGAUAAGAGUUAUGAUGUCCAAUCUUAAAGUCAUCACAAAGUUCUUUCAUCAUCUUAUUAUUCAAGUUCGACUCAUUGUCAGUAAUGAUCUUACUUGGAACACCAUAACCUGUUUGGUCACAUUAUCAUAAGAUGCUGCUUCAACCUACUUGGUGCAGUAAUCAAUAGCUACCAAGAUGAAAUGAUGUCCAUUUGAAGCUUUGAGCUCAAUCAUACCAAUCAUAUCAAUUCCCCACAUAGAGAAAGGCCACGGAGAUAAAAUAACAUUGAGAAGUGUCAGAGGCACAUGAAUCUUAUUGACACAAAUCUGACAUUUAUGGCACUUCUUCACAUACUUACAACAAUCAAAUUCCAUUGUCAGCCAAUAGUAACCCCCCCUUAACAUCUUUUUAGCCAUUACGUAUCCAUUGGCACGAGUACCAAAGGAUCCUUCAUGAACUUCUUGCAUUAACAUGUCUACUUCGUGUUUAUCAAUGCAUCUGAGCAGGACCAUAUCAAAAUUUCUCUUGUACAUCACAUCUUCAUUUAGAAAUAAACUACCAGUCAGUCUUCUCAAAGUCUUCUUAUUUUUUUUGGAUGCCCCAAACGGGUAUUCCUGACUUUGGAGGAAAUACUUAAUAUCAUAAUAUCAGUGCAUAUCUUCUGUAACUUCUUCUGCUGCAAAUACAUGAGCAGGCCUAUCAAGGUGCAUAAUUGUGAUACUGGGCGCGUCAUUCCAACAAUUUACUUUGUACAUAGAAGACAAAGUAGCCAAAGCAUCUGCCAUUUGAUUCUCUUCACGAGGUAUAUGAUGAAACUAUUUUAUUAAAGAAAGUUGACAACCUCCUUGCAUAAUCUUUUUAAGGAAUCAGGACAGGAUGACAAGUCUCUCAUUCUCCUUUAAUCUGAUUAACCACCAAGUCUGAAUCUCCAUACACAUCAAGGAUUUUAAUUCUCAAAUCAAUGGCCUCUUCAAGACCCAUGAUACAAGCUUCAUAUUAUGCCAUAUUAUUCGUACAAUCAAACAUCAAUCAUGCAGUAAAAGGGAUAUGAGAACCCUUAGGCGUAAUAAUGAUCGCCCCAAUUCCAUUUCCAUAAGCAUUAACAACACCAUUAAACACUAAACCCCACCAGGAUCCAGGAUCUGGCCCUUCUCCAGGCAACGGUUCAUUGCAAUAUUUAGCUUUCAAGUACAUAACAUCUUCGUCAAGGAAGUCAAACCUAAUUGAUUGAUAAUCAUCGAUCGGCUGGUGAACCAAAUGAUCUGCAAGAAUACUUCCCUUAACCACCUUCUAAGUACGGUACCUAAUGUCACAUUCAGACAAUAGCAUCUGCCAACGAGCUAUCCUUCCAGUCAAAGCAAGCUUUUCAAAGAUAUACUUGAUUGGAUCCAUUUUGGAUAUCAACCAAGUCGUAUGAUUGAUCAUAUAUUGGCGUAAAUGUUUGGCAGCCCAUGCUAAACCACAACAAAUCUUUUCAAGCAUGGAAUACCGAGACUCACAGUCUAUAAACUUCUUACUCAGAUAGUAGAUGACAUGAUCCUUUCUACCAGUUUCAUCUUGUUGUCCAAGCAUACAGCCCAUGGACUCUUCUACUACAGUCAAAUACAUAAUUAAAGGUCUUCCUUCCACCGAAGGAGACAAGAUAGGAGGUUCAAGUAGAUACUCAUUGAUAUUGUCAAAAGCCUUUUGGCAAUCCUCUAUCCAAACACAACCUUGAUCUUUUCAGAGAAGCUUGAAGAUUGGCCCAAACGUGGCAGUCAUAUGAGAUAUGAAUCUGGAUAUAUAAUUUAGAUGCCCGAGGAACCCUAUAACUUUCUUUUCUGUAUUUGGUGCAUGCAUCUCUUGAAUAGCUUUGACUUUAUCAGGAUCUACCUCAAUACCUUUCUGGCUGACAAUGAAAUCUAACAUCUUUCCUGAACGGACACCAAAGGUACAUUUAUUAGGAUUCAACCGGAGUUUAAACUUUCUCAACCGCUGAAACAACUUCAACAAAUACUCAACAUGAUCUUCUUUAGUCUUCGACUUAGCAAUCAUAUCAUCAACAUAAACUUCUAUGUCUUUGUGCAUCAUGUCAUGAAAAAGAGUAGUCAUGGCUCUUUGGUACGUUGCACCAACAUUCUUUAAACUGAAGGGCAUCACUCUAUAGUAUAAUGUUCCCCAAGGUGUAAUAAAUGUUGUCUUUUCCAUAUCUUCAGGUUCCAUCUUAAUCUGAUUAUAACCGGAGAACCCAUCCAUAAAGGAGAAGACGUUGAAUUUAGCUAUAUUAUCUACCAACAAGUCAAUGUGUGGUAGAGGAAAAUCAUCUUUCGGGCUAGCUUUAUUCAAGUCUCUAUAAUCAACACACAUCCAAACUUUACCAUCUUUCUUUGGAACAGGCAUAAUGUUGUCCACCCACAGAGGAUACUCAGCAGUAACAAGGAAUCCAACAUUAAUUUGCUUUUGAACUUAUUCUUUGAUCUUGACAGCUAUAUCAAGGUAAGUUCUUCUUAACUUCUGCUUGACUGGUAGACAUUCUGGCUUUAACGAUAAUCAAUGCUCCACAAUAUCGGUAUCAAGACCUGGCAUAUCGUGAUAAGACCAAGAAAACACAUCCACAUAUUCUCUAAGAAGCUUUACCAUCCUCUUCUUAACAUCUGGACAAAGCAAUGCCCCAAUCUUGACUUCCUUCUUGUUAUCUUCGAAACCCAAAUUAAUUACUUCCAACAGCUCUUUAUGAGACUAAAUGGUCUUCUCUUCGUGCUCAAGCAACCGAGAAACCUCAUCAGGAAUCUCUUCAUCAUCCUCUUCAUCCAUUUCAAACACAGGGAAUUCAAAUUUGAGAGAGGGCAUAAGGUCAUUGUUUUCAAUGGGUUUAACAAUUAAUCUACACAAUGAUUUUAUACUUGAUUUUAGAACAUGAACAAAUAAAGCAGAUUGUAACGUAGAUAUAAAAGUGAUCAUUAUUUUGUUUUUUAUGUUAUUAUUUUCUAGAAUAAGCAAAAAGGACACACAUAAUAUGGAUAAACGAAAUGACAUUUUAUUAAUGAUAAUGAAAUUUGAAACAAAGCUCACAUGAAUUCACUUUCACCUCGAGCAUAGUGAAAGGAUUUUGAAAAUAACAAAAACAAACAUAUUACUUUGAUAAGUGAAUAAUAGAAGGAACAUCAACAUCAAUCUAAUUCUGGCACACUGGUCCAUGUGUCACAAAGUCUGGCACUUGUUGCUCUUUAUCAUCUUCUAAGAUGGUGACAACAGACUGAUCUUUGGAAUGGAUAAAGCCAACACUAUGAAACACUUCCUGAAUUCUCUUUAGAUCUCUUCGGGCCGCACCAGGUGAAAAACCCAAACCAAUUAUGUUCUUGUUUUUAGCAAGCUCAACAAUUUGUUCCCACUUAGCAGAUUGACAAUUCUUCAACACAUGUUGGGCAUCUUUCAAGGAUGACAUGGAUUCCUUAUUCUUCUUAACAACAAUAUUAUCAACAGAAAGAGCUUAAAAUGAAGUUCCUUCAGCUUCAUCGACAUCAAUGUAUGAAAAUGAAGAGAGAUGACUCACCAACAUGCCCUACUCGCCACCCACGAUUACUAACUUCUCAUUCUUCACGAACUUCAAUUUCUUGUGUAAAGUUGAUGUAACUGCCCAAGCCUCAUGAAUCCACGGACGUCCUAAGAGACAACUGUAUGCGGGAUGAAUAUCCAUCACUUGAAAAGUGAUCUGAAAUAAGCACGGACUUGUCUUUAUUGGGAGAUCAACCUCUCCAAUUACAGUCUUCCUUGAACCAUCGAAGGCCUUCACAACAACUCUGAUGAACCUCAUCGGAGUACCUUAGUAAGCAAGUUUAGACAACGUAGACUUGGGCAGAACAUUCAUGGAGGAUCUAGUAUCCACCAACACAUUGGAUAGGGCAUCUUCUUGACAAUUCAUAGAGAUGUGUAGGGUCAAAUUAUGAUUCCUCCCUUGCUCGGGCAGCUCUUCAUCACUGAAGCUCAAAUUGUUACAUGCGGUAAUAUUGGCCACAAUGCCAUCAAACUGAUCAAUUCUCACGUCAUGGUCCACAUAGGCCUUCUCUAGGAUUUUCUACAAAGCUUCUCGUUGUGCUUCCGAACUCAUUAGUAGGGAUAACAUGAAUAUCUUGGAUGGAGUAUGCAAUAACUGGUCCACCACAUUGAAAUCACUCUUCUUGAUCAAUUUCAGCACCUCAUCUUGAUCAACAUUCUGAUUCACAAUACUGGAUUGGCCGGUUUGUUCAACAAUAGUUUUCUCUAAACUUGAUUUCUCUAUCACCACGUCUUCAGUUCUCUUGGGAGAUGCGACAACAAAUAUCCGACCACUCCUUCAUACCACUUACAUCGACAAUGUUCACAACGGAUGGAAAAGCAGGGAUAAGCACUUCUUUUCCAUCUUCUAUCAUAGUAGCAUUAUACUUCUAAGGCACAACUUUAUCGGACUCGUAAGGCGUAGGACCUCCCAAACUGAUAACCAAGGAAGAAACAAUAGCCAUUUAACCAUCAUAUACAAUCACAACCGAUUCUGGGAGAUUAAAACGGGGAACUAUGAUGUUCACCUCAUGCUCAUCUUCAUUUAUGUCCCUUGUUACCUGAAUAAGGUUCUGACCCAACAUCUCUUACAAGUCUCUUUACACAAUAGCACAUCCUCGGGGAUCUCUGGAACAAACUUGACAAGAAGCAUGGUCAUGCUCAUAAUAUCUUAAUUCAUAUAAAGUAGUGUUCAUUUCAACCAAGGACCUUCUGAUUAGAUUGAUGUCAAAAACUCGAUACUUUUCGGGGCAUCUUUCGACCAUAUUCACAGUUGCAUUGCCAUGUUUGGGCAGCGAAUUGGCUUGUACACUGGGAUUAGAAUCAACAAAUGACAAAAUACCACUCUGCAUUAACCUUCUCACCUCCGCUUUCAAGGCGAAACAAUUCUCAAUAUCAUGUCCUGGUGCUCCUUGGUGGAAUGCAUAAUGUUAGUCAGCUUUAUACCACCACGGAAGCUCUUUUGGAAUAGCUGGUGGAGUCCUUGGUUGCACCAAAUUCUUCUGAAUUAAAGCAGGAAACAAUUAUGUAUACAUCAUAGUAAUAGGGUCAAAUUUUACAUGCCUCUGAGUGCGACUUUGUUGAUUCUGUUGAUUUGCGCGUUGCUGGAAACGCGGUUGACAACUCAGUGCUGCUUGAGAAACUUGAGCAAAAUUAACCGGAGUUACUGACGCCACGUGCUAAUGACGUUAAGUUUUCCUUGGAAGUUUUAUAUGCCUCUCUUGUGAGAUAGCGUUUACAUCAUGUUCGUUCUUCUUGGGUAAACCAUUCCCAUAUUUUAUGGAAUCGUCAGAUGAACUACCUUCUUUCAAUCGUCCUUCACAGGCACCUUCUUCUAACCUCAAACCCAUAUUCACCAUUUUAGUAAAGUCGAUAGGCGCACUUGCAACCAUCCAAUCGUAAUAUAAUGGACUCAAUGUUUUCAAAAACAACUUUGUCAUUUAUUUUUCCUCCAAUAGAGGACUAACCUGUGCAGCGAUCUCGCGCCAUAUUUGCGUGUAUUCCUUGAAGGUUUCCUUUUCCUUGUGGGAGAUAUCACAUUGUAAGACCCCAAUUUUGUCCCUAAGAUCCCUCAUGGCAUCAUAACAUUUCAUUUGCAUAGCCUCAAGGAUCAUUAGCAUCUUGGUUCCCUUUGUCUUUGGGUGGGACUCCUUGUGAGUAGUCUGAGAUCACCAAGCAUGCUUGAAUUGUAUAUCAUUGCUUUUCUCAUUUUGUUUACUAACCAAAAGCACAAAAAUAUGUCACUAACUUUUUUUGUUUAUAGCUUGAGCAAUGACAAAGUCCAAAGCUUCUAGGAGAUCAUUGGUACAAAGACAUGGUCAAGAAGUGAUUAUAGCAAGCAUGGUAAUGGUUCCCAAAUAUCUCAUCCAUCAAAUAUUCCUCCCUAGUGUCUCAAUUCAUCAUUCUUGAUCAAAUCAAGUCAAAGGAUUUGAGGUUUGUUCCCCAGAGAAACCCUAAUUCAUCUGUGCACCACAAUGCCUUGCUCUUGAAGCAACCUCAUCCCAUGAUCAAAUACAAUAAAGGGAAGUUAUUUAACUCUUCAUUUCAUGCAUAUUUGAACUUAUUUGAGUGUCCUCAAUCAUCAAUUCAUCAAGAUAUGAGGCAUGGACUUGAGAAGUUGAUCAGUCAAUUCAUCUGACUAUUUUGAAAUGCACUGAACUUAUUUGAGUGUCCUCAAUCAUCAAUUCAUCAAGAUAUGAGGCAUGGACUUGAGAAGUUGAUCAGUCAAUUCAUCUGACUAUUUUGAAAUGCACUGAGACCUAACUUUUUAUGUGUUGGUCAAAUGUAGAUGGUUCCAAAAGCAAAAAUGUUCUUAAGGACAAUAUGAACAACUUUCAUGUUCAUAAACAAUUCAUUUGAAGCUUGGAAAACCAUCUGCCAUUCCAAUACAUUAUAGGUCAUUUUGACUGAAACCCUAAUUUUGGGUCAACUUCCCAAGGACAUAAUUCAUUCAUUUUUAAUGAUUUUAAGGUGGGAUCAAAUGCAUUGGAAAGCUUAAGAUGUCUACUUAAAAUUUUAUGUUGGACAAAAUUUCAAAAUCGCAAAGGAAAUACAUGUGAUAAUGCAAAACAUUAUAGGUCCUUUUGGGUCAAAUGCAUUAAAAGUCAAAAAAGUCCAACUUAAAGUGCCCAUAACUCUUUCAUCAAAAAUCCAAAUGAUGCAAAAUUUAAGUCCAUUUUGAUUGUUCUCAAAAGAUAUACAACUUUGAUGUUGGAGGUUUUUCCAUGUGAAGCUUGCAUCAUCAAAACAGAAGGGCUUGAAAGUUGGCCAAUUUUAGAAACCUUGCAUUGACAUGUUUUGCACAUCACACUUUAAACUCAAAUUUCAUAAAUUUCCACACUCCAAAUGAAUUUUUGCCCAACAUAACAAUUGUUCCUUACAUAAAGAUCUUUCCAACCAUUACCCAUAUGCCUAUGCUUGGAUUUUCUAAAUGGUAUUUUCGAAGAGGUGAAUGAUUAGGUUCAAUUGUGGAAUUCAUGUUGGAAUCUUGUUGCACAAGCCAAUUUAGAGCAAAUUACACGUCCAAACCCUUGGCAUUUGAACUCAGCUUGUAUUUGGCAUUGCUUUUGGGCCUUGUGCAUGAUCAUGCAAGCCCAUGUAAGUGGUAUCCAAAUUCAUGCACACGGAUCAUCUCACACUUUCCUUGCCAAUUCCUCUAUAAAUAGAAGCUUCAUUCCCUCCAUUUCACACACACAAUUCAACCUGAAAUGCUGCAGAAAUCUUUCCCUAACCAUCACUAAAGAAGCAAUUGCAUUUUCCUCAAAAAAAUUCAGAUCUCGAAUUCAGCUUCAUCUAGUUGAAUUCAUAGAUCUAAUGCUUCUAGACCUUCAUUAUACACUUCAUUGAACUUCUGUUUUGAUAAAGCAAGCAAGGUUUCAUGCUCAAAUCACCAGAACUCAAACUUGAACUCCAACUGGUAUUUUCUUCGAUUCUCCUAAUCCAUUGACCUAUUGGCUGUGAUUUUGUGUUGGCUGAAGUCCUCUCAAUGGAGGCAUCAUGUUUAUGCUUUUAAUUUUUGCAAUUCAUCGAGUUCAUGAUGAACACCAGAUUUUUCAACUUCUGAUUUCUUAAAUCCUAGAGAUCUAGAAUGAAAAAGGAUGGUACAGGGAUGAUGUACAUCAUCCCAGCUUUCUAUUGAUGUAUAGAUCGCACGUUUUGGUUACCUUUUGAGUUUCUGCAAUUUGGUCGGAAUCUGGAAGCUCCCCGGAGAAGACGGUGGCUCCGGUGGCUUCAUCGUGUCCAGUUUAAAUCUGGACCGUGUGAUCUAAUUUCCAGAUGCAAUCAGGAGCGUUGCUUGUUAUGACUUUUAAUUCUUUCCCAUACGCGUGCAUUGACCGUGGAUCACCAUAGGCGCGCGUUUCUUGGCCUCAUGAUUUGCCAGCUCAAUUAAUGAGCUUAGAUCAGAUGGUCCACGCUUUUUUGCAUUUUUAUUUUCUGAUUUUAUUUUCUUAAAUUCCAAUUAUCUUCAAAAAUUAAUAUCUCUUUCAUUUUUUAUCCAAAUAUUAUGGGACCAAUUGCAUCAUUUCCCAAAUAAAUUCUAGUUUCUAUUUCUGAUUUUUAAUAUUUUUUAUUUUGUCAUUUGAUAUUUUUUGUGAAUUUUCUCUUUUCUGGUUAUUUUUAAUUCAUUUUAAAUAGUUUUUGGUAUUCAAAAAAUACAAAAAUAUUUUCCUAACCUAUUUGAAUGAUGAUGGAUCUAUGAAAAAUAUUCUCAUCAAUUUUUGAAUUAAUUUGAGAUUUAUUUGAGAUUUUAAUUCAAUUAGGUUAUUUUUAUUCAUUUUUAAUUGAUUAAAAAUAUUUUCUGACUUUUAAAAAUGCUAAAAAAAAAUUGUCAAACUUUGUUUGACCUUGUUGAACUUAGGAUAAAUCACUUGGACCUUUCAAGGUUGAUUUGAAGUGAUUUUGAAGUUUGACCUUUCUUUAACAUUUUAAUUCAAGUUUAUUUUUAAUAUUAAAAAAUGCCAAAAAUAGUUUAUUCAUUUCUUGACAUCCAAUCUUCAUCUCACUUCUGUUUUUGAUUGUUUGACCUUGACUCUCAAUGUUAUUGGUCAACAUAUAAGGAUUGGUAUAUUGUAUUUCAUUUAAUGCACUUUAAUUUUGUCAUUUCCAUUUCUCUUAUCCAUCUUCUUCUUCUUCUUCUUCUUCUUCUUCUUCUUUUCUUUUGAUCAAUGAGUUGAAGGUUGAUAAGUUAGCAUUGAUUAGGGAGAUUUAAUCUUCCUUGAUUCAAAUCUAAUUCAUCUUGAUCAAUUGAUCAAGGUGAAUGGCUUUGCUUUAAGGAAGAAAAUAGGUUGUCUUCUAAACAAUCCAUGCAACGAAGGCUUAAACCAAAUACAAGAUCAUUUCUCUUCUUUUUGGCAUGGCAAGUUGUUGGCCUUGGUUCACUAAUCAAGACUCUAACUUGUGUUUGUUGCCUACAUGAUUGACCGGCCCUAGAUAGUUGUGAUUCUACAUAAUCCAAUUACUUAACAUAGCGCUAAAUUUGCCUUAUGGCACACUAACUACUAACACUAACUAUUGACAAUUAACUUUUACUUUAUGCAAUUUACUUUUAUGCAAUUUACUAUUCUUGCACAUAUUAUCCAUUUGAUUUUCUAUUUGCUCACUUGAGCACAUGUUUAUGUUAAUGCCAUUUUCCUUUUGCUCACUUGAGCCCAUAUUUGUGUAUAUACUAUUGUGCUUGUGUUUUUUUGUUUUAAUUGUUGAGAACCAAAUACAAAGAAAUGGACUUAGCUUCUAGGACUUCCCCUAUGCAAGGAAAUGGAGAAUUGGACUUAGAUUCUAGGACCUUCCUUAUGCAAAAUUGGAGUAAAAAGGAUCUUAAUGAUGAAGAUGGAUUAGAAGGACCAAAUCUCUAAACUCUCCCUUUGUCCAUUCUUGUUUUACUUCAUGAAAUUCUUGAUUUGUGUGUGCUUUGUGUGCUAGGGAACUCUUUGAGCUUGAAUUGGAGGACCAUUACCAUGUUCAUCUAAGUGGAAGAUACAAGACACAUUGAGGAUCCCUUAUGAGACUUGUUUGAUUGCUUAUACUUUGUGCUUGCUUAUUCAGGAAGAUACAAGACACAUUGAGGAUCCCUUAUGAGACUUGUUUGAUUGCUUAUACUUUGUGCUUGCUUAUUCCAAAGGAUGGGAGCUACUUGGAUCAUCAAUAUGAUCUCAAGAAAGGGACUCCAUUGUGGUUUUGCUUCUUAUCCCUCAUAUUUUUGUUUCCUUAGGACUUAGCCCUUCUUCUUCAUCUCUCCACUCUAACCCAAGCCAAAACUUUUUGUGCAAACAUUUAACUAUUGUUUUCAAACAUUAGAAACCUAAGCCUUAUGCUUUUGAUUUUCAAACUUUCUUUUCAUAACACUUAUUUUUAAAUUGAAUCUUUAAGUCAACUUUGAUCAUUUUUUGUACAUACUUCUAAUUGGUAAAUAUAACUCAUUCAAAUUUCUUUUUGUGGUUCCAAUGGCCACCUUCCUAAUCAAAAUCUUCCAUAACCUUUAGCUAUUAGGUUUGAGUUAUCCUUGUGGUAGAUGUAAUACUCACCUAUAUCCUUAGUGAUAGACAAUGAGCCUUCCAUGCCUAUUAUAGGGUUAACCCCUCACUAGCAUGUUGAAGCUAUCCUCACAUGGUGGAUUUGUGGUUUGGUUGAGUUUUCUCCCUUUGAUAACAAAAGACCUUAAGGCUUUUGGACCAAUCAAUUCACCAAUUCAUUUUGAAAUUUUUACCCCGAACUACGAGGUUUUGAUCCUAAUCUUUUUAUAAGAUGGUACGUAGGCAAUGGGUUUAUCCAUCCAAACACAAAAUGUAAAUAAACUUGUAUAUUCUUUCCUCAUCUCUUCAAUCAUGUUUGCACAAACAAAAUUUCACAAGACAACAACCUUCACAAGAGUGAAAAGGGCUCCCUAGGAGUACUUAGGAUAUUUUGGGUGCCUAACACCUUCCCAUUACAUAACCAACCCCCUUACCCAGAUCUCUGUUUCUUUUACUAGUUUUUGUUAAAACUAUUAGGUUUUUGUUCGCUUUCUAACCAUUCCCUUGGAUAAAUAGAAGUGCGGUGGCGACUCGACUUGUAUGAUUUACCUUGGAUUUAGUCAAUAUCUCUAAUGGUAACGAAUACCCCGCUACAGAGAAGUGGCGAAUCUGCUGGGGAGGGAAAGAAUUUGCCCAGUGGGUUUUGCCAACUUUUCAUACUUGUUGUAUUGUUUUGUCUUGUGACAUAUUUUUGUGCAAUUUGGGAUUACUGUAUUGUAUGUAAUGAUUGAUUUGUUUGAUAUUAAUUCCUUGUAUGCUUGGUGAUCUUUGUGAGAUAAGUUCUAUACCCAGACUCGAGUGCACUUAGGAUAGGAGAAUGGCGUAGUCUUGUUAACUUGUGUGGAGUUAUUCCUUAGCAAGUUGACUUGCAAGACCAUUCACUUGGUGGAGGUCAUGUUGGGAUCAAUAAUGUCACACAAGUAAGUUGUGGUUAGGCAUUACUCUUUCCAAUAUAGACCUUAGAAGCCAGGGACCUUAGUUUACCAAGCCCAUCUUGGCCUAUUUUUAGGAUGUAGUGCGAAAGUCGUUCAAAUGUAAGAUUUGAUACGAUUGUUACGCGAUACUACACUCAUAAGAGUCUCUCUUGAGAAUAUUUUUGGAAUACGAGUAGUCGUUUCUCCGAUAAUAUCCGAAAGAUGGGAUGAUGACUAUGGGAACCUCUUGUAGAACAUGUUUGGCAGGUUUAAACCCUAGUACACUCCCUUUUGGGUGGUUCUUAACCUAACUCCAUGCUCGUGACUUACAACAAACCCUUGAUUCAUGGUUGAUCCGUUCAUGAAUCCUUAAUAUCAAUGGAACUUGGGUGUUGAUAAGGUGUAAACCAUAAUCCACCAAAAUGGAUGAUUGAUAUUAAGGAUAAUAUGAUCCAUCCCAUGACCUUUGUUUGGUGUGCUUUGCUUGAUCCUUGAGUGUGAUUGUUGCAUUCAUGCAUUCAUGCACCCAUUUGCAUUCAUAUCAUCAAAAUAAUAAGAAAAUUUUCAAGGAACUUAAGGGGUUUAUUUGCAAAAUUUUCAGACAUGGAAAGACAAAGAAGGAAUACAAAGAAGUACAGUUUCAGACAACCAGAUUUGAAAGAGUUAAGGAAUUUGACAUCCUAUGUAUUAGAUCCUUUGGGUUUCAAGGCUCGUUUUGGGAAGCUUCUUCCUCUUCUGACUACUCAGGUGGAUGAAGGAUUGAUGAGUGUAUUGGUGCAGUUUUAUGAUCCCUUGUACCGUUGCUUCACGUUUCCGGAUUUCCAGCUUUUGCCUACGCUUGAGGAGUAUGCCUACCUUGUGGGUAUACCUAUUCUAGACCAGUUGCCGUUCAGUGGCUUGGAGAGUAUUCCUACUUCUCAAGAGAUAGCAGACAUGUUGCACAUAGACGAAUCUCUGGUUGGUGCUCAUAUGACUACCAAAGGUGGAAUUCAAGGUCUCCCUUCUGAGUUCCUCAUUGCUCAAGCUACUGUUUAUGGGAAGGCCAUGAGUGAGGAUGCCUUUGAAGCCAUAUUUGUCCUUAUCAUCUAUGGAUUGGUAUUGUUCCCCAACAUCGACAAGUUUGUGGAUGUGAACGCUAUUAGGAUCUUUUUUACUCUUAAUCCCGUUCCGACUCUGUUGGGUGAUACCUAUUUCUCUUUGCAUAUGAGGAAUGAAAAGGGUGGUGGCGCCAUUGUGUGUUGUUUGCCUCUGUUGUAUAAGUGGUUUAUUUCUCACUUACCUCAGACGGUCGCCUUCAAGGAGAAAAAGGGAUGUCUACGAUGGUCCACGAGACUUAUGUCUCUCACUAAUGAUGAUAUCUCUUGGUAUAACCGUGUGUAUGAUGGUGUGAAGAUUAUUGACUCCUGUGGUGAAUUCUCCAAUGUGCCUCUUCUUGGUACAUGUGGUGGGAUUAACUACAACCCUAUUUUAGCACGUCGUCAGCUUGGGUUCCCCCUAAAGGAUAAACCCAAUAACAUUCUGUUAGAGGGUGAGUGGGAUUAACUACAACCCUAUUUUAGCACGUCGUCAGCUUGGGUUCCCCCUAAAGGAUAAACCCAAUAACAUUCUGUUAGAGGGUGUGUUCUUUCAGGAGGGUAAAGAUCCCCAAGGCUUGAAGGGCAGAAUGGUUCACGCUUGGCGCAAGAUUCAUAAGAAAGGAAGGAAGGAGUUGGAUCCUAAGAAUUGCAUCGCUUUUGAGCCUUACACUGCUUGGGUUAGGAAUAGAGCGUCUGAGUAUCUCAUGCCUUACGAGUAUCCGAGACCUACGCCUUUGGUUAUGGCUGGGCCUUCAACCCUCCCUAACCAAGGAGUAGAGGAGUUGAGAGACGAAGACCUAUCAUGUGCCUGGAUCCGUGAAAGAGAAGAGUUGCUUCAGCAGAUUAAGGAGAAGGAUGCUUUGAUUGAGUUCCUCGAGCAUCAAGUUAUUGAUGAUCCUAAUGAUGCAUGGAUUUCUCUACUUCCUCAGUCUUCCAAGUUUUGGAAGAGGAAGUACGAUCGACUCGCCAAGGAAAAGGCGGAUAUGGAGGCAGCAUACGAGAGGGGGGUGAAGACGCUUCGCGCAUCCUAUCUUCCUGUGUCCCGAGCUUUAGAUGAUUGUUUCUAGGGAUCCAUAGGAUGAUUAUUUUCCUUUUCUCUUGUACAUGAUUGACGAUGCUGUACUUUUUUCCCAUGAUAUUAUUUGAUGAGAUAUUUCUAUAUGUGAUAAAUAGUUAAUAUUUCCAAAAUUUGCAAAUAAAACCCUAGAGUUCCUUCAAAAUAAAAACAAAUCAUAUGCACGAGCAUCGCAUGCAUCAUGUGCAUAAGCAGGUUUUGUUCCCGGCUUCUUGUCCUGUGGUCUAACUCUGUGUUCUUCAUUUAUUUUGAAGACAAGCUGACUCACCGGUACUACACUAGAGCCAACACUUUAAGACUGAUGGAUCAACUAGAGCAAGAGAACCGUGAACUCAAAGAGGAAGUGGCCAGACUGAGCGCUUUGAUGGAAUCAUUUUUGGCUGCCCAGAGCUAGUCUUCUCCGACGCCUUCAACUCCUCCCCAAAGGAUAGUCAUUUCUGAGAUCGUCUCCUCAACUGUGCCUGCAGCCAGUGCACACUUUGUUCCGACAGCCAUGCCAGCCGGAUUCCCGUGGGGGAUGCCUCCCAAUUUUAUGCCUGAAGGUCCUGCUCCAACUUUUGCUUCCAUGCCGGCAUCUAGACUGGUCCUAGUUAUUCCUCCUCCUGUCGUGCAUACCAUGCCCAGGGUAGACGACACCAUCUAUCAUUCUGAGCCGUCUGAAGGCCCAGAUGUCUAUGAGAAGAUGGACGCUAUGAACGAUCAAUUUCUUGAGCUUCGCAAGGAAUUGAAAACUCUUAGAGGAAAGGAUAGACGACACCAUCUAUCAUUCUGAGCCGUCUGAAGGCCCAGAUGUCUAUGAGAAGAUGGACGCUAUGAACGAUCAAUUUCUUGAGCUUCGCAAGGAAUUGAAAACUCUUAGAGGAAAGGAUCUUUUUGGCAAGUCUUCUGCCGAACUGUGCUUGGUUCCCAAUGUGAAGAUCCCUGUGAAAUUCAAGGUCCCUGACUUUGAAAAAUACAAGGGAAAUACUUGUCCUCUUAGCCACCUGGUCAUGUAUGCCAGGAAGAUGUCUACUCAGACCGACAAUGAUCAGUUACUCAUCCACUACUUUCAGGACAGUCUGUUCGGUGCCGCCCUGAGAUGGUACAUGGGGCUAGACAGUGGGAACAUUUGUUCCUUCAACGACCUUGGCAAGGCCUUCGUCAAGCAGUACAAGUAUAAUGUGGAUAUGGCUCCCGAUAGGGAUCAAAUUAGAGCCAUGUCCCAGAAGGACAAAGAAACGUUCAAAGAGUACGCCCAGAGGUGGCGAGAGUUGGCAACACAGAUCGUGCCUCCGCUAGAAGAGAAGGAAAUGACCAAGAUCUUUCAGAAGACCUUGAGUUCAUUCUAUUAUGAGCGGAUGGUUGCUAGCGCUCCUUCUGACUUCACCGAGAUUGUGAAUAUGGGGAUGCGAUUAGAAGAAGGGGUUAGAGAAGGACGUCUGACCAAGGAAGAAGGCUCUUCUACCAAGCGCUAUGGGGCGUUUGCAAAGAAGAAAGAUGGAGAGGCACAUGUGGUGACCUCCCAUGUGAAAUCUAGAAGACCCUCUGUGAGGAGGAAGACCGUGCGUCCUGCCCGUAACCAGCACUAGGUGGCUCACAUAGCACCUGUUUUCAGAGACAAUCAACAGUAUCAGCAACAUAGUAAUAAUCAGCAAACACCUCAGCAAUAUCAACAACAACAGCACCGUCCGCAACAGCAGGCCUACCAGCCUCGAAACACUAAUCAAACCAGCAUGAGUUACGAGAGGAAAAAGGUCACUUUUGAUCCUAUUCCAAUGACGUACGCAGAAUUAUAUCCCUCUUUGAUAGAGAGGAAGUUGAUUACUCCAAGGGACCCACCAGCUAUACCUGCUAACCCCCAGUGGUGGUAUAAGCCCGAAUUGCAUUGUGUUUACCAUUCUGGUGCUCCCGGCCACGACGUGGAGAAUUGUUACCCUUUGAAGACCAAGGUUCAAGACCUUGUAAGGUGUGGCAUUCUGUGUUUCGAGGACGUUGGUCCUAAUGUGAAGAAGAACCCAUUGCCCGAGCAUGGGAAAUCUGUCAAUAUGGUCCAGGGCUGCCCUGGAAAAUACAAAGUCAAAUAUGUCAGUCAUAUUCGACAGUCUCUUGUUGAAAUGCAUCGUUUGCUAUGCGAGUACAGUCACUAUGAACACGAUCAUGAUAGAUGUCGAAUAUGCUCUGUUAACCGAUUGGGUUGUCGCCAGGUGUGUAACACCCCGAUAAAAUAUGAUAAUUAUUUAAUUUAAGUUAAUAGUAUAUUUAUUAAUUUAAUUAAAUAAUUGGAAUAUUAUUGGAUUAUUAUUGGAAUAUAAAGUUGGAAAAUAUAUAAAGAGUCCCAUAUGGUAAAAGAAAGGGUUUUUCACGUGAAAACAGAGAAGCGGCUGAAAAGUGGAGAAAGGGCAAAGAGGAAGAGCGAGAGAAAGAGGGUUGAAGAAGGGAAAAGCUUGAAGCUAAAGGAUUGCCGGAUUAACUCAGGUAAGGGGGGUUUAUCGUCGUUUAAUGGGUAUUAUGGGUUAACAUGUAAUGGGUAGUAAUAAGCCAUUGAAUUGACCCUAAUUUGGAUGAUGAAUGCUGCAAAUUGUGANNNNNNNNNNNNNNNNNNNNNNNNNNNNNNNNNNNNNNNNNNNNNNNNNNNNNNNNNNNNNNNNNNNNNNNNNNNNNNNNNNNNNNNNNNNNNNNNNNNNNNNNNNNNNNNNNNNNNNNNNNNNNNNNNNNNNNNNNNNNNNNNNNNNNNNNNNNNNNNNNNNNNNNNNNNNNNNNNNNNNNNNNNNNNNNNNNNNNNNNNNNNNNNNNNNNNNNNNNNNNNNNNNNNNNNNNNNNNNNNNNNNNNNNNNNNNNNNNNNNNNNNNNNNNNNNNNNNNNNNNNNNNNNNNNNNNNNNNNNNNNNNNNNNNNNNNNNNNNNNNNNNNNNNNNNNNNNNNNNNNNNNNNNNNNNNNNNNNNNNNNNNNNNNNNNNNNNNNNNNNNNNNNNNNNNNNNNNNNNNNNNNNNNNNNNNNNNNNNNNNNNNNNNNNNNNNNNNNNNNNNNNNNNNNNNNNNNNNNNNNNNNNNNNNNNNNNNNNNNNNNNNNNNNNNNNNNNNNNNNNNNNNNNNNNNNNNNNNNNNNNNNNNNNNNNNNNNNNNNNNNNNNNNNNNNNNNNNNNNNNNNNNNNNNNNNNNNNNNNNNNNNNNNNNNNNNNNNNNNNNNNNNNNNNNNNNNNNNNNNNNNNNNNNNNNNNNNNNNNNNNNNNNNNNNNNNNNNNNNNNNNNNNNNNNNNNNNNNNNNNNNNNNNNNNNNNNNNNNNNNNNNNNNNNNNNNNNNNNNNNNNNNNNNNNNNNNNNNNNNNNNNNNNNNNNNNNNNNNNNNNNNNNNNNNNNNNNNNNNNNNNNNNNNNNNNNNNNNNNNNNNNNNNNNNNNNNNNNNNNNNNNNNNNNNNNNNNNNNNNNNNNNNNNNNNNNNNNNNNNNNNNNNNNNNNNNNNNNNNNNNNNNNNNNNNNNNNNNNNNNNNNNNNNNNNNNNNNNNNNNNNNNNNNNNNNNNNNNNNNNNNNNNNNNNNNNNNNNNNNNNNNNNNNNNNNNNNNNNNNNNNNNNNNNNNNNNNNNNNNNNNNNNNNNNNCAUAAUGUAUGUAUGGCGUAUAAUAUGAAUGGAUGUAUUCCAAUAUUAUACGUGUGUUUUGUGUUUGUGUUGAGUAUGAUUAUGAGUUGAUGUUGCCGUUGCUGAAUGUGUGAUAUGAUUAGGGUGAUGAAUGUGUUAAUUUACUUAGCAUUACAUGAUAUUUUAUAAUGCUUAUUAUAUCGAUUGAGGAACUCACCCUUACAACUAUGUUUCAGGUAACGAGCAGUGAUUGAGUAGAAGCUAGUGCUGGGAGUCUAGUGUAGUUCCUUAGUGAGUCAUGCUCUGGUAUAUGUAACAUCGGGACGGGAUGUUUUACUUUGUUUUCAUUUGGUUGUUGAACAACUUUACAUGUAAUGUGUUACAUGGUUUGCAUGUUGUUAGAUUUCUAUCCGCUGCGUAUUGUGCAAUGUUUUAUUUUGAUUAAUAAAUGAGCAUGACAAGUUAUUUUGGUGAAUGGUGUGAAGUGUCAAGUGUGACACCCUUAAAUUGCAUAUCUACUCUCUUGUUGAAAUGCAUCGUUUGCUAUGCGAGUACAGUCACUAUGAACAUGAUCAUGAUAGAUGUCGAAUAUGCUCUGUUAACCGAUUGGGUUGUCGCCAGGUGCGCAAAGAUCUUCAGGAAAUGCUGGACGAAGGAGUUAUUGAGAUCCUUCAGAAUAGGAAUGUUGACGAGGAUGAGCCAGAUGUCAACGUAAUUUCCCCAGUAUUCCGGAUGCCCGAGCCUGUUACCAUUAAGUAUGAUGGUAGUAAGCAGAAGGUUUCUCCUGUUCUUAUCAUUAAGCUUGCCGGUCCAGUACCAUACUCUUCCGAAAAAGUGAUUCCCUUUCAUUACAACGUUGUUGUUGUAGAAGGAGAAAAAGAAGUGCCUUUGCCUUCUUCAUCUGUUGUGAAUAUCGCAGAUGUAAGUGGUUUGACCCGCAGUGGUCGUGUAUUUUCAGCAUCACCGAAGCCCCAAGCUAAGGCUGAUUUCGUUGAACGCCCGAUUGGGAAUGAUGUGUGCACUCCGAAUCCGGCACUUGCUGUUAGUCCCUCCUCUGUACUAAAAACUCCUACUUCUGUUGGCCCUAGUGGCAAUAAGAAAGAAGACUGUGAUGAGAUGCUGAGGCUCAUCAAGAAGAGUGAGUACAAUGUUGUAGACCAGCUUCUACAAACACCAUCUAAGAUAUCCGUAUUAUCCUUGCUAUUGAAUUCAGAACCACAUAGAGAGGCUCUACAGAAGGUUUUGGAUGUGGCAUAUGUAGAUCAUGAUGUCAUAAUAGAACAGUUCGAUAGCAUUGUUGCAAACAUUACUGCUUGUAACAAUUUGAGUUUUUGUGACUCUGAUCUCCCUGAGGAGGGAAGAGACCACAACAUGGCUUUACACAUAUCCAUGAAUUGCAGAGACGAUGCCAUGUCCAAUGUGCUGGUGGACACUAGGUCAUCCCUAAAUGUAUUGCCGAAAACCACUCUCUCAAAGUUGUUUUAUCAAGGGCCUCUCAUGAGGCAGAGUGGGGUAGUUGUGAAAGCUUUCGAUGGGCCUCGAAAGACUGUAAUUGGGGAAGUUGAUCUCCCAAUCAAGAUUGGACCAAGUGAUUUCCAAAUUACCUUUUAGGUUAUAGAUAUCCACCCAUCGUAUAGCUGUCUCUUCGGCAGACCAUGGAUUCACGAGGCGGGCGCCGUGACAUCCACCCUACACCAGAAACUGAAGUUUGUGAAGAAUAAAAAGUUGGUGGUGGUAGGGGGAGAAAAGGCUCUCCUGGUUAGCCACUUGUCUUCCUUCUCGUACAUAGAUGCUGAGGAUGAAGUUGGAACUCCUUUCCAAGCUUUAUCUAUAGCGGAGCCUAUUGAGAAGAGAACUCCUUCAUUUACUUCCUAUAGAGAUGCGAAAUUGGCCAUUGAGUGUGGUGCAAUUGCUGGCCUAGGAAAAAUGAUUGAGCUAGAAGACAAUAAGUCUCGGGCUGGCAUAGGCUUUUCCUCUGGGGUUUUCAAUGAGAAAGGGCUAUUCAAGAGUGGAGGUUUCAUCCACGCAGGUCAAGAUGAAGAAGCUGUUGCUGUCUUGGAAGAAGAUGCAGAGGAUUCUGGCAAUUUCAUUAUCCCUGGAGGGGUCUGUAACACCCCGAUAAAAUAAGAUAAUUAUUUAAUUUAAGUUAAUAAUAUAUUUAUUAAUUUAAUUAAAUAAUUGGGAUUAUUAUUAUUGGAUUAUUUUAUUAUAAUUAUUGGAAAAUAUAAAAGGGCCAGAGCAACACUGUCUACCAACACACAGCUAGAUUCGCAUAUCACUCCAGUUUACUCUUUAGGCUCCAAAGUCGCUAACAGCAUAAACAUCUGCCACCAUCUUCUACUCUCAUGCUCAUAGCAGGUUUUGUCUCAUGCUAGAUGAGAAACAAACUGCUUGCUCCCUCUAGUCUGAUCGAGAGAGUACAAUUUCAUGGUAAAGAAUCACAGCUUCUCAAAAUCAAAUGCCAUAUAGUACGGCACGGUUAAACACCAACCAGUUCGAUACCACGAUGGUACAUACAUGUAGCAAUUCGUGCAGUCAAGCAUGGAAGAUGACACCACAUGAGUAACUGACCUAUCCCAUAAGUCCUCUGACCAAAAUAAACUCAAGGAUCAAACAACACUGAAUGUCCGUUAGUCCAGCAGGUAGAUACCUCUUGACGCAGGAGAGUAUCAAUCGCCCACCAAUGAGUCUUACGCAAUGCAGUCUGCAGAUGAGGUUAACUAAGAGCUUAUAUGUUUCACAGCACAUUUGGUCACAAGAUAAGAAGCUAUAAGAGAGAGAGGAAGUUCUCCAGUAGCCGGUGGUCAUAUAGUGCCCAUAACUCGAUGACAAGGCAUUAGAGCCAGUGAUCUAUAACAAGCAGUCUAAGCAUCUGGAACAGGCCGCUACUUACAGUCACAGAAGUUUGAGCAGCUAUGCGCUCUAUGAAGACUCCAUGUAUAAUGCAUACGAGCCCGAUCUGCUCCGGACAUGAGGAUAUCCUUUGUCUAUCGGGUGCUGUAGGGGACACUGGUGAGAUAUGACCCAGUCACUCGUCUAGCCGUUUUAGAAAAAAGCCUCCACAGUCUUCGGGACCGACCUCCGAGCAGAACAACAGGAUCCAACCUUUCCACACUUGAAAACACGUUACCUCAUACAUAACUAGGUAACUCAUUAGGAUACGAAUUUGUCCACCUAUUACCUAAGUGUAACUCUUAGACCAGGUAACAUCUAGAAGUCUACCCUCACCUUACAAGCCUAUCAACCCCUCUACGAGUCUCUGAAAAACUUUGCACCAGACACUGCUAUACGAUUGUUGGUGCACCAUCUAUCAUUUACCUGCUUUCUUAUGCCUUUUACCUCUAUCAUUAGCUAUAUAGUCUAUCUGCCUAUAAGCUUUGGUAUCUACCUGUUCAAAUCCUGCAUACAUGUGCAACCAAAUCAGAAAACACUUACUAAAUCCGAGUGAUGUAUCCGAAGUAAGACUUUGUUACAGUUGAAUAUCAAGGAGAGCGUUACCGCCCCCUGUUUCUUCGAGUAUCUAUAUCCAGGCGUAUAUUUUCACGUGAAAAUGGAGAGAGGAGACAGAAGUUGGAAAACCAGGCGCAAAAAAGAGUCACAGCACGAACACCGGGUUCUGGAUUAUAGAGGGAAGUAAGGAAGUACGAUCCGACACCGCGCCUUGAAGGCUCAGGUAGAUUUGUCUCGCUGACUCUAUGACCCUCACUCGCGUUAGAUACCCCGCGUUGGCGCCCUCUUCCCGGUUGCCCGACACUUCAUCAUCUAUCUGUCUUUUUUUAACUGGGUUCCAUCCUUUACCAUUGCGGCUGGAGCAGUUACAUUUCACUUAUCGUACGCAGUGAGGCUUAGCUUGAACAACUCUGAAUCAACAGCCCAAGAGAUCUCAUGAGUAUUCCCAUCUAGCACCUCUCCACACUUGACCCUCUGGACGAGUAGAUUCGCUAAAUGAACCCACUCACCAGAACUACAUAAUCUGGCUUUGACCACUUUGCGCACUUCGUUUCGGGUGAGAUGGGAAACGAAACAGCGAUGUACAUAUCCCUUGUGUUAAAAGGAAAUCGGCUCACCACUUACGGUCAAGUGACACUCGAGGAUAGCAUAUAACGUGUUCUGUAGGUAUUUCUGGUGAGAUUGAAAUAAGAUUAUGCAUUCUCUAUGUGCUCCUAGAUUUAUAUUGAAACCGAAUACGGAUGGUAAAAUGGAGCUGUGGAACGCGUAUGGCAGCUGCAUUGAGGGGAGGUAAUGUCGUCUACGCAGAUUGAAAGGCACUAUGCAGAGGUCUGGAACAUGUCGGUUGUCUGUUGCUCAUCUCUGGACUCACCGUUCGGUUGAUACGGGCCACCACUCUCACAUUGCGCACACCAUUCCCGGCAGUAUUCGCACGCUAUUGACGCACACCGUUGGAUCUUGGUCACGCGUCAUCUAGGCACUAUAACGACACAUACGCGUAAGAGAUGGACAUGACGGAAAGCGAUUCGACGUCUUUGAUAUUCGGCUAGGCAUUUCGGUCUUGUUCCAUCUCGUGGGUACGUGUCAUGUACCGCGAUGGCCCUCUGUGCUAUAUUCGUCAAGAGAUCCAACAAGCUAACAAUAAGUACUAUGCAGGACGUCCGGGAGAGGGGGGAGAGGCGGGGAAGAUAUAUAUAUGUAAGGGGAGAUAGAGUGUGAGGGGGAAGACGCGCGGGGUGCGGGGACGCGGGGGGGGGGGGGGGGGGCGGUGAAGUGGGGGGGGGGGGGGGGGGGGGGGGGGGGGGGGGGGGUGAGACAGGUUGCAUGAUUACACGCGUAUGGGGAUUGGCUGAGAAAUGGCGCCACUAAUGGUACCCCUUCACUCACAAAACGCGUAUCGGACUCGCGGCAAUACGCGUAAAUGCGUUAGCAGGAAUUUGUGAUUUUCCUGCACGCCUGAUCAAUGUUUGUAGCAGUUUAUAAUUUAGAAGGACUUUAUUCACAGUACUGCACAGCUAAACGUAAAAUAUUAAGCUGACCAAUAGUAAUUUGAUUAUUACCAUAUAAGGUGUAUCAUUCCCCGAAUGUGAUAUGUACUGAGUCAGCAAUUUAUAUAAAGGAGGGUGGGUUUGGGAGUGGGAGAGGGUGUUCGCUACACUACCUCCGUGACCCUAAUAUAUUUUUCAACUCAGGCCACAUGAUUAUGACCUAAACCUCAGACUUAUUGAUGAUAAAAUUAAAGAUUCAAAAUGCUCUGAUGAAGUUUGUUUGAUUGUGUUAACUGUCACAAAGGAUAAGCUAAAGUCAUACUGUAUCUAGUUAGUCUGAUUAAGUCAACUGCAGUGGAUACAAUCUAAUCAUACAGUGAAUAGAUUCCUAAGUUUAUCAAAUCGUGACUAUAGAUGUGCAGAGUUCAAUUAUGUAUACUAAUUUCACUGUGAAUUGUUGGUUCAGAUGCAAGAUGUACAGACCAUUGAUAGACUAGGACAUAGUGUAAGAACAUUCCAUUCAGCAUCCGCGCAUGAUAACAUCUUGUAGGCCCUUUAUGGUGGUAGCUAAUCUCCCCAUCUGGUCGAGGAAAUUAGUGAGUUAGUCAUUUAAAUGGACUGUUGUUGAUGGAUUUGCAGGUCAGCUUAGACGCCUGAACUAAAUAGUAGGACACUAACGAGUGCCAAGACUCCACGACAUUGCGCCAUUCUGGCCUUCUAAGGCUGGAAUAAGCUAAUUCUCACUCAUCUCCGUGUAGAGGAAUUAAGUAAGUAAGAUAGGUUGUCAACUAGGAGGGCUGAUUCGUUCACAAUCUAGAGUGUGCAAUGACUAGUAGGGUGAGGCAUUAUCAUUUGAGUAAAUAACCUGUGCCAUGUGCGAAUUUGGUAAUCGGUGUAAAGGUGGAACUAUCAUGUUCACAAAUAGAUCUGGUGAACACAUAUCUCAAUCACCCUAAUCACAGUCACACAUUCGGUAACGGUAACGGUCAAUUUGGAAUAUCAUACUCAUACCAAUACAAUUCAUGCUCAACUCAUAUCGAGAGAGAGAGAGAGCGUAAUGCAUGGAGUCUCAUUGCAUAAUAUGUGUAUGGCGUAUAAUAUGAAUGGAUGUUUCCAAUAUUAUACGUGUGUUUGUGUUGAUAGUGAGUAUGAGCAUGAAUUGUAUUGGUAUUGAGUAUGAUAUUCGAAUUGACGUACCGUUACCGAAUGUGUGAUGUGAUUAGGGUGAUUAAUGUGUUAAUUACUUAACAUGACAUGAAUUUUAUAAUGCUCAUUAUAUUGAUUGAGGAAUCACCCUUCCAACUAUUUUUCAGGUAACGAGCAGUGAUUGAGUAGAAGCUAGUCCUUGGAGUCUAGUGUAGUUCCUUAGGGGUCAUGCUCUGGUAGAUGUAACAUCGGGAUGGGAUGUUUUACUCUAUGUUUUCAUUUGGUUGUUGAACAACUUUACAUGUAAGUAUUACGUGGUUUGAAUGUUGUUAGUUUGUAUCCACUGCGUAUUAUGCAAAUGUUUUCCUUUGANAAGAAGUUGGAAUUUAGAAAAGUGUGCCAUUUGGUAAAAGGGUUAUUUCACGUGAUGAAAGGAAAAGGAGACUGAAAAGUGGAAAAACAGGCAAAAAGAGCCCAGAAACAAGGGUUGAAGAAGAGGAAGGAAAGCUUGCAGCCAGAGAUUUGCCGGAUUAACUCAGGUAAGGGGGGUUUAUCAUCGGUAAGUGGUAUUAUGGGAUAAUAUGUAAUGGGUAGUGAUAAACCAUUGAUUUACCUCUGAUUGGAAUAUUAUGCUUGAAAAUUUGAACUUUUGGGAUGAACGAAACGAUUAAAAUUGAAGGAAAUUCGUAGGAAUUAGAUGCAAAUGGUUAGUAUUGUGAGAUUGGAAUAAGAUAUGUUUGUUUAGAUGAUAUGAACGAAUACUGUGUAAAAUGGACUGUGGAAGGUUGGAUCUGAGGAAUUUCGUAGCAGAGAAAGCCAUUGCAGAUCUGGAAAUUCUGGUUUCUGGUCAUACGCGUAUGGCACAGGCAGUACGCGUAUGAGAUGGUCUGGUACGCGUAUGGCACUAGACAAUACGCGGUAUGGAUGAGGAAGAUGAUGUUUUGAACGUAGUUUUGUCUCUGUUGGUACGGUAUGAGGAUGUGGUAACGCGUAGCAUACGCGUAUAGAACAGGUGAAUACGCGUAUGGGAUUGGCUGAGAAAUGGGCCAUACGCGUAUGGGACUAGGCAAUACGCGUAUGGGCAGGUUGUGAUUUUCCUGAGCCUGUGUUGUGCAGUUUUUAGCUUUCAGUUGAGUAACGUAAUUCAGCUGAUGUAUGAAUAUAUAGGGAUCAUCCCGUUGUUUUGAGUAGUAUAGGUAUUAAGAUAGAAGUGUGCUAAUACUGUGGUGUUAUUUGAGGAAUAUGAUAUGCUGUAUGUGAUAAAAUACUUGAGUAUGUGUGAUGGUACAUGAUGUUGUGAAGGUAUCAGUUAUGUGUGCAUUUGUGAAUAAGACUGUUUUAUGGCUUAGAGUGCGAGCAAUAGUCUAUUCUUGAAUUGUUGUUGAUGAUGUAGCAUUGCUAGGUGAUUAGCAUGCAUAUGUGGCCUUAUGGUGGUAGCUAAUUCCCAUGGUGAGGAAUUAGUGAGUUAGUCAUUUUGGACUGUUGUUGAUGUUUGCAUGCUAGGUGAAUUAGCGUGCAUAGCAUGGCCUUGGGGUGGUAGCUAAUUCCCAUGGUGAGGAAUAGUGAGUGAGUCACUAGGUCUCAAUGAGUGGGACUAGUGGGCUUGGUACCCGUGCCUGGAUUGGACGGUGGAGGUGAACUAUAUGUUCACAAUAGUCGGUACCGCAUGCAUGGAGUCUCAUUGCAUAAUAAUGUGUAUGGCGUAUAAAUGAAUGGAUGUAUUCCAAUAUUAUACGUGUGUUUGUGUUGAUAGUGAGUAUGGACAUGAAUGUAUUGGUAUUGAGUAUGAUAUCGAAUUGACGUACCGUUACCUGAAUGUGUGAUGUGAUUAGGGUGAUUAAUGUGUAAUUAACUUAACAUGACAUUGAAUUUUAUAAGCAUUAUAUUGAUUGAGGAACCACCCUACAAACUAUUUUUCAGGUAACGAGCAGUGAUUGAGAGAAGCUAGUCCUGGAGUCUAGUGUAGUUCUUAGUGGUCAUGCUCUGGUAGAUUAACAUAUCGGGAUGGGAUGUGUUACUUAUGUUUUCAUUUGGUUGUUGAACAACUUUACAUUUAGUAUUACGUGGUUUGAAUGUUGUAGUUUGUAUCCACUGCGUAUUAUGGCAAAUGUUUUCCUUUGAGUAUAAUAAAUGAGCAUGACAGUUAUAUUGUUGAAUGGUGUGAAAUAUUGUGUGACACCCUUAAAUUGCAUAUUUACUCUGAUUGACAUAUUGUUAUUUUUUUUUAUUAAAUAUUUGGGGUUUUUAGAAGGUUUACAUUAGUGGUAUCAGAGCAUAUCCGGUCGAGUCGAGUCGUACAUAUCUUUCCGUACGGGAUAGGGUUGUGUAACCCUAUCAGUACUUUAUGUUAGCUUGUUUGGGUUUUAGAAUAGAGAUGGCUGCAAGAGGUAGAUGACGAUGCUCAUGCUGAGGCUCUUUUUUCUUGGUAUGCUAGAUGGUAGUACUUGUGGUAGGGAAUCUCGUAUGAUGUUUGGAAUGGGAGCUUGCUUUCUGUUCAUACUUGAGUGUUAUGUUCCAUGAAGAACAACCUCCAAGUGUUCAUAUUGGUGUAGCAAUAUUCAUCUGGAUUGCUGCCAGAAAUUGGUGUAAGGACGAUUUCGAUGUGUUCUUUCCUGAGUGACUAUGUUGCCGAUUAACUGCAGAUAGUGUCAGGGUUUCGGGUUAACGUCAUAUGCGUUCUAGAGGUGAAGCAGAUUUAUUUGGAUUGGGUUUUUGCUUUACCGCUACGAUUUGUGCUAUCUGCUGGGUAAUUGUCUGAAGAGUCUCUUGGUCGUGUUCAGAGAUUGAGAUUCCUGAGGAAGUACUUUUCCAACGAGGAAUUUCAGGAAAGACAAGAGAGUAGUAGUUUUGGAUAGUUGAAGCAUUGGUGCAAUCGGUCCUGUUUAUUUAUGAUAGCUCUUAGAAUUCCAGAGCUGCGAGAGAGUAUUACUCCCUAUAACGAGGGCUACUGGGAAUUUCGAAAUGUGUGGAAGUUUGAGAACGGGUUCCUGUCUCCGAGAUCUAAGGCAGGUUUUCUUUUUAUUUUAGUUGUGAUAUGCCAGCGAUGAUGAGUGUUGUUUCUGAUAUUUGGUUUGACUGUUGCAUUUUGGAUUUUGAGACAGGAUAACAAGGGCUAGAGCAGGAGCUAAUUCUAGCAUGAGGGUUGGGAUAGGUUAAAGGGCAUAGAAAUUCAGAUAUGAUCGUUGAAUUAACCUGUAUUGCAGCUGGCAAAGGUUUUCAGAGACAGUGAGUGGGAGAAUUGAGGCCUAGUUGGGGAGAGCUCUAUGCCCCUGUCUUAAGUGUUUUACAGUAUGUGGUCAGUGCGACAUUUCGUUAUCUUCUAUAGUUGAAACCUAGUAAAUGAGAUAUGGAAGUGUUUCAAGUUGUGGAAUCCGGUGGUCAUUUGGCUUGCAGAAUUUCGGUCGAAGACUGUGACUUGUUUCAAUUUUAUUCUUUUUUUUUGUUGUAUAUGUUUUUGGUCAUAUAGCCUCACAGUGUCCUAAAGCCGUAAGAUAGGAGAACCAGUCGGGGAGCAAGGUCUUUGCUUUAUCGGGCUGAGAAUUCUCCAGAUGAACCGUGAAUCCGAGGGUACGUGUUUCUUAAUGCUUUCCUCUUGUAGCUUAUAUGACACAGGCGACUCAUUGCUUAUAUCUUUGGAUUUGCCGUAAACUUAAGUUAGAGAUAUCUGAGAUGCAGGAAGUAUGGUGAUGAUACUCCUGCGAGGGUUCAGUGACUACUACUUUCAGUUGUUUUGAAUUGCCCCUUAGUAUUUGUUGGUAGGGACUUUGGGAGGACCUAGUGUGUCUCCACUUGUGCAGAUUGAGUAUUCUGGGUAUGAACUGGUUGGUGUUAAUCCGGGUCUAUAUCAAUGUUUUGAUAAGGCGUGAUCUUUCCUGAGAAUUGAGAAGGAAGAAGUUUGUUUCUAUCUGCAAGCAGGUGACUGAGGAAGAGCAAUGGGGCAGAGUUGUUUAUGCUGUUAGCGACUUUCUUUGGAGGCUAAAGAUAACCUGGUGAUGAUGCGAUCACGCUGUGUGUGUUGAUUCCUGAUGUGUUCCCGGAAAGAAAUGUGAAUGAAUUACCGCCAGAGCGUGACAGUUUGAGUUCGUCGAUUGCUUGGUACCGCUGGACUAGCCAGUGUCGAUGGCUCCGUACCGUAUUCUGCUGUUGAGAUUUAACUUGAAUUGAAGAGUCAGUUGAAGAUCCUGUUGGAAUAAGAAAUAUUCCGUCCGAUGUGUGUCACGUGGGGUGCACCAGUUGUUAUUGUAGAAGAAAGAAAGGUACUAUGAGGUGUGGUGGACUACAGGCAACUGAAUAAAGUAACGAUCAAGAGUCGUAACCUUUUGCGAGGAGAUGAUGAUGGAUCCGUGGUUUGUGUGCGAGUGGUCAGCAAAAAGAUUUGAGAUCUGGAUAUCACAGAUACGUGUUGAAAACUGAGGAAUAUUCAAGAAGACUGCUUUCAGAACAAGGUAAUGGAAUUAGAGUAUUCUGUAAUCUUUUGUGUGACUAAUGCGCCUUGGAGAUUAUGAUAAUAUGAAAGGAUUUCCAUCCGUACCUAGCCAAGUUUGUUGUGGGUGUUUAUUGACGUAUAUUUUGGUGAUUCGAAAUCUGAAGAAGAGCAUGCUGAGCAUGUGAGAGUGGUGUUAGAAUUCCUACGAAGAAAAGAAAUUAGUUGCUAAACCUUCUAAGUGUGAAUUUUGGUUAGAAGAGAGGUUAUGUUUUCUUGGUCAUGUGAUUUCCACGAGGUGCGUGUUGCUGUUGAUUCCUCUAAGAUAGAAAGCGGUAAUCUUAAGUGGCGAAGCUCCGAAGUUCAAUUUCUGAGAUAAGGAGUUUUUCUUGGUUUGGCGUUAUAAUAAGAAAUUUAUUGAGGGAUUUUCUAAGUUGGCGUUACGUUGACGAUGUUGACUAGAAGGGGCAAGCUUUUUGUUGGGACUCAAAAUGUGAAAGAAGGUUCCAGUAAAGAAGGGUAUAACUACUGCUCCUACUGAUAUUACCUCUCUGUUCUCCGUUCUACCAACUGCCUCUUAAUCCCAAUUCCCUUAACCAGUAACAUAGACAUAUUCAAUUAGAUUCCCGACUCCAAUUGCACGUAUCGACCGCGGCAAUCAUUCUGCAGGUUUACCCGUGAUGCGCUGGCUUUCUUCAUCCUGUUUUGGGCGUUUCGCAUGUGCCUGGCUGCUGUUGCCAUAGCUGCAGCUCCAUGAAUAGCCCAGCUGGUUAAUAGCUCUAUGCUCCAGAUCUUACGCGGCAGGGUUCAUAGGGACCUCAUCACUCCGACUACCUUUCCACUUUCACUGAGCGAUACCUCGAACUCACAUCUUACCCAUAUAAAAUGCACACGAUUAGAAUUGCAGCUGUGGUCAUUUGUUCCUGCAAAAAUUCAUUGGAGGCAUUACAUAUUAUGGGUCACGAACCUGUAUAGCGAGUAUAGAUUCACUGCACCAUACAAGCAGUGUCACAAACAGUAAUUGUCUAUGAUUCAGUAAUCGAAGUGGUCGACUAUCUCUCCAGAACCUCAGCUGUCUCGAAAGCAAAAAGCAUAAAUCCUGCAUUACCUGCAAACACAACCAACCCAAACCCAACAAGAAAGCAUCAACUAGUAACCUCAAAUGAUUCCGUACGAACGCGAGCUAAGAACAUAUAGAACACAGAGAGAUUUUAGGAGCAUUUUACGUAAAGAGACACUCGACUCUUUAUCUGCGUUUUGAAAUUACACACACUCUCAAUAAAGUCAAUAGCAAGUAUCGCCGAACACAAAGAUGCUGGCAUCACCCUUCGACCUAGUAUUGCCACAAGCUCUAUUGGUUACUGGUCUAACAGGAGAGCAAUGGAAUUAUACGAAUUCGACGAAACUAUGAGAUAAAUCAGAGUCCUUAGGUUUGGUGUGUGAGAGUACCACAAUAGGUCUAAACCCUUGCGAAAUUGAGUAUGAUUAAGCACUACUAACCACCAGCCAAACCAAGAAAAGAGUGGUUCCCAUUUCUGGAGAAGAUCUUUAGCAGAGAGAAUGGACAUAACAUCGGCAGCAUUGCUGCCUUCUGAGUCUUUAUAAGCAUAGUUGAAUCUCUAGCUGAAUCGAGACUGUGUCAUCUAUCUAUGUAAGGUGAGGAUCAGAGACAUCAGAGACUAACAGAAUACCGGCUUGUAAAUGAACGAAUCAUUGGACUAUAUAAUAACGAACUGAUAUCGUCGCUACUUUCAACCGGAUAAUUAACACACUUCACACCUAGACAGUGAGACUGACGAAAGAGUAUGUCUCUAAGAAAGUGAAGCGACAAUUCUCGAGUGUGCUCGUUUAGUACUCGAUGACACAUCCUUCGGCUACGACUACGAAGCAAUAGUAUCCAAUGCAUUUGAACACAGUAUAUUCUCAUCUAGUGGUCUCGAGGCCAGGAGAUGACCCAGUCAAUACGUCAGAAAGUUUCGAUAAUCUAGCCCGAAAUAGCUGUUCAUAUUAAACUAGUCUUCAACGACUAAUCACCUUGUUUGGUCUACGGUUAUCGUCGAUAGAAGGGAAUACAUAACCAUGAUUGAACAUUCAUGAACUGAUCCUCCAAAGGUCAUAAAAUGCAAUACCCCCAAGGCGCAUGUCACACCGGGCCAAAUAUCAUAUCAUGACUCAACCAAGUGAGUCGAGUAACAUUGUCGUGGAGAGGUCAGCUUGUGAAUAAAAUCUCAGUUUCCAACGUAUCGAGAUAAAUAGUCGACAGAUUUCCUCAAUCUAUUGCUGAUACACUACUCGCACGCUGAUACCAUACUGAUGUGUCCGAAUCACAAUGCAGGAAACAACUAAAAGAAUUUGAAGCUAUUUCGCUGUGACGGUGAGAUCAAGAACUAACCGAUUCUGACUGAGAGAAUCGUUCUAGCACUCUUGAAUUCCAGCAGCUGUUACCGGCCACUUCAGAAACGGAUAUCACAUACGACUCGAUAUUGGUGACCGAGACUAGCUUCGUAGUUUUCUUUAUCUUAAACCAUAGAGAUACAAAAAUAUUCUGGUGACAAGUUCCCCGCAACUGGUACGAUCACGAUCCCGCGAGGUGAUUGUAUUCGGACAGAGAGUCCCUAGAUUAUUAAUACAAAUUCGUAUUAGUCUUCUGGAUAGCCAGUAUUGCAAGAGGAGCCUUUGCGAAUAAGUCUGCUAGCCACGAUCCGAGUCAUCACUGCUAAUCCAGAUCAUAACUCAACACCCGAGCUAACGGACGACCAAUCACACUGGCCUAGUACCACGGUACCAAAGUAUCGAGGAUAGGUCCCAUGAUGACGAGGACGAUUUCACGAGCUCUAGCGCGGAGAAAGGAUUCUUUGACAGGGGCUUCAGCGGUGUUUCUGUGCCACGAGAAGGGAGGUGCUAGACGGUCAUCAGGUAAUAUUAUACACACUACGCACAAGUUCGAGAAGUUAUCCUCAUCAACACAAUAAUGUUUACACUCUCGAUAGCAAUCCUCGAGAGUAGGUCGGCUAAACCACAUGCCAUAAAGUUCUGAAGCAUUUCUGUCACUGGCUACGGAGAUGUCGCCAUCAUCUACCUCCCUUUAACAUUGUACAGGCUAUGCUAGUCGGUGAGCAGUGUGUGUUGCGAGAGAUCCGGAGAAGGAGAUAUCUUGUCAACAGACCUAACGGAAAAGCAUUAAGCAUGUAUUUCCAGCGACACAUGAUCGAGUGAUUCGCUCUCAACAGUCAGCAUCUCCCCCCGAAUGAUUUUCGUACAGCCCAGGUUACAAAAGACGAUUAUUGCACGAACAAGAGGAGGACGUCACGUAUAGACCUGAUUCAAGACGGGGAGGAAUUUAUAAAAGACAUGUGUUCUCUUCGGUCUUACUAAACACCGAUAUCAUAACGACGGUAUUGGUACGAAUAAACAUCAAUCGCUUUGGAAGUGCGCAGAACGUAUGAGACGAGGAGAAGUAACACUGAGGUCCAUCCCAACAGCUCCCCUACCCAAAUAAAUUCGAACUCAUUAGAUGGUGCCAAUUCUACCCCCACCUGAGGCCGUAUCGUUUAGUUCACCUUACAGGCUUCGCCCACGGAGGUAGUGCACUACCCAUCGGCACUCACAAGCUCCCUGCCACUCUCAUGCCGGUUUCUAACCUACCGGCUUUCCCCGUCAACACACCCGAACCCCGGCACUCGCGCACCCCUGUGUCAGAUCACUUAAGCUAUCGCAACGAGAGUGUAUGAACGCCAUUGAAAUAUAGGACGAAUUGUACUCUGAAUAAACGUAUUCAAGUGUCGUGCAGCCAGCUCUCAGCAAACACCGGUUAAAGGGAACGAAGAGAGCCGUUGCACUCACUACUGGUUCUCUCCUAUCUGUCGGACUUAAGUACCGUAUCUGAGGCACUAAUAUUGACGCCAACCUCUGCAACAUAAUGAAGACAAGAUCACGAGUACUUUGACUCGGACCGCACGCGUAGUUCAUGCAGAGCCAGAUGAUCACACCCUUUAUCACCACACUUGUGGAAAACACUUACCUCUAUCCUUCAUCACUGAUACUAGACAUUGAGGAUGUAUAACGCGAGUAGUCACCGGUCCUGAAUCCAGUCAUGUAAAACGUUCAGCAGAGUGGGCACGAGAGGUGUCCCCCAUAGAGACACUGAUCAAUUUGACCCUGUCUCUUGGAGACCCUUGAGCGCUAAGCAUACGGUUUUAGCCUUUCCACGACCUGUGUCGUGAGUCGUAGCCCUUAGUCCUUCAACCUCGUGUUGAAUAGGUAUCAUAUGCCUAGGACCUUGGCGUAUGAGUCUGUCGCAGAAACCUGCAAACAAGUCAAAACAAUACAAGCAUAAACACGUACUAGAGUUCCGCUGAUAUCCAUAGUGCUUUCAGAAUCUCGGGGCGAUAACCCUUGUUCAAACGUCGAGCACAUUUAUCGAAAUAUCCUCCCAAGUACCUCCAGGUAUAUAGUUAGUGUAAUAUAAUACUCGCUUGCGCGCGUUUGUGAAUCUUUGUCAGCAUACUCAGUAAACAGAUGCGAUUGCCCUGCUUCGAGGAUCAAUUCGCAAAGAACUUAUAAUAUACCCUUUCUUUCCUCUAACAGUCCUCUGAAGGUACUCCAGGAACCUCUCUGACACAUGCCCUCAAGAGUCUUCUAUGCAUUUCUACCAGAAGCAUUCCAACUCCGUGCGGGUAGCAACCCACCAUAUCAUUCGCUUCCUCUGACAGUCGAUUAUGCGUACCUUUAACCUGAUCCUCUGGGUUAUCGCACACUCAAUCAACUCGCAAUGUAUCACUCAGAUCUCCACGUCACCAAUUUUCUGAGCGCCAAUCCGGAUCGUAUGCACCGGGUAAACAUUGAGGAUUGUUCUUCUGGAAACUCAAUCUCAGUUUGACGACACUCCCAUCCCACAACAUUCCGGAUUCCCUCCAAGUACUCCAUCUAGGACAGAGUACCUGUAACAAGACUCAGCAAUUGCACACACCAGCGAGCUUCAUCAAAUACAGCCAUAAUUUAUCUUCCAGUACAUUCUUAUAUGUUACACUAAAUGAUUACUGAAAACCCUAAUUACAAUGCAAUAAACAUAAUUCUAACAUCAAGUUUGACGUGGAUAAUUAGGGAUUUAAUUGACGAAUCACACCUUUAUCUCGUUAUUUAAUAACAUUAGAGAUACAUAUGGAAUUAAUUACAAAUAACUUUCAGAACAGUUGUGCGAUAUCUCUUAGAGAAAAGGUUCUACUCAUAUUGAUGAUUAGUAACACGAGGUAGCUGUGCGAUAAAAAUCUACUAAUGGUAUCCACCCCUAUCUCUCUACAACACACUACCACUAAAUAGUGUAUUCCUGUCAGCAUUGUAAAAAUAAAAAGAAGGGAGACAUGGACAACCAUACAGGUGAGGUAAAGGAUAACAUGCAAAUGCUAAGGGGUGGUCUAACCAGUAAUUCGAAGGCACACACAAAAUCAAAGCAUUAACGUCAUGCUCAUGUAUAGUAAACCUCAAAACCGGGAAAACAUUGUGUCAGAUUACUAUAAAGGAGAGCGAGAGAUGGGAGUACAAACUAACAACAGUCACAUUAACCGAAAACUCCAGAGAUUAAUACUUAGGCACUCUGGUAAAAGUUAGACUGUUCAGUGCAAUACAUACACAGAGAUGGAGAAAGCGAUAGUAAACUUACAAUUCCAUCCGUUGAAUUGGUAUGUAUGGGAUUAACAUAAUGUAAUUGCGGUAGUGAUAACACCCACAGAAACCCACCUAAACUCGGGAUCUACUUGACGAACUAGAUCUUGCUGAAAAUUCCGUGAGGAGAGAACUUCUUGCUGUAAUGUAAUCGCACCAACCCAGAUUAACUACUAAUUGAAGGAAAUUUCGUAGAAUCUAGAUGCACUGAAGUGUUCACUGGCUCUUACCUGAAAUAUUGUAGAGAAUUGAUAUAAGUAGAUUAUGGUAAUAUGGGGUGAGUUCCUCAAAUCUAAGUUGAUAUAUUAGAGUAAGUACUAUGUAGUAAAAAUGAAUAAAAUGGUCAAUGUGACUUGAAAUUUAACACUCAAUUAAAAUCACCUGUAAAGCAGAUCACCCACCUAGUGUCGGUAAGCGAGAGGUGUGUACGGUCAGACGAAUACUGAGGAUAUUCAUUCGAAAGCUCAACGAGCCAAAUGCAGAAGAUAAGCCAUUAUGCAAUACUCAACCACAUAUCGAAUCACAAACACCAGCAGUGAUAUAGUGUGAUUGGAAUAACAAUCCAUAAUCUUCAUUACUGGUUAUUCAUGGUCAUCGCAAACACAUGAUUAUGCAAUACGAGACUGCACGGUCAAUGCAUGGCACUGGUAUCGGCCCAGUAAGCGGUAACUAGUAGAUUAGUGCUGUGUAACACAGUCGAAUAUGGCACGUAGACAGUCUACCGCGCCUAUCGGAUGAGGAAGUGAUGUUUUGAACUCACCAGUAGUUUUGUCUCUGUUGGUACGCCCUGUAAGAGGAUGCGCAGUGGGUCACGCGGCUAGCAAGACAGCCCACUAUCUCCACUCACUAUAUAUGAGGAACAGCUAUGCACGCUAAAGAGGUGGUAGACACGUGUAUGGGAUCUGCGACCUGAUCAGCAAAAAAAUUCCUAAAAAAAAACACAUGGGCACCAUGGGCCAUAUAACACGUUAUGCUAGGGACUACCGAGCCCCAAAAGGAGCGAUGACUGAUGGGCACGCUUCAGGAUUGAAGUUGAUUCCACCUAAGCAUGCAAUAAUAACAUCAUCACUUACAGUUCCAAAUGACUACUCACUAAGAAGUACUCCUGUUCACCAUGUGGAAUUUGUGCAGUUUUUACGCUUUUCACGUUGAGUACCACAUAUAAAGCGCCGACUCAAUUCAUGCAAUUGGCUAAGUACAACUCUAGCGAUAUUGGAUACUUAAUUACGGACAGAUCAUCAAUCACACCCCCGAAUUGUUUUUUGAGUAGAUAAUAGGUGCCAGUAGAAAGUGUGCGCUAAUCGACCUGGUGGGUUGUUAUUACUUCAUGUAUAUGAUAGGAUGCUAUGGUGAUCAGCCAAAAAACAGUACCAAAUUCACGCUAGCCUGCAUGAUUAAAGUGGUGGAUCGAUAAUGACAACAUCAGUAAUGCGCGUAGAUAUACGAUAUCAGAUAUCAUCGUGCAUUUGUGAAAAGACUGUUUUGAGUGCGACUUAAGAGUGCGAGCCAUAUCACACAUCAGAUUCCUACAUUCGUUAUGAUAUUUGUUUAGUUCGAUGACAUGUAAGGGCCAUAUGCUAAGGUGUACUUAGACACAUCAUGCAAAUAUUAGUGGCGUUCCAAUAUGAUAGGAUGGCUAGACCACUAAAGUUCCCAAGUGUUAGGCACGAUCUCUAGCUAUGAGAAUUAGCUGAGUUAGUCACUAUAUCGACUCAUGGCACUAGAUCGAUAUGAUGGGUUGUAGACUAUGCUAGGCCUGAACUAUAGCAUGUGACAUAGGCAUAUGCGCCCCUUGGAGGGUGUGUAGCUAAUUCCUACGCCAACUGGUGACAGCUGGAAAAGUUUAGAUACGUGAUACUCGAGGCACACUCAGGAACAGUCCUCCUAAAAAAUAGCAUGUGGAGAGCAAUACUGAGACUUAGGGUAGCUCAGGGAAGCCUAAGAUUCUACAAUGCCCUGGCUCGAGUAACGUCGAUUGAACUACAUCUUUAGUCAACAAAUAUCGUGCACCGCAUGCAUGGAGUCUCAUUGCAAAUAUGUGUAUGGCGUAUAAUAUGAAUGGAUGUUUCCAAUAUUAUACGUGUGUUUUUCGUGUUGCAUAGUCUGAGUAUUAGAGCAUGAAUUGUAUGGGUAUUGAGAAUGAUAUUCGAACAUUGACGUACCGUACCGAAUGUGUGAUGGGAUUAGGGUGAUUAAUGUGUUAACUUACUUCAUGACAUGAAAUUUUAAUAAUGCUCAUUAUAUUGAUGGAGGAACUCACCCUUACAACUAUUUUUCAGGGUAACGAAGGCAUGAUGUAGUAAGAACUAGUCCUUGGAGUCUAGUGUAGUUCCUUAGUGGUGUCAUGCUCUGGUGUAGAUGUAACAUCGGGAUGGGAUAUGUUUUAAACUCUAUGUUUUCAUUUGGUUUGUUGAACAACUUUACAUGAUAAGUUAUUACGUGGUUUGAAUGUUGUUAGUUUGUAUCCACUGCGUAUUAUGCAAAUGUUUUCGCCUUUGAGUAAAUAAAUGAGCAUGACACGUUAUAUUGUUGAAUGUGUGAAUAGUGUGUGACACCCUUAAAUUGCAUAUUUACUCUGAUUGACAUAUUGUUAUUUUUUUAUAUUAAAUAUUUGGGUAUUUUUGAAGGGUGUUACAGGGUCUGCAACAAUUGGGUCGCUGUGGAUAUUCCUAUACAGUUAUCCACAGUACAAGCGUAAUGAUCACUUUGUUAAAACCCUUGCUCCGAUGCAAUAGGAGACAGUGAAUGAAAUUGUUAUGCCAAAUACCAACAUAUGGAUAUUUCAUACAUAAAUUCAUGUUAAAUGUUUUGUUUUCCAAUUAUUUCCCUUUUCGUUUUGCAUGAAAUUGGUGAUCACAUAAAACCCUAAAAAAUAGAAAUAAAUCAAUCUUUUCACUCGCAUAAUGAUUUGCCUUAUUUGAUUCUUAAAAGUUUUCAUAUCCAAAAUUUUAUGCAGGUUGAUCAAACCCUAGAUGAACAUAAUGAUCACACCAUCUCCCAAUUUGUAAUUCCCUAGUAUUCAAGGCAGAGGAAGACCGAUGUUGAAGAGAUUCCUGACGAGAUUACCCGUCUACUUGAGCAUGAAGAGAAGAUCAUUCAGCCGCAUCCUGAGAACCUGGAAAGUCCACUUGGGGUCUGAAGAUUGUGUGUAAGAAGUGAAGAUUGGGGCGGCACUCCUGGAAGAAUCUAUUAAGAAGGGUUGAUUGAAUUGCUACGAGAAUCUGUCGAUUCUUUUGCUUUUGUCGUAUAAGACAUGCCGGGUCUAGAAACUGAUAUCGUGCAACAUUUCCCACCCUGAAACCUGAGUGCGUGCCUGUGAAGCAGAAGCUCGGAAGAACUCAUCCUGAUAUGGCAUGAAGAUCAAAAGAGGAAGUCAGAAGCAAAUUGAUGCGGGGUUUCUGGUGACUUCUACUUACCCUCAAUGGGUGGCCAAUAUUGUGCCCGUGCCUAAGAAAGACGAAGGUCCGGAUGUGUGUGGAUUAUAGAGACUUGAAUAAAGCUAGUCCGAAAGAUGAUUUUCCUCUACCACACAUUGAUAUGUUGGUAGAUAAUACAGCUAAAUUCAAUGUCUUCUCAUUAUAGAUGGAUUUUCCAGUAUAAUCAGAUUAAAGAUGGCACCCGAGGAUAUGGAGAAGACAACAUCAUCACCCCUUGGGAAACAUUCUGUUAUCGAGUGAUGGCCCUUCGGUUUGAGAACGUCGAGCCACGUAUCAACGAGCUAUGACCACCUUGUUUCAUGGUUGAUGCCAAGGAGAUGAGGUAUAUUGUUGACGAGUUGAUUUCUAAGUCGAGAACGGAAGUUUGAACAGUGUAGAGCACUUGCUGAAGUCUUUUUUCGACGUAUGAGAAAAUACACGCUUUGUCUGAAUCCCAACAAGUGUACAUUUGGAGUCUCUGUCCGAGUAUAGUUAUUAGCUUUAUCGGUAGUGAAAGAGGUAUUGAGGUUGAUCCUCAAAAGGUCAAAGCAUAAUACAGAGAUGCCUGGCCGCCAAAACUGAGAAGCAAGUCUGAGGUUUCUUACGUUUGAAUUCAUAUUUCCAUAUUCAAUAUCCACAUGACGGCCACAUGUGCACCGAUAUUCAAGCUCCUCCAGAAAGACCAGUCCAUGAUUGGACCGAGAGAUUUCCAGAAAGCUUUCGUAGUAUCAAACGAGUACCUGUCUGAACCUCGCGAUCCGUCCUGCCGCCUGUAGAGACGGAAGACCUUGAAUCGAUAUGCUGAUGUUCUGAGAUUAAUGGGGUUUGUCCUGGUUAGCAAGAUAAUCAGGGAAGAGGAGUUAUGCUAUAUACUACCCUGAGCAAGAAGUUCUACUGAUUGUGAGUCUCCCGAUACUCGAUGCUUGAGAAGACCAUGUUGCUUUAGCUGGGCUUGUGCUAAGCGCUUGCGCUAGUAUAUGAUAAAUCAUACAACUGGGUUGAUAUCCAGAAUGGAUCCAUUCAAGUACAUUCUUCGAGAAGCCUGCUUUAACAGGAAGAUUACCCGUUGGCAGAUGUUGUUCCUGAACUAUGAAUUGAGUAUCGGCUCAGGAAAUUAAGUUAUAAAGGUAAAGUAUCUUGCUGGACCACUUGCACACCAGUCUAGAAGAUUCGUACAGUCAUUAUGUUUCCCCGUAAUGAUUAUCCCAGAGAAGAGUAUUGAUUCGUUAGUAUUAUGCAAAUGUUUUCCUUUGAGUAAAUAAAUGAGCAUGACAGUUAUAUUGUUGAAUGGUGUGAAAUAUUGUGUGACACCCUUAAAUUGCAUAUUUACUCUGAUUGACAUAUUGUUAUUUUUUUUUAUAUUAAAUAUUUGGGGUAUUUUAGAAGGGUGUUACAGGGUCUGCAACAAUUGGGUCGCUGUGGAUAUUCCUACAGUUAUCCACAAGUCAACGUAAUGAUCACUUUGUUAAAAAACCCUUCUCCCAUGCCAAAAGGAGAAGUGAUGACAUUGUUGGCAACAUAAAAACAAUGAUAUUUUCAUUCAAUAAAUUCAUGUUAAAUGUUUGUUUUUCCAAUUAUUUUCCCUUUUCGUUUUUGCAUGAAAUUGGUGAUCACAUAAAACCCUAAAAAAUAGAAUAAAAUCAAUCUUUUCAUCUGCAUAAUGAUUUGCCUUAUUUGAUUUCUAAAAGGUUUUCAUAUCCAAAAUUAUUAUGCAGGUUGAUCAAACCCAGUGAACAUAAUGAUCCAACACCAUCUCCCAAUUUUGAAUUCCCUGUAUUCAAGGCAGAGGAAGACGAUGUUGAAGAGAUUCCUGACGAGAUUACCCGUCUACUUGAGCAUGAAGAGAAGAUCAUUCAGCCGCAUCCUGAGAACCUGGAAACAGUCAACUUGGGGUCUGAAGAUUGUGUGUAAGAAGUGAAGAUUGGGGCACUCCUGGAAGAAUCUAUUAAGAAGGGGUUGAUUGAAUUGCUACGAGAAUAUGUCGAUGUCUUUGCUUAGUCGUAUGAAGACAUGCCGGGUCUAGAUACUGAUAUCGUGCAACAUUUCCUACCCUUGAAACCUGAGUGCGUGCCUGUGAAGCAGAAGCUCAGAAGAACUCAUCCUGAUAUGGCAAUGAAGAUCAAAGAGGAAGUUCAGAAGCAAAUUGAUGCGGGGUUUCUGGUUCUACAUAUCUCAAUGGUGGCCAAUAUUGUGCCCGUGCCAAGAAAGACGGAAGGCCGGAUGUGUGUGGAUUAUAGAGACUUGAAUAAAGCAGUCCGAAAGAUAUUUUUCCUCUACCACACAUUGAUAUGUUGGUAGAUAAUACAGCUAAAUUCAAUGUCUUCUCAUUUAUGGAUGGAUUUUCCAGAUAUAAUCAGAUUAAGAUGGCACCGAGGAUAUGGAGAAGAACAUUCAUCACACCUUGGGGAACAUUCUGUUAUCGAGUGAUGCCCUUCGGUUUGAAGAACGUCGGAGCCACGUAUCAACGAGCUAUGACCACCUUGUUUCAUGAUGUGAUGCACAAGGAGAUUGAGGUAUAUGUUGAUGAUAUGAUUUCUAAGUCGAGAACGGAAGUUGAACAUGUAGAGCACUUGCUGAAGCUUUUUCAGCGUAUGAGAAAAUACAAGCUUUGUCUGAAUCCCAACAAGUGUACAUUUGGAGUCUGUUCCGGCAAGUUAUUAGGCUUUAUCGUUAGUGAAAGAGGUAUUGAGGUUGAUCCUGCAAAGGUCAAAGCAAUACAAGAGAUGCCUGCGCCCAAAACUGAGAAGCAAGUCUGAGGUUUUCUUGGUCGUUUGAAUUAUAUUUCCAUAUUCAUAUCCCACAUGACUGCCACAUGUGCACCGAUAUUCAAGCUCCUCCAGAAAGACCAGUCCCAUGAUUGGACCGAGGAUUUCCAGAAAGCUUUCGAUAGUAUCAAAGAGUACCUGUCUGAACCUCCGAUCCUGUCUCCGCCUGUAGACGGAAGACCUUUGAUCAUGUAUCUGACUGUUCUUGAAGAUUCAAUGGGUUGUGUCCUUGGUUAGCAAGAUGAAUCAGGGAAGAAGGAGUAUGCUAUUUACUACCUGAGCAAGAAGUUCACUGAUUGUGAGUCUCGAUACUCGAUGCUUGAGAAGACAUGUUGUGCUUUAGCUUGGGCUGCUAAGCGCUUGCGCUAGUAUAUGAUAAAUCAUACAACUUGGUUGAUAUCCAGAAUGGAUCCAAUCAAGUACAUCUUCGAGAAGCCUGCUUUAACAGGAAGGAUUACCCGUUGGCAGAUGUUGUUAUCUGAGUAUGAUAUUGAGUAUCGAGCUCAGAAAGUUAUUAAAGGUAGUAUCUUGGCUGACCACUUGGCACACCAGCCUAUUGAAGAUUAUCAGUCAGUUCAGUAUGAUUUCCCAGAUGAAGAGAUUUUGUAUUUGAAAAUGAAAGAUUGCGAUGAGCCUAUACUCGAUGAAGGGCCAGAGCCUGGUUCCAGAUGGAGUAUGGUGUUUGAUGGCGCUGUAAAUCAGUAUGGAAAUGGUAUUGGGGUAGUGAUUAUUACUCCUCAGGGCACACAUAUUCCUUUUACAGCAAAUGGCGCUGUAAAUCAGUAUGGAAAUGGUAUUGGGGUAGUGAUUAUUACUCCUCAGGGCACACAUAUUCCUUUUACAGCAAGGCUAACUUUCAAAUGCACGAAUAAUAUGGCUGAGUAUGAGGCAUGCAUUAUGGGAUUGGAGGAGUGUAUUGAUCUAAGGGUCAAGCACCUUGAUGUUUAUGGUGAUUCGGCCCUCGUUUUCAAUCAGAUUAAGGGCGAAUGGGAGACGAAUCAACCUGGUCUUAUUCCAUAUAGGGAUUAUGCGAGGAGGAUUUCAACAUUCUUUACUGAGGUUGACUUCCAUCAUAUUCCUAGAGAUGAGAAUCGGAUGGCAGCUGCUCUUGCUACGCUCACUUCGAUGAUUGUGGUAAAGUUGUGGAAUGAAGUUCCCAAUAUCACGGUGAUGCGCUUGGACAGACCAGCUCAUGUAUUUGCAGUAGAAGAAGUAAAAGACGAUAAGCCAUGGUAUUAUGAUAUCAAGUGUUUCCUUCAGAACCAGGUUUACCCGCCUGGGGCAUCCGUGAAAGAUAGGAAGACCUUGAGGAGAUUAUCAGGCAGUUUCUACCUCAAUGGCGAAGUGCUUUAUAAUAGAAAUUUUGACAUGGUUCUGCUCAGAUGCGUGGAUAGACACGAAGCAGACCUGUUGAUGGCUGAAGUCCAUGAGGGUUCAUUUGGUACUCAUUCCAAUGGACAUGCCAUGGCUAGAAAGAUGUUGAGAGCAGGCUACUAUUGGCUGACAAUGGAGUCUGACUGCUGCAAAUAUGUAAAGAAAUGCCAUAAGUAUUCAUUUGGUACUCAUUCCAAUGGACAUGCCAUGGCUAGAAAGAUGUUGAGAGCAGGCUACUAUUGGCUGACAAUGGAGUCUGACUGCUGCAAAUAUGUAAAGAAAUGCCAUAAGUGUCAGAUUUACGCGGAUAAAAUCCAUAUUCCUCCGACACUUCUGAAUGUGAUUUCAUCACCAUGGCCUUUCUCCAUGUGGGGAAUUGACAUGAUUGGCAUGAUAGAGCCGAAAGCGUCCAAUGGGCACAGAUUUAUUCUCGUAGCUAUCGAUUACUUCACCAAGUGGGUUGAAGCGGCAUCAUAUGCGAAUGUGACCAGGCAAGUGGUCGUGAAGUUUAUCAAGAAUCAACUCAUAUGUCGCUAUGGUGUGCCUGAUAAGAUCAUUACUGAUAAUGGAUCUAACUUGAACAACAAAAUGAUGAAAGAGUUGUGUGGUGAGUUCAAGAUCGCGCAUCAUAAUUCUUCUCCUUAUAGACCCAAGAUGAAUGGGGCUGUUGAAGCUGCUAACAAGAAUAUCAAGAAGAUUAUCCAGAAGAUGGUUGUUAUGUACAAAGAUUGACAUGAGAUGCUGUCAUUCGCUUUGCAUGGAUAUUGUACGUCUGUCCGCACUUCAACAGGGGCAACCCCUUUCUCUCUUGUUUAUGGCAUGGAAGUUGUACUCCCAGUAGAGGUGGAGAUCCCAUCAAUGAGAGUCUUGAUGGAAGCCAAGUUGACUGAUGCUGAAUGGAGUCGUUAUGACCGAGCUUGAAUGUGACUACGAAAGAGAAGAGACUGCACCGCAUGUGCCGAUUGUCAGUUUGUAUCAGCAGGAGAAUGAAGAAAUCUUUUGAUAAAGGUCAAGCCUCAUGUGUUCCGAGAGGGCGACCUGGUUGCUCAGAAAAUUCUUGUCUUUCGCGCUGAUUCUAGGGAUGAAGGUCCAUAUGUUGUUAAGAGAGCCUUUUCAGGCGGUGCUUUGAUACUUACAACUAUGGAUGGGGAGGAUUUCACUCGUCCUGUAAAUUCAGAUGCAGUCAAGAAAUACUUCGCCUAAAAAUAAAAACAGAAUAUCUCGCUGAGUUGAAAACCCGAAAGGGCGGCUUUGGCAAAAAUGAGCGUCUUGGUGGAUUGAAAACCCGAAAGGGCGGUCCAGGCAAAAGUUAGAGACAUGGAAAAAAUGAAUAUCUGUACCCCGCUAGAUUGAGCACCUCAUCCUGGGGCAAUCUAGGCAAAAAUUAGGGAUUUGGCAAGUAACUGCAUCCUGACAAGACUUUGUUCUAUAUUGUCAUCCGUCAGAGAUUCUUGUUCAUUCGUCAUCAACCAAAGCUUCGAAUACAUCGAAUUCAAAAUUAGUGGAGAAAUGGUCAUUAUGUUCAAUGUAGCCUUUCGCCAAUAUAUAUCACCAAUCUCAAACUUGUAAAGAUCUAUGGAGUCUUGCCAUUUGCAGACUAUCAUCCCAUCAAAUAAAUUCGAGCCUUUAUCCAAUUAUUUGCACUCUUAGUUGUUUCUAUUUUCAACAAAUGUUUUGCAUGUUUUAAUUGAGAAAGUAUCAUUGUUUUGAAGAAGUAAAUUUUAUAUAAUUUGUUUUAAACAAAGUGAACAUUCACAAUGAUGAAAAGGAUACCUAGGAGAUCCUCAGUGCUCUCCCAAGGGUGGUAUGAUUCCCCAACAGGGUAAGACAUUUGUUCAUAUUCCUGACAUAACUGUAUCUUCUUCCUCCGGAGCCCCUUUUUAUGGUUUAUCCUACUGAAUGGUAUGCUUGUUGAGAUGUUCACCAUUCUCCCCUUCAGCGGAAUAGCGAUCUUUCCUCCUCGGCGGAUGUGAUCUCUUUGGUGGGCAUGGUACCUGGCGUUUGAUGCCCAUAUUCCCCUUAUCUCCCUCGGAUGGAUUCCCCAGUAGAGUUGUUUAUGCGGCAGAUUCUACCUGUACAAUGAACUCUUUUCCCCAGCUAUGACUGAUGAUUCAUCCCUUGCAGAGAUUUUUCCCUGAUAUCUCUGAUCCCCGGCAGAUUGGGUACUCUCCAUUGGAAUUUUGGGCUUUCUCUCUUGAUAUGUAGUACCGGACGGUGUGACACCUCAAAAUUUGCCCUCCUCUCUUGGGACUAGCUUAACAUAUUGCAUUGCAUUUUUUAGGUCAUUAGGCAUUCCAUAUUGCAUAUCAUGUGGUUACAUUGUGCAAAUCAUCCUCCAAGUCUUGGUCAGAAGAUAAGAGGUUGAGAUUCAAGCCUGAGGGUUUUCAUUGAUUGGACUGAUCACUAGCCAUCUGAGGGUGGUGGUACAAAUUAGGGUUUCUUGGUUCUCAAGGAGAUUGAUCUUCAUCUUGGUUGAAAUGAUACAUCAUCAUCAUCAUGGUUUUGUUAUCAUCCAAGAGAUUCAAGAGAUUGAUCAGAUACCUUGAGAUUAGGGUUUUGACCUUUGGUCAACCCUAAUCAUCUGCAUUGGGCCAAUCAGGGCUUGGCAAGGAGAUGGGGUCUACAAUGGAUAUGAGGAUCAUUUCCUGAUUAUUUUGAGCUUAUGGAAGCUAGGGUUUCAUCAUUGAGCCAUUUCAUCAGGAGUUUGAGGCUCAACUUGAUCAGUGCAUAGCCAAUUCAUCUAUUAGUCAGAAAAGUCAAUUGUGGUCAACUGAGCUUGAAUUGAUGGAUUUGGAGGUGGGAGAGGGCAAGAGACACUUCUUUCAUGUUUAAACAAGUUUCAUUUGACAUUUCAAACAUCAAGAAUGAAGAAAAUAAAGUCAGAUGAAAAGUUUUCAAAAAUAGCAGGUGACCUGUAAUUGGAAACUGCCAAAAAUGGAAAGUUUUUCACCUCAAAAUUACAUGUCCAAAAAUGCUUCAAAUGAAAUUUUGUCCAACAUGAAAGUUGUAGAUCUUGCUCUCACCUUUCCAAAAAGUCCAAGAACAUGAAUUUCUCAUGUGUGGUUGGCAAGUUAUGAUCAAAUCAUUUUCCAAAAAUGUUGAUUUUCAAAGUGGCAUAACUUUUGAAUGGAAUGGCCAAAUUGGGUGAUCUUUCUUUGAGCAAACCACAUUUUACAUGAACUUUCAUGAUGCAUCAUCACAUUUCAUCAAAAAUCAUCAUAGCAAAAUGGCAUUUUUCAAGUGGACUAAUUUGAGAAUUGGUGGGAAAAAAGGUGAUUUUGUGAAAUACAUGGCUUUUGCAUACCAAACCAAUUUCAACACAUUCCAAAUGACAAAUAUGACUUGUUUGAACUGGUGUUUACUGUUGCAUUGACUGAUUUUUGCAAAAGGCCAUUUUGGACAUUUAUGCAUAAAACUCACUUUGCUAAUUUCACUUGGAUUUGCUAAUUGUGAUUAGCACUUGGAUUAGUAUGUGGUAUAAAACAUUAAUCAUAACAGAAAAUGCAUAAUCACAAUUCAUUUUUCAGAUCUAACAAACUUUCCCUCCAAAAACCUCUCCAUUUUCUUCAAGCUUUUUCCAACUUUUUUCAUCAUUUCUCAUUGAAUUCAUCAUCAAUUGUGCUCAUUCUUGUUGGAUCUAUCCUCUACAAGUGUUGGUGAAGGACUGUUUCAACAAAAUCGUGGCAAAAGAGUGAAGAAUUGGAACUGUCAACAUCUUGAUCAUCCAUGGCAUUUUCAUAAUUCUUGGAUCUGAAGCACAAUUGAGCUGAGCUACUCAUUCCAUUCAACUUCCACAGCAUUAAUCUUCAUUUGUUUUUGCAUUUUGGAUUUGGAAACACAAGAAUCGAGCACUGCCAUCAUCAUAAGGUAAAAAUUCGAUCUCAACCAUUGCUUGAAUUGUGAUGUGGUUUGUGUAGGUCUAAGUUCAUAGAGUAGCAUGUAGCUUGUGGAAUUGAAAAUCAUUGAGAAUCGAGUGAGAUAUCUUAAAUUGAAGUUUGGAUGUGAAACCUAAUUUCGUUCGAUUCGUGAAGCAUGUUUAGAGUUAGGUCAAAUGCUUGCCAUAUUUGUGAUGUAUGUUGAACACCGGUCAUUUUGGUAUAUGUCACGAUGGAUUUGGUUGAGAUGUGUUCUUGAUGAUUUUUCUGGAAAUUCUGGUGAUGAAUGCUUCAAGAACGCGCUUGGAGAUGUGUUUGAUCCGUUUGCCUGAGUUUCAUUUUGAAUUUUCUGUUUACCGCGCCUUAGAACCAAUCACAUGCUGACACUCCAUUAAUGAAAACGGCGNAUCCUCUACAAGUGUUGGUGAAGGACUGUUUCAACAAAAUCGUGGCAAAAGAGUGAAGAAUUGGAACUGUCAACAUCUUGAUCAUCCAUGGCAUUUUCAUAAUUCUUGGAUCUGAAGCACAAUUGAGCUGAGCUACUCAUUCCAUUCAACUUCCACAGCAUUAAUCUUCAUUUGUUUUUGCAUUUUGGAUUUGGAAACACAAGAAUCGAGCACUGCCAUCAUCAUAAGGUAAAAAUUCGAUCUCAACCAUUGCUUGAAUUGUGAUGUGGUUUGUGUAGGUCUAAGUUCAUAGAGUAGCAUGUAGCUUGUGGAAUUGAAAAUCAUUGAGAAUCGAGUGAGAUAUCUUAAAUUGAAGUUUGGAUGUGAAACCUAAUUUCGUUCGAUUCGUGAAGCAUGUUUAGAGUUAGGUCAAAUGCUUGCCAUAUUUGUGAUGUAUGUUGAACACCGGUCAUUUUGGUAUAUGUCACGAUGGAUUUGGUUGAGAUGUGUUCUUGAUGAUUUUUCUGGAAAUUCUGGUGAUGAAUGCUUCAAGAACGCGCUUGGAGAUGUGUUUGAUCCGUUUGCCUGAGUUUCAUUUUGAAUUUUCUGUUUACCGCGCCUUAGAACCAAUCACAUGCUGACACUCCAUUAAUGAAAACGGCGCGUUUUGGUUUCGUUGCUCAGAAUUACAAAAAUGCCAUUAUUUCAUUUCAUUUCAUUUUCUUUUUCAUUUUUCAUUUCAUUUUGAUCAAUGAUCUUCAAAAAUUCAUAAGUUCUUCAUUUCUUGUCCAAAUUUGAUGAGACUUUUUGCAUUAUUCUCCUUGUGAUGUGUAGUUUUUUAUGGUGAAUUUUAAUAUUUUUGUGCACGUGUGGAAAAAUAAAUUGCCUAGGGAUUGUUUGAAUGUGACAUUUGUGCACCAUGCAUGCCAUUUUGCUUGUAAAGUAGUGAUGCUUCCAUAGAAAUGUUUGAAAUUUUACAUGCAUAUUCUUGACUCUUUUCUGGUGAUUUUGAUAUGUGGUUUGCAAUUUUUGGAUCCCUGGUUGAUGAGAUAUGAAUUUUUGAAUAGAGGUGUGACAAUUUGUGUCACACCAUGCUUGGUGCAUCUUCAUGAUUUUAUUUGCCAUGCUUGUGGACCUUGGAUUGAGCUAAAGUUUUGCAUGAUUGAGCAUAUGGAUGUUGAGAAUACAUGUGAAUUUUUCUGGAUUUAUUGAUGGCAUUUCCUAUUUGAUUGGAAUUUUCUCCCCUGUUUGGUCAUUUGUUGAUUUUUUUUGUGACACAUGUUUGCAUUUGAUUUGUGAAAUUCUGGUUAUUAAUUGGAUGGAUGUGAAAUUUGACAUGUGAAUUCUAGACACAUUAUAGAACAUUUUGGUUUUGGUCUCAUUCAUUUAUCAUGUUUUGUCACGGUUUUAUGAUUGGUGGAAGUUGAUGCUUGUUUUGAUGCCUUAUGUUGUCUUGAUUGAAUUUGUGUUGACUUUCUGAAUUUAAUUUCCCUACUUCCUCUUGUCCAAAUAGCAUGAAAUUUGAUAUAAUGCUCAUUGAAUGUGUUCUGUUUAGACUUGAAUUUUUAUGGAAUUUAUUGAGCUGUUUUGGUAUUGAUUUGCUUGUGAUCAUUCUGUUUACAUCAAUGUGUUUCCAUCUUGCCUAGUUUGACAUGUUUUAUUCAUGAAAUGGAUUUGGUGUAUAGUUUUGAUAUGAGACCAAUUGGAUUCUCUUUUGAUUGAUUUAUCUUGGUUUUGAUCAAUUUUCACUUGCUGUUUUGGAUUUUUUACCUCCUUUUGACCCUACGCUUGGCCUAGUGGUCUUGUUUCUCAUAUUUGAGUUUGCUUUUCAGGUUAAGAAGCAAAUGCUUUAAGGAGAUUAAUGCAAGUUGAUUGAGUUUGGGUGCUUAUUGUGAACUAACUUGUUUGUUUUGUAGGGUGCCUAGCUCACUUGCUUUGGACUUGUGCUUUGCACAUGUGAUUGAUUGUGCUGUCUGUUGGCUUUUAUGCUGUUUGUUUUGACUUUGUGAUUGGUAUACUGAUUGUAUUUGAUUGAUUUCAGGCACAUUAGUUGCUAAUAUUGCUUUGCUUUGCUUGAUAAGCAAUUUGCACUGAGGUAUAACAUUCUUGUCUCCAUGUAGUCUGGAAGACCUGGCCUGUUACUUGGCCAGGCACCUGUCUGAAGUCCUCCUUAAGAGGCGAUGUUUGUGCUUGCUUAUUUUUGUCCCCAAGCAGGAAAAGUCCUUGAUUAAGGCANNNNNNNNNNNNNNNNNNNNNNNNNNNNNNNNNNNNNNNNNNNNNNNNNNNNNNNNNNNNNNNNNNNNNNNNNNNNNNNNNNNNNNNNNNNNNNNNNNNNNNNNNNNNNNNNNNNNNNNNNNNNNNNNNNNNNNNNNNNNNNNNNNNNNNNNNNNNNNNNNNNNNNNNNNNNNNNNNNNNNNNNNNNNNNNNNNNNNNNNNNNNNNNNNNNNNNNNNNNNNNNNNNNNNNNNNNNNNNNNNNNNNNNNNNNNNNNNNNNNNNNNNNNNNNNNNNNNNNNNNNNNNNNNNNNNNNNNNNNNNNNNNNNNNNNNNNNNNNNNNNNNNNNNNNNNNNNNNNNNNNNNNNNNNNNNNNNNNNNNNNNNNNNNNNNNNNNNNNNNNNNNNNNNNNNNNNNNNNNNNNNNNNNNNNNNNNNNNNNNNNNNNNNNNNNNNNNNNNNNNNNNNNNNNNNNNNNNNNNNNNNNNNNNNNNNNNNNNNNNNNNNNNNNNNNNNNNNNNNNNNNNNNNNNNNNNNNNNNNNNNNNNNNNNNNNNNNNNNNNNNNNNNNNNNNNNNNNNNNNNNNNNNNNNNNNNNNNNNNNNNNNNNNNNNNNNNNNNNNNNNNNNNNNNNNNNNNNNNNNNNNNNNNNNNNNNNNNNNNNNNNNNNNNNNNNNNNNNNNNNNNNNNNNNNNNNNNNNNNNNNNNNNNNNNNNNNNNNNNNNNNNNNNNNNNNNNNNNNNNNNNNNNNNNNNNNNNNNNNNNNNNNNNNNNNNNNNNNNNNNNNNNNNNNNNNNNNNNNNNNNNNNNNNNNNNNNNNNNNNNNNNNNNNNNNNNNNNNNNNNNNNNNNNNNNNNNNNNNNNNNNNNNNNNNNNNNNNNNNNNNNNNNNNNNNNNNNNNNNNNNNNNNNNNNNNNNNNNNNNNNNNNNNNNNNNNNNNNNNNNNNNNNNNNNNNNNNNNNNNNNNNNNNNNNNNNNNNNNNNNNNNNNNNNNNNNNNNNNNNNNNNNNNNNNNNNNNNNNNNNNNNNNNNNNNNNNNNNNNNNNNNNNNNNNNNNNNNNNNNNNNNNNNNNNNNNNNNNNNNNNNNNNNNNNNNNNNNNNNNNNNNNNNNNNNNNNNNNNNNNNNNNNNNNNNNNNNNNNNNNNNNNNNNNNNNNNNNNNNNNNNNNNNNNNNNNNNNNNNNNNNNNNNNNNNNNNNNNNNNNNNNNNNNNNNNNNNNNNNNNNNNNNNNNNNNNNNNNNNNNNNNNNNNNNNNNNNNNNNNNNNNNNNNNNNNNNNNNNNNNNNNNNNNNNNNNNNNNNNNNNNNNNNNNNNNNNNNNNNNNNNNNNNNNNNNNNNNNNNNNNNNNNNNNNNNNNNNNNNNNNNNNNNNNNNNNNNNNNNNNNNNNNNNNNNNNNNNNNNNNNNNNNNNNNNNNNNNNNNNNNNNNNNNNNNNNNNNNNNNNNNNNNNNNNNNNNNNNNNNNNNNNNNNNNNNNNNNNNNNNNNNNNNNNNNNNNNNNNNNNNNNNNNNNNNNNNNNNNNNNNNNNNNNNNNNNNNNNNNNNNNNNNNNNNNNNNNNNNNNNNNNNNNNNNNNNNNNNNNNNNNNNNNNNNNNNNNNNNNNNNNNNNNNNNNNNNNNNNNNNNNNNNNNNNNNNNNNNNNNNNNNNNNNNNNNNNNNNNNNNNNNNNNNNNNNNNNNNNNNNNNNNNNNNNNNNNNNNNNNNNNNNNNNNNNNNNNNNNNNNNNNNNNNNNNNNNNNNNNNNNNNNNNNNNNNNNNNNNNNNNNNNNNNNNNNNNNNNNNNNNNNNNNNNNNNNNNNNNNNNNNNNNNNNNNNNNNNNNNNNNNNNNNNNNNNNNNNNNNNNNNNNNNNNNNNNNNNNNNNNNNNNNNNNNNNNNNNCCAGGUUUACUCUGAGCGUUUCCUUUCCCUCUUUUGGGAUAAAUAACGCACGGUGGCGGCUCUGUGUUGUUUUUGUUUCAGCCCGCCGGUUGUUUUUCGCGGAUGCGACAGCUGGCGACUCUGCUGGGGAAUUCUAGAGAUGUUGACCUGUGCUGGUCCAUCUUCCCUAAGCGAGUCUCUCCUAGCGUUCUAGGAUAGUUUAGGUUGCUUGUUUUGAUUUAUUUAUUGCAUUUAUUAUUCUGACUGUGUAUAUAUUUGCAUAAAUAUUUGCAUGCAUCAUACUAUCAUUUUGCUGUCCUCUGUACAGGUGGUUCCUCUGUUUUGGGGUGGGUGUUCUGAGUGGGGCUAAAACCCAGGCCCGAGUAUACACCUAGGAUUAUUGUGGUCUCAUGUUGCCUCCUUCAUGUUAGGUCAACAUGUGUUUGGCAACGUGAUGUACCACAAGUCGGACGAGGUUCAUUUGAUAAUGCUCUUCCUUUGUGGGGUACUCCACUCUGGUUGAGUCACUUCAUCUGAACUAUUGACUUCGGUGACCGAUCAUUUCCCGGAUUUUUGGUUUAGACGAUCUUAAGGGAGCUACAAUGGCACACCCGAAAGGGAAAACCCAUUGAGUAUCUUUGCCCGAUUGUCAAGACUAUUAUCCGCCUUAGGAUAACCUGAUUAGAAUUUACCUGUGAGGGGAGGGUGAUUCUUUCAGAUGCAUGUUCAGAUGGAGACUUUGAAGGUGACUGAUGGUUCCGAUGAUCAGAGUCAUAUUCAUAAGUCGGAUUUAUGGUCAUUUAUUGCUGAGACGCCGAAGUUCUGUCCGAGUUAUUUAUCAGUGGGGAUCCGUUUAUUCCAGGAUUCCCCGGGCUGAUUCAGAGAUUGGUGGUUAUCUGUUCAGUGGAUCUCUGAUGAUGAUGAUGAUGUAUCUUUCAGUUCCGUUUAUUUCGGAACCCUUGAGUCGGAUUUAUGGUUAAUCAGACUUCAGAUGGUUGUGAUCAGUCAGAGUGCCGUAACUCAGUGCAACAGAUGUUCAGAUGACUUGGAGGAUGGCACAGUGCAUUGCAUUCAUGCAUCAUUCUCAUUUUGCAUUCAUCUGCACCAAACCCACGUCUAGUCAUAUGGGGAGUAUUAUGGAUUGAGAAUCUGGUUGAGAGACAUUCGGAUGUCAGAAUGUUAUUGUCAAAAUAUUAUCUAUCUCGAUGAAACCAGAAUCAAAGGACGGAAUCUUCCUCAUAUGGAUAGACGUUGCAUUCAUGCAUAUUAACCUGUUUGCUGUUUUGCAGGUGUCGGGUUGCUAACGUGCUUGAUUGUUUCAGGAAUCAUUGCUCGUGCUCGUAGAGUUGUACCCUUGCACUCAACACGUCCGCGCAGAUACUUCACCAGGCGCAAUACACCUAGACUGAUGGAUCUCCCAAACACAGAUAUUCUUGAGCUGAAAGAUAAAAUGAAUGAACUGAUCAACAUCAUGCAGGGUUUUGCAGUUGGUCAGAAAGCGUUGGCUGACAAAGUCGAAAAGCUCGAGCGGGCUUCAGCGGCUAAUAGUGGUGUUAACCUGGAUGGUGUCUCCAACCAGGGGCUGGGUGGCUCAAGAGACGGUGGCAGGAGAACAACAGUGGGUAUAGUGAAUAAUACUGCUGGUUUCGGUGCUGCUGGUGGUCAACCUGGUCAGAAUUUGAAAGAUAGUUUAUACCCUCCUUUCUUCGGGGUUGAUGAUGACAGAGAGGAAGACCGAGAAGCCGAUCAGUUCUCCAUGCAAAACGAACCGUUCGGUCAAUAUGGUGCCCAACCACAAAGCAAAGAAAUUCAGUUGCUGGCAGAAAAGAUCAGGGCUCUGGAAAGCCACGUUACUCCGGGAUUUGUCAACAUGUCCAACAUGGGGCUGGUCGAGGGGAUUGUGAUCCCACAGAAAUUCAAAGCGCCUGCAUUUGACAAGUACAAUGGGAGUUCUUGCCCUGAAACCCAUCUGCAAGCGUUUGUUCGCAAGAUCUCUGCAUACACUAUGGACCAGAAGUUGUGGAUGUACUUCUUCCAGGACAGUCUGUCCGGAGGAUCCCUGGAGUGGUACACCAAGCUGAAGUCUGCUGACGUCAAGAGCUGGCAAGAUCUUGGGGAUGCGUUCUUUAAACAAUACCAGUUUAACGCUGAUAUGGCUCCUAGUCGUACCCAACUGCAGGGUAUGUCUCAGAAGUCAAGUGAAGGGUUUAAAGAGUACGCACAAAGGUGGAGGGAGUUGGCUGCCAGAGUUCAACCUCCGCUGGUGGAUCGGGAGAUGUCUGAUCUAUUCAUGGGUACCCUGCAAGGGGUUUUUGCUGAAAGAAUGGUUGGAUGCCCGGUAACUAACUUUGCAGACAUUGUGGUGGCAGGGGAGAGAAUUAAAAGUUGGAUGCGAAUGGGGAAAAUACAAGGUAAUGCUUCGUCAUCAGGAUCGAAGAAGCCAUUCGGGAACGGUCAGCGCAAGAAUGAAGGUGAAUCGAGUGUUGUGUAUGCCCAGAGAGGACACAGUAGGGAUCGUUACUAUUAGCACACUGCUGCUGUAACCACCCCUGCUGGUAAUCAGUCAGUACGACAGCAACGUCAGCCACCUCAACAGAGAGCUGGGUACCAGGUGAGGGGAAAAGGGAUUGAUCGUCAGUUCGACAAGCCGCCCGUGACAUAUGCUGUUCUGUUUAAGAAGUUGAUGGAUCUUGGGUUGGUUCAGCCAAGGGCGAUGGUUCCGAUGAGAUCAGAUCAGAGGCCUCCUAACUAUGAUGAGAACGCCCAGUGUGAAUUUCAUUCUGGAACACCGGGGCCUAACAUUGAGGGCUGUAGAGCAUUCAAACAUGUUGUCCAGGAUCUGGUAGACUCCAAGGCUAUCAAUUUUGCACCAUCACCGAAUGUUAAUGCUAAUCCCAUGCCGGCGCAUGGUCAGGCAAUGGUGAGUGCAAUUGCUGAAGAUUCGGGUCACGCCUGUGCGAUGGGUGAAGAGACUGACAGUGACCGCGGGCUUGAGUCGUGGAUAAAAUCGUGCGUACCAGAGAGCUGGAAGGCCUAAAAAGAUCAGCACUGUCACUCUACUGGAAGAGUAAUAUUUCUGUUUUCAGUCUUAUUUGCAUGAAAGCCAUACGUGUUGCCCGACACGCAAUGGUUCAUUGUAAGGGCCACCUCAUGUUUCAUUUUGCAACAUUUCUGCAUCAUUAAUAAAUGGAUGUUUUUCAGUUAAAAGCGGUGUUCCCUGUUUUUCAUUUAUUUUCACAGUUUAAAAAUAAAUAAAAAUGGCAAUGUUUGUUUUCAUUUUCCCUUUUUGAUCUGUCUCGUCCCAACUUCGAAAAGUAAUUCUUUGGAUCUCAUUGAUAACAAUUUGGUUACACCUCAUAUGACUUCGACAAUCCGGUCUCUCAUGCCGAAGAAGAAGGCGAAGAAGAUUGUGAUCUGCUGGAAUUAGCCAGGUUGUUGAAACAAGAGGAGGAGGUGAUUCAGCCGCAUGAGGAGCGGAUUGAGAUUGUUAUUCCAGGCACCGCCGAGGUCAGGAGGGAAGUGAAGAUUAGGGCCGUUUCAGAGGCGAGUCGAAAGCAAAAUGGUAGCCCUGUUGAAAGAGCAUGUGGAUACCUUCGCCUGGUCGUGUCAGGAUAUGCCAGGGUCGGAUACUGGUGUCGUUGUGCACAAGCUACCAUGGAGAGAAGACUGUCCUCUAGAGAAGCAGAACGCCAGUGCCUAUAUCAGAGAGCCAUGGUGACUUUGUUUCAUGAUUCAUCAUGAAAUUGAAUGCUGUGUUGAUGACGUGAUAGUAAAGUUCCAAACAGAGGAGGGGCAUCUGGCAGACCGGGGCAAGUCAUUUGACCGGUUGAGACAGUUCAGACUGAGGUUGAGUCCGAACAAGUGCACUUUCGGAGUGCGGUCCGGUAAAUUGCUGGGGUUCAUUGUAAGAGAGGAAUCGAGGUUGAUCCUGCUGAAAAAAAAUAUAAAAAAAAAUAUAAGAGAAAUGCCUGAACCGAGAAUAAAGAAAGAGGUUCGUGGUCAAUUAGGUAGAUUGAACUACGUGUCAUGGUUCACAUCUCCUCUAACAGCCACGUGUGAACCCAUAUUCGAGAGGUUGAAAAAAAAAA
rnacentral:lncRNA from 1 species